AUACUGAUCGUGGAAAGGGUGUUGCGAGUUAGAGCCCUUCCUGACGAGUUACAGAGCUAGAGGAGUACCAGCUACAGGUAGUUGUAGUUUUUGGUUGUUAUACAUACUAACGUUGUAUCUCGCUGGAGCGAGUAAUUUUGUGUAUCAGAAUAUUAUGUAUGUAAAUGGAACCACUGUUAUUAUAUAUGUUUUAUUUCUUUCUAGCAGCUCUAUACUACAAGUUCGAGUGUUUGACUUGUGUUCCGAGCUUUUCCACAUUUUUUGGUGGGUCGUUGAGAGUGUUCUUACCUAUGGCUCGCAUCCCAAGCAAUGUACACUUAUCCAUUAAGGAAUUGUAGGACUUUGUCAAACCAACUCUUUCAUGCUCGAGGCUCUUGGUUAGCGAAUCUAGUUUCGUGUUCUUUUCUUCCAAUUCGAGCAAUCUUCGCCGUAAUUUUUUAUUGUGCUUCACCAUUUUCUUCGACUCGACAACCAAUUGAUGAUAUGCGGUGACCAUAUCAUCUUCAUUCGAUUCUUCAUCCGAUGAGUUCUCCGACGUAGAUUUUUCAUGCAAACGAGACAUAGAGAUGGAGUCAGUGGAUGCCAAACACAUAAAAUUAGAAUCAUGUGCAAUAAGCGCCGUAGCUUUUACAUCCUCAUCACUUGAAGAUGACUCAUUCGAAGAUGAAUCAUCCCAAGUGAUGGCUUGCAUCGCUUUCUUUUUCAAGGACUUCUUAUUAGGACAAUCCGAAGCGAUAUGACCAAAUCCUCUACACUUAUAGUAUUGGAUUUGACCUUCAUUACUUUUCUUCUCUUUAGAAAAAUCUUUUGAAGAGCUUUCGAAUUUUUAUUCUUAGAAGAGGAAGAUGAAGAAGAACUCCCUUUAAAUUUGUUUGACUUUGAGGAAGUAGACUUUGGAGGAAACUUCUUUCUAAAGUUCCGACGGAACUUCUUCGUUAGAAGCGCCAAUUGUUUUUCAAACUCCUCCAAUGUUUGAUCCGAUUUCGAGUCCGAUGAAGUAGUCGAGUCAUCUCCUUUUGUUGAUUUUAAGGCCAUACCUGAAGCUUUAGAAGAAGACUUGGAAUAAGACGAAUUAGAAGGAAAAGUCAUCUCAUAAGUUUGAAGUGCACCAACCAAUUCUUCUACUUUUAAUUCAUCCGGAUGAUUUACCGUUUCAAUGGCCGCAACCUUUGGACGAAAUCGUUUGGGAAGGGUUCUCAAGAUUUUUCUAACAAUUUUAGAAUCCAGAAUCUUCUCGCCUAAGUUAGCAGAUGUGUUUACAAUAUCUUGCAAACGAGUAUAAUACUCGGUAAAGGAUUCAUGUUCUUCCAUACGUAUAGAAUCAAAUCUACUUGUAACCAUUUGUAAUUUUUGAAUCUUUACCAAGCUUGUACCCUCGUGUGUAACUUGUAAAGUAUCCCAAAUUUCUUUGGCGGUUUCACACGCCGAAACUCGAGAAAAUUCGGUUUGGUUUAAAGCAUUAAAGAAAGCGUUGAUACCCUUUCCGUUGAACGAAGAUAGUUCGUUUUCCUCUUUCGUCCAUUUAUUUCUAGGUUUAGGACCGGUAACAUUCUCGGCAACUUCGGUAGGAUAUUUCCACCCGAAUUCAAUGGCUUGCCAAACCCGCUCGUCGAUGGCAAUAAGAAAAGCUCUUAUACGAACUUUCCAAUAAGCGUAAUUAGUGCCAUCGAAAAGUGGGGUUCGAUUAAUGUUACCGCCUUCGGCCAUGAUUUACAACCUAUACCCGCUCUGAUACCACUUGAAAGAUAUGAAUUCCGAGGAUCUAAAAGGUAAAUCACACCUAGAGGGGGGUGAAUAGGUGUAAAACGGCAAAAACAAAUAAACCCGAUGCAAAUUAAAAGAGAAUGCAGAAAAUAAAAACAACACACCGAGUUUUAACGUGGGAAAACUCCAAUUCGGAGAGAAAAAUCCACGGGACCGAUCACACGAUGAAAUCCACUAAGAAAACUUAAGUACAAGUGAUUUAACAAAAAUACACGACUCAAUUUACCGAAUCCUCGUCGUAGAUUGUCUUCGCCGGUCCUCGAUCGCUUGGAAUCCUCCAACCGAUCACGCCGCAAGUCCUUGCCGCGUCAACGCCUUGACUCCUCGAUGCGUCCACCAAAUCCUCGGCCUCACACGCGAUCCACGCGCAAAUCCUCCGUCCGGAGCUCGUAGAGAAGAUGAUUUGUGGUGAUUUGAUUACUUGGAAAGCACGUAUAACAAGAGGAGAAACCCUUCUUAGAAUAUCAUCAAUUUGAUCCUCAAGGAACAAUUGAAUUGUAAUCAAAGAAUCAAAUUGAUGAUCUAAGAACUUGAUAUUUAAAACAUAGAUCAAAAGCUCCAAAUCAAGUUUUUGAGUUUCUAAACGAUUAUCUUUCAAAAGCAUAUCUCAUAUGGGUACCCUAAUAUCAUAUUUAUAGGUUUAGAAGACUCAGAAGCCAACUAGGAUUGCAAAAAGCCAAGUUUAAAAACUGACGACGUCCUCAGGGACCGGUCCUCUCGAGGAGACCGGUCUUUGGGAGACCGGUCCCUCGAGUGGGAGACCGGUCCCUCGUUGCGUGCCUGAAAAAAACGGCUUUGGGAACCGGCCUCUCAUCCAGAGACCGGUCCCUCUCUGCGUGACAGAAAAUCCAUCGCUCUGGAACCAGUCUCACUUUUCAGAUACCGGUUGCCUCAACUUUCCACGCAUAGAGGACCCUCGGGGACUGGUCUCUCAUCUCAGGGACCGGUCCCAGAACACUAAAAUGUUCAGAUUUAGCUUUUUAAGGCAAUCUAAGUCUUCUAAACUUAUUUUAAUCAAUUAAAAUCACCAUAAAUGAUCUAUUCUUCAUACCUGAGGUGCCGAGCUUUCCGAAUGAGUUUUUGAUCUUCAAAUUGAAUCUUAGUUUCAAAACUCCGUGUUUGACUCUUCAAGACUCCAUUCGACUUUACGAAAUCCGCAAACCUAGAAAAUCCUUAACAAUCUCUCUCUUUGGCGAUUUUGUGACAAAACAUAUUACAACGCUCAUACACAACUCAGAAACAAUAAAAGAAGAUCAUCGCAAUCACCAAACGACAAUCUCCUGCAUGAUCGAUCCAAUAACGGAAAAAUUAUAAUUUUUUUCACAAUCCUAAUACAAACUCUAUGACUUAGACAUGGAGUCUUGAAGUCUUGAACAUUCCUGCAAAAACAUUCUUAAAACACAAUCAAGAUUCAAGAAUACUUAUCAUAUCAAAACAUAGUCAUCAUUGUCAGUCAUAAUUCAUCUAAGUACAUCCACAAUCUAAGUAAGAUAGUAAUAGCAGGUUUCAAUCAUCUAAGCAUAUAAGUACAUGACUAAGCAAAGCACCAAAUUGCAUCAGCAUCAUAUCAAAAGAUCAACAAUAAGCAUAAGCAUCAUCAUCAUCUCCCCCUUUUUGUCAAAAAGCACCAAAACGACAAAAAGAGGAACUCUAAAACACUCAGUCUGAGCCAUCACCCUCCGGAGGAAGAUCAGAACUACAACAACCCAACUUAUCAAAAAUCGCCUUCAUCAACCGUUUUAUCUUGCUCACAUCCUUUCUUAUCCGAGCCUAAUCCGCUGAUAAUUUUUGAAGCUCUUCUGAUAACCGUUGUUGCUCACGAAAAACGGAUGACACCGAGACAUCCUCCUCAGAAAUCUCCAUAGAAGGACGUGAAGAAGCAGGAGCAGGAGGUGGAGCAGCAGUAGGUAAAGAAGGUCGCUGUGACGAAGUUCGAAGCUGCACAAAUGAUUUUACAAACGUCGACUCACUGAUCCGUCCCAGACUAUGCUCAUAGGAUGUACAACGUGUAUCCACAUCAUAAAGUCGCAGAAUCCUCAUGAUGAUCAAUGGGAAAGGCAACCGCUCAUUCUGACCUGAAGUCUUAACAUCCUUCGCCAUUCUCCGCCAAAUCAAAAACGGGAUGUUCAUAGUAAUGUUCCUUGCCUUAACAAUGUCCGGGCUCCCCAACAGAUACAUAUAGAGUAUGCGAUCCCAUCUCAAGAUCUUCGUGUUCGCUAGGGGCAAAUGUUAUAGCACACUACGAAGUUUAAGAACCUGUAUUCCAUUUUGAGAUCUUUAGACAUUACCAUAAGUCCAUUUGAUUCUAUAUCCGGCAUACAAAUAGCAUUCACAACACGCUUCCAAUCCCGAAAUGAGUCAAAACCGGCCUGCAAGUAUUCAACUCCAUUAGUACGAGCUUCCACCUCCAGUACAGAUGCUAUCAUAUCGGGCGUGAUAGUCAACUCUACACCACGUACCGAAGUGGUGAACAUGUACGGGCCGCCGUCAGAUUCAAUCAGAUGUCCCGCUCGCAUAUAGAAUUUUCGAAUAAGCUCCAAACAAUAGCCCGUUUGCUCAGGGAAAUUGCAAAUCUCAUGUAAAUUUCCAUGUUCAAACCCCAAAAAUAUGAAACUAAAGCACAUUUUCGGAUUAUAUGACAAAGGAAAAAAAAAUCCAAAGAUCUUACCAAAAACACAUGUAAAUUGACGAAGAAUGAAGGCAAAAUCAUUCUAGGGAAGUUGAAAGCUCGUGGGAGAAAGAUUAGAGUGUUUGGUAAAGUGUACAAAGAGCACCGAACAAAACCCUUGGGUCGGGCGGAGGGACCGGUCUCUCCAGCCAGGGACCGGUCCAACAUUAAAAAUAAGCAAUUUUUCGUCCCCAAUGACCUUGAAUAAAAUUUCACAAAUAUGUUUAACAAAAUCAAUUUCAAAAAUAUUCAAAAUUGUCAAAAAUUGUAUAAAAAACAAAUCAAUUAAAUUCUAGAUGAGUAUAAAGCCAAAUUCUACACAUCAAGCGAGAUCUAAAAAUUAAUUAUAUUGUUUUAUCAUCAUACUUGCUAAAAUGAUGAAUAUUUUUGAAAUUGAUUUUGUUAAACAAGAUAAUAUGGUCAAAUUCAGUUAUGCACAUAAAUCGAGAAAGGAGUGGCUCUUUGAGCAUCUUUUAGUAAUCCACCUUAUAUCACCUAGGAGAUGUAUUGAACAAAUAAACUAGAUUUUAUCAUCUCCGGAGCACCUCAUUCAAUUUUUUUUUAAAUGUUUCCAUUCAUCAUCAGAUAUAAUUUUAUUUUUAUCAUUAGAGAUGCUUUGAUCAAACAUGUGGUAGCUGCACACACUGACCGGACAAUUGGGGUGGUAGCUCUUUCCUCCAUGUGGUGGCAGUUUUCACACUCCGAGCAGGGAUGUAACUCUUUCCAUAUCUUUUCAUUUAUAAUCAUAAACCCUGGAAAGACUCCCCCUAAAUUAGUGCAACCCUGUAGUUGAAGAUAGAAUCACAAUUUCAAAACCAGGGAAAUAAUUGUUCAUAUCAUAGCUCAUACUCAAACAAGACAAAGACAACUUUUAAAGUUCAAAGCAUGAGGUGUUGAAUUUAAUAAUGUAUGCUAAAACAGAAUUUGAAUGAUUCAUUCAUUUAAGAAUUAUGACAAUGAAGAAUAAGAUUGAUAGUGACUAAGCGAAACAUAUUAUGAAACAAUCAAAGUCAUAUCAUGGGAUUCUAAAAUAAAUCAUGUAAAACUGAAAGAUAUGCAACGAAAACAAAAUGAAAUAUGUGCAUGAUCUAUAACCCACAGAAUGCAUCUAGAUUGAAGGAUUCAUACCAAUAGCCUUUCUCAAAUGAAGAAAACGUUUUUGAUCUAAAGGUUUCGUCAAAAUAUCAGCAAGUUGAUUUUCAGUAGAAAUAUAUUCAAGUUGAAGAACAUCUGAUUCGACUAAUUCUCGUAAAAAGUGAUAUCUUAGUUCAAUAUGCUUUGUUCGUGAAUGUAAAAUAGGAUUUUUUGAAAUAUUUAUGGCACUUGUGUUAUCACAAAGAAUCGUAAAUAUGGUGGAAGAGAUCCGAUAGUCGCUCAGUAAGCUUUUCAUCCAUAAUAAUUGUGUGGAGCAACUACCAGUCGCAAUAUAUUCUGCCUCGGCAGUGGAGAGAGCAAUACAAUUUUGUUUCUUACUGUGCCACGCGACCAAACAAUGUCCAAUGUAAAAACAUGCUCCACUUGUACUUUUUCUAUCAUCUGCUGAACCAGCCCAAUCUGCAUCCGAGUAACCAAUCAAAUCUAGAGAUGUUCCCAUUGGAUACCAUAGGCCAUAUGCAAUUGUGCCUUUAACAUACUGAAUAAUCCGUUUAACUGCUUUCAAAUGUACUUCCUUAGGAUUAGCUUGAUAGCGAGCACAAAUUCCCACACUAAAAGCAAUAUCCGGUCUACUCGCGGUCAAAUAUAGUAAGCUUCCAAUCAUGCUCCUAUACUGUUUCUCAUCCACACUCUGUCCUUCAACAUUCAUUCCUAAUCCUUUAUUACUUGUCCCCAUUGGAGUAUCAAAGUCCUUUGCACCGUCCAAUCCAAAUUUCUUAACCAACUCCUUAACAUAUUUGGAUUGACACAAGUGAAUUCCCUCUUUAGAUUGUUUAAUUUGAAGUCCGAGAAAGUAUGUAAACUCCCCCAUCAUUGACAUCUCAAAUUCACUAGUCGUUAACUUUGCAAAUUCAGCGGCAUCCUUAUCUUUAGUUGCACCAAAAACUAUAUCAUCCACAUAAAUUUGUGCCACAAUAAAAUCAUUUUUCGAGUGUUUUACAAAAAGAGUUCUAUCCGCUCCCCCUCGGUUGUAACCCUUUUCUAAAAGAUAUUUUGUUAAACGUUCAUACCAUGCCCGCGAAGCCUGUUUAAGUCCAUAAAGUGCCUUUUUAAGACGAAAAAUAUGGUUUGGAAAUUUUGAAUCUACAAAACCUUUCGGUUGUUCCAUAUAAACUUCCUCUUUUAAAAAACCAUUUAAAAAUGUACUUUUAACAUCCAUUUGAAAAACAGUAAUUUUGAAAUAACAGGCUAUCGCAAACAAAAUACGAAUAGAUUCAAGACGUGCAACCAGGGCGAAGGUUUCAUCAAAAUCAAUUCCCUUAAUUUGUGAAUAGCCCUGAGCAACAAGUCUAGCUUUGUUUCGAACAAUUGUACCAUCCUUAUUUUUCUUAUUUUUAAAAAUCCAUUUGGUACCUAUAAUAUGUUGUUGCUCAGGUCAUGGCACUAAUUCCCAUACGUCAUUACGAGUAAAUUGACCAAGUUCUUCUUGUAUGGCAUUUAUCCAAUAUUCAUCACGAAGAGCUUCGUCAAUAUUCUUUGGCUCAACUAAAGAUACGUAACACGCAAAUUCGCACUGAAGUUGACUUCUAGUUCGCACACCUGUAUGAGGAUCUCCUAUGACAUUCGAUAAAGGGUGAUCUCUUGACUCUCUCAAAGAUGUAGCCUCAGAUGACGUACUUGGUAUUUCAGAUGAGUUACUUAGAGUCUCAGAUGAAUCAUUUGAUGCAAUAAUUUCAGGAGAUGCAGAAAUAUCAGAUGCAAAAAUAUUAUCAUUCACAGGCAAUACGAAAGGAGAAUCAUCAUCAUCAUCAUUCAACAAAGUAUUGAAAAAAUCAUUCACGGAAGAUUUUACAGAAGAAGCUUCAUCUACUUUUAUAUUAAUAGAUUCUAUCACCGUCUUAGUACGCCAAUUGUACGCAGGAUAUGCUCGACUUGUAGUAGAAUAACAAAGAGAAAUUCCUUCGUCACUUCGGGAGUCAAAUUUUUCAAGUUUUUCAUGAUCCCGAAGGAUAAAACACUUACUCCCAAAGACACGAAAAUAUUUGAUAUUUGGUUUUCUACCGAGCUAUAGUUCAUACGGAGUGUUUAGAGUACCCGGACGCACAUAAAUCCGAUUGAUGACAUAGACGGCAAUGUUAACCGCUUCAGCCCAAAAAUGUAAAGCAACUUUCUUACGAUGAAGCAUAACACGAGCCAUCUCUUGUACAACCUGAUUUUUGCGUUCAACUACUUCGUUCUGUUGUGGAGUAUAAGGAGCAGAGAAUUCAGGUUUAAUACCUUUUGAAACAAAGAAAUAAACAAAUUUUGAAUUUAUGAAUUCUCUCCCUUGAUCACUUCGAAUGCGCACAAUUUUAUCAUUACGUUCAAUCAUAAGACGAAGACAGAUUUCAGAAAAAGAGUCAAAAGUAUCAGCUUUUUCACGUAAGAAAGUACUCCAUACAAAACGAGUAAAAUCAUCAACAAUGAGCAAGAUAUAUCGCUUUCCACCUAAAUUUUGAAUCCUAGAAGGCCCCAUCAAGUCCAUGUGAAGUAACUCUAAAGGUUUAGAUGUCCCUAAGUUGUUCAAAUUCUUAUGUGCGGAUCUAGUUUGCUUUCCCAGUUGACAACCCCCACACAUAGUGUUCUCUUUGAAAUCUAUCUUAGGUACACCUCUAACAAUUUUCUUCUUCGAUAAUUUCGAUAGUUCCUUGAAGUUUAUGUGACCUAAACGUUCAUGCCAUAAAGUUUCAGUCUCUAAUGUCGCUAGGUUACACUUUUCAGAUGAAGCACUAGGAACUACAUAACAGUUAUUCUGAGAUCUUACACCUUUUAAGAAGAGAUAAUCAUCACGAGUUACAUUGCAUUCUUUAUCAGAAAAUUUCACAAAGUACCCAUCAUCACACAAUUGGCUUAUGUUUACGAGAUUUGAUUUAAGCCCCUCAACAUAGAAAACAUCAUUCAGAGUGGGGCCAUCUGAGAUAGUGACAUUUCCUUUUCCAAUAAUUUUAGAUGAUCGACCGUCUCCAAAAACAACAAGUCCUCCGGAGAUUUUAUUCAAAGAAGUAAACCAAUUUUUAUCACUGGUCAUAUGACGGGAACAACAACUAUCCAGAUACCAAGAAGUAUUAUCGUAAGCAUGAAGUGAAGUGUGAAUGACAAGGCAAGGAAAGAUUUCACCUUUGCGCACCCAAACCUUACGUGUUUUGGGUUGCGUCGGCCGAUUUGAUUGUGACAUUCAUUGCUUGUCGACGAUUUGAGUUAUUUUCUUCUUAGGAUCAUCCUUCUUUGGUUUCCAUGAUUGUUUCUUUUUAGGAUCAUUCUUCUUUGGUUUCCAUGAUUGUUUCUUUUUAGGAUCAUUCUUCUUUUGCAUCCAUGUUCGUUUCUUCUCAACUUUUGAAUCUUCCCUUGUUGGCUUCCAAGAUGUCCUCCGAUCCAAGGGUGUUGUAGAGCUCUUAUCCUUUUGUUUGCAAAAUCUUUUUAUAUAUCCUACGACACCACAAAGAUGACAAGUUUUGUUAGUAAAAGAAUUCUUAGGAGGAAUAAACUUAUCAUAAACCUUAGAAACCGAUUUUGUUGAGUGUUCGUCUACUUUCUUCAUUACUUGAUCAACAUACGUCCGUUCGUAUCCAAGUCCGAAUUUCUUUGUUUAACCAAGUCCUAGCAUCUUGUUAAGUUUACUAGAGCUAGACGAAAAUUGAUUUAAAUCCGAUUUGAGUUGAAUAAUCGUCUUGGUGAACUCCAUAUUGGAUUCUUUAGCUUCCGUGUACUGCUUGGUAAGGAAGUUGAUAUUUUCUUCAUAUGAUUCCUUUUCCUUUUCAAGCAAUGUACACUUAUCCAUUAAGGAAUUGUAGGACUUUGUCAAACCAACUCUUUCAUGCUCGAGACUCUUGGUUAGCGAAUCUAGUUUCGUGUUCUCUUCUUCCAAUUCGAGCAAUCUUCACUGCAAUUUUUUAUUGUGCUUCACCAUCUUCUUCGACUUGAUAACCAAUUGAUGAUAUGCGGCGACCAUAUCAACUUCAUCCGAUUCUUCAUCCGAUGAGUUCUCCGACGUAGAUUUUUCAUGCAAAGGAGACAUAGAGAAGGAGUCAGUGGAUGCCAAACACAUAAAAUUAGAAUCAUGUGCAAUAAGCGCCGUAGCGUUUACAUCCUCAUCACUUGAAGAUGACUCAUUCGAAGAUGAAUCAUUCCAAGUGAUGGCUUGCAUCGCUUUCUUUUUCAAGGACUUCUUAUUAGGACAAUCCGAAGCGAUAUGACCAAAUCCUCUACACUUAUAGCAUUGGAUUUGACCUUCAUUACUUUUCUUCUCUUUAGAAAAAUCUUUUGAAGAGCUUUCGGAUUUUUUAUUCUUAGAAGAGGAAGAUGAAGAAGAACUCCCUUUAGAUUUGCUUGACUUUGAGGAAGUAGACUUUGGAGGAAACUUCUUUCUAAAGUUCCGACGGAACUUCUUCGUUAGAAGCGCCAAUUAUUUUUCAAACUCCUCCAAUGUUUGAUCCGAUUCCGAGUCCGAUGAAGUAGUCGAGUCAUCUCCUUUUGUUGAUUUGAAGGCCAUACCUGAAGCUUUAGAAGAAGACUUGGAAGAAGACGAAUUAGAAGGAAAAGUCAUCUCAUAAGUUUGAAGUGCACCAACCAAUUCUUCUACUUUUAAUUCAUCCGGAUGUUUUACCGUUUCAAUGGCCGCAACCUUUGGACGAAAUCGUUCGGGAAGGGUUCUCAAGAUUUUUCUAACAAUUUUAGAAUCCAGAAUCUUCUCGCCUAAGUUAGCACACGUGUUUACAAUAUCUUGCAAACGAGUAUAAUACUCGGUAAAGGAUUCAUGUUCUUCCAUACGUAUAGAAUCAAAUCUAUUUGUAAGCAUUUGUAAUUUUUGAAUCUUUACCAAGCUUGUACCCUCGUGUGUAAUUUGUAAAGUAUCCCAAAUUUCUUUGGCGGUUUCACACGCCGAAACUCGAGAAAAUUCGGUUUGGUUUAAAGCAUUAAACAAAGCGUUGAUACCCUUUCCGUUGAACGAAGAUAGUCUGUUUUCCUCUUUCGUCCAUUUAUUUCUAGGUUUAGAACCGGUAACAUUCUCGACAACUUCGGUAGGAUGUUUUCACCCGAACUCAAUGGCUUGCCAAACCCGCUCGUCGAUGGCAAUAAGAAAAGCUCUCAUACGAACUUUCCAAUAAGCGUAAUUAGUGCCAUCGAAAAGUAGGGGUCGAUUAAUGUUACCGCCUUCGGCCAUGAUUUACAACCUAUACCCGCUCUGAUACCAUUUGAAAGAUAUGAAUCCCGAUGAUCUAAAAGGUAAAUAACACCUAGAGGGGGUGAAUAGGUGUAAAACGGUAAAAACAAAUAAACCCGAUGCAAAUUAAAAGAGAAUGCGGAAAAUAAAAACAACACACCAAGUUUUAACGUGGAAAAACUCCAAUUCGGAGAGAAAAACCCACGGGACCAAUCACACGAUGAAAUCCACUAAGAAAACUUGAGUACAAGUAAUUUAACAAAAAUACACGACUCAAUUUACCGAAUCCUCGUCGUAGAUUGUCUUCGCCUGUCCUCGAUCGCUUGGAAUCCUCCAACCGAUCACGCCGCAAGUCCUUGCCGCGUCAACGCCUCGACUCCUCGAUGCGUCCACCGAAUCCUCGGCCUCACACGCGAUCCACGCGCAAAUCCUCCGUCCGGAGCUCGUAGAGAAGAUGAUUUGUGGUGAUUUGAUUACUUGGAAAGCACGUAUAACAUGAGGAAAAACCCUUCUUAGAACAUCAUCAUGAUCCUCAAGGAACAAUUGAAUUGUAAUCAAAGAAUCAAAUUGAUGAUCUAAGAACUUGAUAUUUAAAACAUAGAUCAAAAUCUCCAAAUCAAGUUUUUGAGUUUCUAAAUGAUUAUCUUUCGAAGCAUAUCUCAUAUGGGUACCCUGAUAUCAUAUUUAUAGGUUUAGAAGACUCAGAAGCCGACUAGGAUUGCAAAAGCCAAGUUUAAAAACUGACGACGCCCUCAGGGACCGGUCCUCUCGAGGAGACCGGCUUUUGGGAGACUGGUCCCUCGAGUGGGAGACCGGUCCCUCGUUGCGUGCCUGAAAAAAAUGGCUUCGGGAAUCGGUCUCUCAUCCAGAGACUGGUCCCUCUCUACGUGACAGAAAAUCCAUCGCUCUGGAACCGGUCUCACUUUUCAGAGACCGGUUGCCUCAACUUUCCACGCAUAGAGGACCCUCGGGGACCGGUCUCUCAUCUCAGGGACCGGUCCCAGAACACUAAAAUGUUCAGAUUUAGCUUUUUAAGGCAAUCUAAGUCUUCUAACCUUAUUUAAAUCACCAUAAAUGAUCUAUUCUUCAUACCUGACGUGCCGAGCUUUCCGAAUAAGUCUUUGAUCUUCAAAUUGAAUCUUAGUAUCAAAACUCCGUGUUUGACUCUUCAAGACUUCAUUUGACUUUACGAAAUCCGCCAACCUAGAAAAUCCUUAAACCAGGUUUGUGACCCCUCCACCUCUCCUCUUUGAUUUUCUUCUCUUUUUCUUGGAUUUUUAGAGGAUUGAUCACCUCUUUUGCUCCUUUUUAGCUUUUUGGGUGAUUUUCCACCAUUGGAGAGGCAUUGGAGCAGGGUUUGGAGCUUGUUGGAGGAGAGAAUUUCAACCCUAGUUGAUUUCUAUCCUUGUUUGGAGCUUCUAAAGAUGUUAGUAAUAUGUUUCUUUCAUUAGAUUUAUGUUUUGAUGGAUUUCUUAAGAUGAAACCCUAGAAAUGGAAAAUCUAGGGUUUAUUUGGGGAUUUUUGAUUAGAGACUUUUGGAACUCAAUUGAUUGAUUUAGAACCUUUGUUUAGGUUGGAUUUGAGGGGAUCUUGCUUUCAUUUGGAGAUUGAGAGAGGUUUUCACCUUACAAGGUGAGUUUUUGCCAUUUUCUUAGGUUGAUUAAAGUUUGAUCAUAAGGUUGUUCGUUUGUUGCGUUUAACUCUCUUAAUAUUACAUUUAGGGUGCUAGGAGAGUAGUGGGCACCUUCGUCGGCGCAAACCAAGAGUUGCGAGGAGUCUCGGUGGGUUUGACCUCAUGGAAAUGAGAAAAACUCCUUCUAUGUCAAUUUUUAAUUAUCAUAAAAUUGAAAUGCAUGUAUAUUCAUGCUAGAUAGAGCAUACAAGAUGUUUAGAAUGCUUAAAAUACAUGUGCUAUAUUUUAUGAAAAUUACCUUUAUAUAGUAGAGAGAGAUAUAUGCAUUGUUAGCAUGUAUGAAAAUAGCAUUCUAUUAUAUGGUUUGGAAUUAUGUUUCCUGGGCCCAAUUGCACUGACAAAUUUUGGAUUUGACGAUGAUUUUCGAGAAAACUAGAUUUUAUCGCAAAGUAAACUUUUGUUCUUUACCCUUUUUGUUUUUUAAAACUUCUUGUUGCUCCGUUUUGAGUUUGGACUCUCGAGUGGGGAUCUUUCUACGUGGUGGAGGUUUGUGUAGAGGGAUAUGCGCGAAAUUUCAUGAAACUUGGCAGGCUGAUGCGUGAGGUUGUCAUACACACGUGGUUGUCAACAUGUCCAACCAUCUGUACACUACCGCCGCGCUACCCACAGCCUUUAUCACAUAGGUCAUGGCAUGUACAAGAUAAAUAGAUGAUAGCUAACUCACAUAAGUCAUGAGCAAUUGAGGACUCCGCAAGAUGCACAAGUUGUCGACUGGCCUCCCACGACCAAAGUUAGAAUAUCUUGUAACGACCCAGCCCACUAACAACAAUAAAUCGUUGGGCCCAACCACUGGCCCAAAAUGCUUAAGCCCGAUUAUUAUUACUAGUGUCUAAGUCUCUUAUAUACCCAAUCACAUCCACAUUCCUAUCCGAUGUCGAAUUAUUGGGGUGUGACAGACUCCCCCCGUUAAGACCCUGACAUCCUCGUCAGUCCAAUCACACACACAGCCCAAGAUCACCAGGCGAUGUGAGACUCGUCUUGCUAGCCUUGUCAUCCAGACCCUGGCAUAGCUGGUCACCUUAUAAUACAGACUCUGGCAUAGCCUAUCACCUUGUCUUUCAGACCCUGACUCAACCGAGACUCGCCACACAUUUUCGACUGGUGAUUGGUUCUGAUAUCAAAUGUAACGACCCAGCCCACUAGCAACAAUAACUCGUUGGGCCCAACCACCAGCCCAAAAUGCUUAAGCCCGUUUAUUAUUACUAGUGUCUAAGUCUCUUAUAUAUCCAAUCACAUCUCCAUUCCUAUUCGAUGUGGGAUUAUUAGAGUGUGACAUAUCUACUAUGAAAUAAUACUAACUGUCAUCACAACACGACGAUCAGACAAUGGGAUUGUCAAAGAAUCACACAAAAAGCCCAACGGUCUCAACACAAUCAUAAAUGUCCGAAAAGCUCACACAUGUCUCACUAAUCCUUGGCCACAAAGCAUCCAAAAGAGCGGCCAUCAAAAGUUUCACGAAGCCUAGACCUCUCGCAGGUAACUCGUGGCAUGCUCAAGACAAGGAAAAUAAAAUAAAAUAACUCACGUGCAUGCUUCAAUUAUGAUAUGGACAUACUCAUACUUCAUAUUCAAAUACUCAUGUUCAUAUUCAUAUUCAUGUUCAAAUACUCAUAUGCUUGGUAUCAUAUUCAUCCUCAUGUUCAUGUUCAAAUAUUCAUUUGCAUGGUAUCGUAUUCAUCCUCAUGUUCAUGUUCAAAUACUCAUGUUCACGCUUGCAUAUGAUGUUUCUUGUUCAUGCAUCGACUAUCUCGAUAUGACGCUUGAUACCGUAGAAUUCAUGUACGAAUGCUCAAAUACUAAAUACGGCACCAAAUAGACACAGAAGGAAAUUCGUUGUUUUCGGCGACUCGAAACCCACCUCAACGCGCUACAUCGACUCGGGGAAGAGAAAUGCUACUCGCGUGCUUUUCCUCGGCUCACAAUCGCCCGGAACUACUAAUCAAAGCAAAACCGUCAGAAUUACGAUGACAAUGCAAAAUUUUCAAUUGAGCUCAAUUUACGUAAAUUGAAAGUCAAAUACCUUAAAUUGCAGCUAAUCAGAUGUGUCUAGGACUCUAAUUCACACUCCCGGACACCCUGCAAGCGUCAAUUUGAAGUUUAAAAGUGCGAAUUAUACCAAUUGCAAUGUCUAGUUCACUAAUUUCCAUUCCUUUCUUCCUCUCUCAUUUUUCCUUCUCCUUUCUUUCUUUUCACCUUUCUUCCUCUUUUUCUCUCUUUCUCUUCUUUCAUGUUCAUCUAUGUUUCUCUUUUUCGCUCUUUUUUUUUUCUUGCUCCCCCCUGCAACAGCAACUGCUAAGGCAGCUUGCAGCAGCAGCAGCAGCAGGGAGGGAAAAGGGAGGAAAGAAGAGGAAAGGGGAAGAAAGGAGAAAAAGGAAGGAAGAGAAAGGGAGGAAGGAAAGGAAGGGAAAGAGAAAGAGAAGAAGAAACUUUACCUUCUUCUUCAAGUUUUCUUAUUCUUCUUUUUCUUCUUCUCUUCUUUCUUUUCUUUCUCUUUUCUCUUUCUUUGGUUUCAGCCCUAGAAAAAUCUGAGAGGAAAAGAGAGAAAGAGAGAUAUUUAUCACCUCUCUUUAGUGGAAUUCCACUAAGGUGUCAAUUGCACUUUAGCCCAAUAAGAUUUUCUACUUGCAAUUUAUAGUCCAUUUCAUGAACAAUUGGCCUAUUUCAUCUCUUGGUGUGUCCAUCUCGCCAAGUUUUAGGACUGUGGCUACUUGGCGUGUCCUUCUCGCCAAUUCCUACUUGGCGUGUCCAUCUCGCCAAGUUUUAAAGGACUGUGGCUUAUAGUUGGCGUGUGAACAAGGAAAGGUAGAACAUCAAAUUACUGUUGGCAAGUGUCAAGUCCUUCAUCGGCAAUAGGACAUGGUCUUGAUAGUUUUAUGUUUGGGUUUUCGUGAUUUCAGAGCGAACUAAAUGCGGUUUGGAUAAUAGGAUAUCGAGUGACAAGAUCGGCAACUUGAAGACCAGUCUAGAUAAUAUGGUCUACGAAACGAUUUGUUUAUGUUUUGCUUGAUGCGGUAGUGAUGCUACUUGGCGUGUCCAUCUCGCCAGUAAAAACUACAAUAACAGCAGCGGGGAGGGCAUAGGGAGGAAAGAAAAGGAAAGGGAAAGGAAGGAGAAAAAGGAAGGAAGAGAAAGGGAGGAAAGAAAGGAAGGGAAAGGGAAAGAGAAGAAACUUUACCUUCUUCUUCAAUUUUUCUUUUUCUUUUUCUUCUUCUUCUUCUCUUCUUUCUUUUCUUUCUCUUUUCUCUUUCUUUUGUUUCAGCCCUAGAAAAUUCUGAGAGAAAAAGAGAGAAAGAGAGAUAUUUGUCACCUCUCUUUAGUGGAAUUCCACUAAGGUGUCAAUUGCACUUUAGCCCAAUAAAUUUUCCUAGUUGCAAUUUAGUCCAUUUCAUGAACAAUUGGCCUAUUUCAUCCGUUUUCACGUUGAUUUCACGCCAAAAUGGAUUCACUGUAAUUCCACCCUCGCGCUCACAUGUUCAUAAGUAACAGAAAUCAAUAUUCUAUGAGAAAUUUUCCAACUUGGUCCACUAUGUUUGCUAUUUGCACUUUAGUCUGUCGUAGUAAAAAAUUGGCCCAAGUCAACCAUUUUGCACCACAAUGGUUUCACUUCAAUCCACUUCCAUACCCACAUGCUCCCCGACAACCUACACACAAAAGAAACGCUGGAUUUACAAGAGAUCUCAUCCAAUGAUGCACCUGCUAUACCUGGUAUAGACCUUAGCAAUAGACCACAUAGGGCUCACGGAUCGGAAGUGCAACCAUUUUUUCGAAAAAUAACACUAAUGCGGUGUCCAAACCGAUGGUGCGCGCAAAAUGCACACGAGCUAUGGUGAUCAAUGCAAUAUGAUCAAUAGCCAUCCCUUGACAGGUACCCAAUAGGAGAUCCACUUGGGGGGAGUACCAACCAAUUAUGUCACCCAAUUGCAUAUAUGUAUAGCACCAACCAGUAGGUCAAACUAAUAUCAGAAUAGAUAAUAAUGUCCAAUGCUGUACCACUCUACCACUAGAUCAAGAUGAUCAUGUGCAACGAUAAAAGUAGAGAAAUAGAAGAUGAAGUCAUGUGAUGAUCAAGUGCUCAACAUACAAUAGGAAAAGAAUGCCACUGAGCUAGCAUCACUAAAUCGACUUCAAAUCGAGCAAAAGAAUGCCGCUGAGCUGGCAUCACUAAACCGACUUCAAAUCGAGCACCCACUUGUAAGAGACGAUGCACCUAACUCCAAGUAGUCCUAACUGUCAACUAAAACUAUGAAAGAUCCAUAGAGUCAAGGACUAGAUAAGUGACUUACAAAUCACACAAUCCCAAAACCAUUAGAAAAUUGGUUCCUCUUACUGAUUCCUGAAAACUGUCGAAAUUUUUCAAAAACUUACCGAAAGACUUCUGAAACCCUUGCAGUGUCUUAGAAGGUACAAAAUCAUGCUUUAAACCACCUGCUCACCCGAAAUGCACUAAUGUAGGUGUCCGCGCAGAAAAUACAAGAUCGACUAUUAUUAGGUGUAUUUAAUAAUAACUACACCAUAUCGAGUUCUCGAAAAUGCCAUUUUCGGCUUUGAAACCCUCUGCUGCUCACCUGCUGUCUCCGGACCAUAGUUAGUUAAUUCGGAUUCGGCAAAAAUUCGGUACGGGUAUAAUUUGGAUAAAAUUCGUCUUCUAAUUUUUAAAUUCGUUGAAAAAUACGGCUAAAAAGCGGAUUCCUCAAUUAUUCAGAUACGUGAUUUAUACGGAUAUUAUACGUUCACCAAUUAAAAAUUCAGGAUCAAAAAUUUGGCUAUUAAAUUAAAUUUUUUUCUCUCAAGAUUUAUGCUAUUAGCAUAAAUAUUCAUAUUUCUUAAGAAUAUAAGAAUAAAUAGCUAUAAAAUUAAGCUAAUUAAGUAAAAAAUUCGGAAAGAGUUUUUUUUUUUUUGUUUUGGGCGAGGUGUUUGGAAAGGGUUUUUUUUUGUUUUUUCCUGUUUUGGGCCAGCCGGCCCGCGAGUGCGUGCGGGAGCGCGUGCGGUAGUGCGCGGGAGCACGCGCGGGCACGGGCGGCGUGGGCGCAACCCAAACUGAGAAUGCAUUCGAUCAACGCUUUUGCCGUUAAACGCACCAACACCCUAAAUUAUGCUUCGCAAGGCCAUCAAACCUAAUAUGAUUAGUCCAAAGAUCAUAUACAAUGGAUUUACACUGCCUGCGAUAGCCCAUAAGGCCAAAAUUGCAAAUAAACCCCUAAACAUGAAUCUAUUUGCAUUUAGUAUAUAAAAUAUUAGGGUUUUGACUUGUUACCGAAUUCUACAAGCUUCAACCAACUAGCGGUGCAGAUCGAUAGGUCCUGACGUUCUAAAGUUCACGUUCGCUGUUGGAAAUGCAAACAGUAGCCGAGAGCGCGCUGAGGCUAUGUGAAAUGUGGUAUCUAAAGUCACCGGGAGCGUCAAAAAUAAAUUUGCAAUCUAGGGCCUCACUUUUGGAGGAUUAUCGGCAACCUAGGUGGCCGGAACAGCAAAGCCGACCCAACUCAGCGUAGCUUGCGCAAGAUCCAAAGCAAGAAGACACUUCUUGGAUUUUGAUGGCCUGGGUGUCACACCCCAAUCCCCGCCAAUUUGGUCGGGUUCGGGUCACGUCAACAGACGCCGAACGAACAGCAUCUCCCCUGUACGCCUAAGGCUCUAACAACAAGUAUAAUUAAGCAAUCAAACAAAGAGAUAUGCAAUUAUACAAAGCUUACACGAGGGCAAGCAACAACGGAAGCGAAAGCUCUAAGCUAAAAAUACAACCAUACAUGAUAUUUGAUUAUAUUUUAACCAAAUACAAGUAAACUACAACUAUUACAUUCUUUUUCCAUUCAACCAUAAUUUCUUACAUUUUGUCAUUCACCAAAAUACAUGAUAUGUUUUCAACUUUACAAUUCUAAUUCAACAAAAUAAAAGUUGAUACAUGUAGGCAAAGGACUGACUAAAAAUGUAUAAGUCCUAGUGGCCACUAGCUAUGGCGCAAUACCCUUGCCACGGUCCUCCGCCGCCCCGCUCGUGCUCGAACCUGUAGGGUUAGUGGUGUGAGAACUACAACGAAGUUCCCAGUGGGUUCGGCAACCGACCUCGCUGACUUACCCACUAGGUCUAUUCAGGCAUAAGUAUUUCAAAGGAAAGGAAAGUAGUAACCAUACUAAUGCUAAUACUAUGACUGCAAGAAAACUGUCAAUGGAUAUAUAAUUAAAGCAAUAUUAAAUAUGCAUGCAUGCUUUUCAUGAUUUUACUUUGGCUUUUACCCAAUCUUACCGGUUAACUUUGUUAAUCCCAAUAACUCACAACCCAAAAUCUCUUAAUAACGGGAGACUCGAACCACCCUAGGGACCGUCCUCUGGGGGGACUUUACCACGCCCAAUGGUGACCAACUCCGGAGCGCACCGCUCGAGGGGGAGCUACCUCCCUCAAGCCAAGACUUAUCGUGAGUAUCGAUCCAAUCCUCGACUUGAGGAUACACAGCCACUAGUCACAAUGCCAUUGUCAUAAUAGGUUUCUACCUAUUUGUUCAUGCUACUUUCCAAGUCAUACUUGUCACAAUGUCACUAUGGUUAAACUAUGUUUAACAACCAAUUUCUCAAUGCCAAUCAUGUCUCGAUUGUCAAUGUCACCUUUGUUUACUAUUGUCAAAGUCCAAGUCUCACAUUCAUACAACUUUAGGGUCUCUACCAUACAUGUCCAUUAUGGUUCUAUCAUUCUCUAUGUUCAACUACAUUAGAAGCAUAUAAAUCAUGUCUAACCAAGUUUCACAUGUAAAAUUACCCUAUUAUGCAUGAAUAAUUCUAUAUACAAGUAUGCUCAAUAAAGGUGAAAAUAGACAUAAAGGGGAAUCCGAUGAUUCUGGCGUGCACCCCCGACCUUGAAUAUCGUAGAAGGGUUGUAAUUCGACCCUCGUGAUUUUAGGACGCCUCUCCCGCGACCUAAACCCAAAAUAAAGCCAAAUUAGGCCCUAUAUACUAGAUCUCUUACUUAACCUUUUCGUAACGUUAAACGGAGUUGUCACAAGCGUCGGGAAUACCCCCAAUUAGGUUUCCAAGAGGUCAAUUUACCUCAGAAACAACCGGAGGCGAAAGCCCGAAUUUCCAAGCCCUAACAAUACGAUAAUGGAAUUUCUCCUAGAUUGAUCUCAUCUCUAAGCAAAAAUUAGCUUAGAAUCAAUUAGGAAGCAUUCUAAUACCAUUACUAAGCCCCUUGAACCAUUCCUAGGGCAUCUACUUUGGAUUCUAACAAUCCACCAUGAGAGCACCUUGAGAAAACCAUGCUUUCAUGGUGUUCUAAGCUCUAGAGGGUUUCUAAGCUUAUUAGAGGAUCAAAACUCCAAAACUUAAGGUUUAAAACCAAACCCUAGAGUUCUACUUGCAAGAUAACUCACCCUUGCCCAAGCUACACCAAGCUCCUUCUUGUUGGAGAGCUUCUAGCAACUUCAACUCCACCAAAACCACCUUCUCCUUGUUUCUUCUCCACCUCGUCCUUGCCCUAGAGCAAGAGUUCUAGAGAGAGAGAGAGAAAUGAGAGAAAGAGAGAAUGGAGGUCCCUGCUGUGAAGAGAGGGAAGAUGGGCUCCUAUAUAGUGUGCAACAAUUGCAAUUAAGCCCCCCAAAAGUCUUAUUUGCAAUAGACUUCAAAACUGCUGCCAGACCAAAGUGUACCGGUACACUUUGGGCUGUUACCGGUUACACGAUUACGCAGGGCAAACCCGAGAGCGUUUCCCUCGGAUUUUACCAAAGUAUACCAGUACACACCAAGGGUGUACCGGUACAUUUUCUAAGAAAAUCUCAAACCUGAGAGCUUACUCUGCGCGUGCUGCUGGGCUGUUACCGGUGACAACUUGAUGGUUGUACCGGUACACUUUGGCCAGAAUGCAAUUUUAGCUCCGAUUCGACUCUAUUUCGCGUCGGUCGAUGCUAAAACCCUCCUAACUCUUUCUAAACUUACUUUUAGCCCUUCCAACAUUGUUGGAAUGCUAAAUGCAACUCAUCCAUCCAUCAUUUUCGCAUACUUUAGUCAAUUUGGCUAAUGUUCGAUUAUUUCUUCCGGGUUUCAAUACGUUACAUUCUCCACCCCUUAAGAUUAGUUUCGUCCGCAAAACUAACUUAAUUGCAAUCUAAAACUCAUACCUCAUCUUAGUUCUUUGAAGAGAUGAGGAUGACGUUCUUUCAUCGCAUCCUCAAACUCCCAAGUUUCUUCCCGAUCGUCGUGUUCACUCCAAUGAACCUUAACAUAUGGAAUUUCACGAUUCCGUAGUUUUCGCACCUUCCGAUCAACAAUGUACUCCGAGAACUCCUCGUAAGUCAUAUCCUCUUGAAGUUCUAUCGGUAUAUACGAGAGAAUAUGCUCCGGAUCAUGGACAUACUUGCGGAGAUUGGAUACAUAAAACACAUCGUGCACCCCCGCAAGCCUCGGUGGUAAUGCUACUUUGUAAGCCACCGCACCAACCCUUUCUAAGAUCUCAAAGGGUCCGACAAAUCGGGGACUUAGCUUUCGCCGGACACCGAACUGCUUAACACCGCGCAUCAACGAUACCUUUAGAAAUAUGCGGUCUCCAACCGCGAACUCGAUAUCUUUCCUUCGCUUGUUGGCAUAGCUUUUGUGCCUCGAUUGCGCCGUCGCUAAUCUUUGUCGGGCAAGGCGAACUUUCUCCUCCGCCUCCCGAACCACAUCGGGGCCAAGGGCAACUCUCUUGCCCACAUCGCUCCAAUGAAUAUGAGAGCUAUAUUUUCUUCCAUAAAAGGCCUCAAAUGGCGCCAUUGCAAUACUUUCUUGAUAGCUAUUGUUGUAUGUGAAUUUCGCCAUCGAUAAAUGAUCAUGCCAUCCGCCCUUAUAGUCGAGUACACACGCUCGAAGCAUGUCCUCAAGUAUUUGAAUGGUCCUCUCCGAUUGGCCGUCACUUUGAGGAUGGAAUGCCGUACUAAAGUCGAGCCGUGUGCCUAACGCGUCUUGCAAGCUCUUCCAAAAAUAUGAUGUGAACCUCGGGUCCCAAUCUGAUACAAUAGAUAUCGGAACCCCGUGAAGUCUCACAAUCUCGUCGAGAUAAACCUGAGCUAGCUUGUCUCCCGACCAAGUAGUGUGGAUCAGUAAAAAGUGUGCCGAUUUCGUCGACCGGUCCACAACUACCCAAAUCGCAUCAUGUCCACCUUGGGAUCUAGGCAACCCCGUCACAAAGUCCAUAGCGAUAUUUUUCCACUUCCAAACGGGUAUAGGCAAACUUUGUAACUUUCUCGCCGAGAAUCGCCGUUCCGCCUUAACUUGUUGGCACGUGAGGCAUUGUACCACAAACUCCCAUAUGUCCUUUUUCAUGCCCGGCUACCAAUAAUGUAGCUUCAAAUCUUGAUACAUUUUAGUGCCGCUCGGGUGUAUACUAUAGGGAGCUUGAUGCACUUCUUGCAUAAUCGCCCUCCUAAGAUCGUCAUCCUUGGGCACGCACCAACGAUUCCGAUAUCGUAGCGCGCCAUCGGUCCCAAUGCCAAAAUCAUCGGCACUACCGCUCUCAACUUUAUCCCGCACUUUUUGGAGAAAUGAAUCGAAAACUUGGAGUUCUUUAAUCCUCUCCAACAAGGUCGGUUGUACAAUCAACGUGGCAAGUGUUGCCGGCACUCCCGGCGCCACAACUUCAAGUCCAAACCGUUGCAUCUCCUUUUGCAAAGCCAGUUGGGAUGUAAUUGCUGUCGCCAAAUUUUCCGCCGACUUUCUACUUAAAGCAUCGGCCACGACAUUUGCUUUUCCGGAGUGGUAGAGAAUCGUGACGUCAUAAUCUUUUAGCAACUCCAACCACCGCCGCUGUCGCAAAUUUAAUUCCUUUUGGGUGAACAAGUAUUUGAGACUCUUAUGAUCGGUGUAGAUCUCACAAUGCUCACCAUACAAAUAAUGCCUCCACAAUUUUAGUGCGAAGAUAACCGCCGCUAGCUUGAGAUCGUGAGUCGGGUAGUUUUUUUCAUAACUCUUUAAUUGAAGCGAACCAUAUGCUAUAACUCGGCCAUUUUGCAUCAAAACACACCCGAGACUGAUAUAAGAGGCAUCACUGUACACUACAUAGCUCUCCCUCGGCGUCGGCAAAGCAAGUACCGGGGUCGACGUCAAUCUUUCCUUUAACUCCUUGAAGCUCCGCUCACAUUCGGCGCUCCAAAUGUACUUCAUCCCUUUGUGGGUAAGGCGCGUUAAUGGAGUAGUUAUCUUGGCAAACCCCUCCACGAACCGCCGAUAGUAGCCCGCAAGUCCCAAAAAGCUACGAAUCUCCGAUACACUUGUCGGGCGAGGCCAAUCUUUAAUAGCCUCCACUUUCUUUGGGUCUACCAAGAUGCCAUCACCGAAUAUAACGUGACCCAAGAAAGUAACCUCCGAAAGCCAAAACUCACAUUUCUUUAAUUUUGCAUAUAGCUUCUCUUUUCGGAGCGUCUCCAACACGAUUCUCAAAUGCUCCUCGUGUUCUUCCUCGGUCUGAGAAUAUACUAAUACGUCGUCAAUGAAUACCACGAUGCACCGGUCCAAUAGCAAACGGAAGACUCGAUUCAUUAAGUCCAUAGAAGCCGCCGGGGCAUUAGUAAGCCCGAAUGGCAUGACUGUGAACUCAUAGUGGUCAUACCGCGUACGGUAUGCCGUUUUGUGCACAUCCUUGGGCCGUAUCUUCAAUUGAUGAUACCCCGAUUGAAGAUCAAUUUUAGAAUAUACUCUUGACCCUUGCAACUGAUCGAACAAAUCGUCAAUUCUAGGCAACGGGUACUUGUUCUUGAUCGUCACUUUGUUCAACUCGUGAUAAUCAAUGCAAAGUCGAAGCGUGCCAUCCUUUUUCUUUACAAAUAGCACAGGAGCUCCCCACGGAGACACUCUCGGCCGCAUAAAGCCUUUAUCGAGCAAGUCUUGCAAUUGAGCCUUUAAUUCCUUAAGUUCUACCGUUGCUAUUCUAUACGGAGCCUUCGAAAUUGGCGCCGCCCUGGGAAUUAAGUCAAUGACGAACUCGACUUCCCUGUCCAGUGGCAAUCCCGGUAACUCCGCCGGAAACACAUCCGGAUACUCGCAUACUACCCGAAUACCUUCAAGUUCCAGGUACUCCUUUUGGGCGUCUACGAUGGUCGCCAAAUAGGCCUUACAACCACCCUUAAUUAUUUUCCUCGCUCUCGCUGCCGAUACGGUCGCCGCGAAGCGCCUACUUUUACACGCCCGGUAUAUCAAUUCUUUUUGAUUAGGUUCACCGAACGUGAUCACCUUACUUUCACAAUCUAUGACCGCGUAAUACUUGGAGAGCCAAUUGAUCCCCAAGAUCACAUCGAAGCCCCAUAUUUGAUUUAACACCAAAAGGUCGAUCGGCAUAACCCAAUCACCUAUCUGUACCGGACACGCUAAGCACUCGUCAUGUACAUGAAACGAAUGCUCUGGAGUAUUCACCAACCAAUAAUCUUCAUUAUGUGUGAUCUCAAUGUCAUGAGUCUUAGCGAAUGAUGCAUCAAUGAAUGACUGAGAUGCACUCGUGUUGAAUAUAGCUCUAGCUCUAGUGCCUCUGAUAAGAAUAAUACCUGCCAUGACGUCGUCGGGGACUGGAAUCAGCUGCUCCUCUACCUGAGUGGCAAAAACCCGCCCACUAGGUGCUCGAGAAGCCUCCGGCUGAUGAGGCACUGAUAAAUGUCCAGCAGAUAUAGCGGGUGGUAGUCCCGCCAGCUGUCGUGGAGUAUACUAGACGGAAGCUGAUGACGGAGCUGGGGAUGCGCCGCCCGGGCACUCUCGGCUCAUGUGCCCCAGUUGGCCGCAUUGGAAGCAUCGCCCUCCCACUGUGGACAAGUAGCGACUCUAUGAUCUCCGCCGCAUAUCACGCACGGGUAGGUAGUCUGGCUCUGUGUCUUACUCCUACCUCCCCGCCACUGUGAUCGCUGAUAUCGAGGGGGUCGCUUAGAACUUGACUGCCCCGCGGAUACACUAGAUGCCCACUUCUUGGACUUAUCCCUUUCCUUGUCCUUCUCGAGAGCCUCGCGCUCCUCUCGCGCAAUAGCAUUACCGUCUCUACCCAAAGCACGCGGUCAAGUACCUCCUCGUAGGUCUUUAACCGAAAGGCAUGAAUAACCUUGAAAAUCCCGGGUCGCAACCCGCGCUCGAAUGCCUCCGCCCUGUCCCUAUCACCAUGAACCAAGCUCAGCACGCAAUUGACAAGGUGCGUGAACUCUCUUUCGUACUCCCGCACUGUGCGACUUCCUUGCCUCAACUUUCGAAAAUCCUCCUUGAUUUUCCGCUUGUCACUCUCGAAAAAAUACUCCAUCAAUAGCAUCUCCCGAAAUGCCUCCCAAGUAACAGAAGCGGAAUCCAACAAGUGAUUCUUUUUCGCUUGAGUCCACCACAACCGAGCCGACCAGUCGAAACAGUGAGCCGCAAGGUGAACCUUAUCCUUCUCGACGGUGUAAAUGUCCUCAAACAACGCUUCCAUCGUGGCCAACCACGACUCCACCAACCAAGGAUCCUUCAUAUCGCCGUUGAAGGUCGGAGGGUUGAAUCACUUGAAUGCCAUCAGCGCCGCCAACAAUCGCUCCUGCUCGGCCUCAAGUACAUCGAGAAUAAGGGCCGAUGAACCCGAUGCCAUUGGAGGAAUAGCCGUCACUGGUGCUACCGCCACCGCAGGAGGUGGUGCUAUAGGAGCAAUAGGUGCGGGCGGAUCCCUCGGCACAAAUGCCGCCGCCGCCGCCUGUCGCGCCAUCAACUCGUGGAGCUGUCCAAUUUGCUCCCCCUGUAGCCGCAUAGCCCCGGCCAAUGCCGCUACUUGGGCUCGCAGCUCGCGCACUUCAUCCGUUCCCGUCUGCUCGGGCACUUCAUCAGGCAAUGCCGAAGCGGCUCUACACGUGUAGCGUCUCGGGGACAUUGUUCCUGAAACGUAUCACAUGCAUUAGUACUCGAUACACGUGACUCUUACACGUUCCAAAUAAUUACCCCAUUAAGCGAAAGCAAUCAAGUGUAUUUAUUUCCAACCCUUGGCAUCAUGUGGUCGGCCAGCCCACACAAACCCCUUAAGUAGAAAACAAAUAAACACUUGAAUCCAUCUCUAAUUCCUUUUAGAGAAGUACCAUCAUUAACCCAAUCAACUAGCUUUCGCAAGUACCAAGUUCACGUUAAACGUUUCCUAAGUCCCUAAGGUCUCCAAUCCUAGGGUUCCUAAGUCCAUCCUAGACUUUUGCUUUCUUCCAUAGCUCUGAUACCAUUAUAUCUGUCACGCCCCAAUCCCUGCCAAAUUGGUCGAGCUCGGGUCACGUCAACAGACGCCGAACGGACAGCAUCUCCACUGUCCGCCCAAGGCUCUAACAACAAGUAUAAUUAAGCAAUCAAACAAAGAGAUAUGCAAUUAUACAAGGCUUGCACGAGGCAAGCAACAACGGAAGCGAAAGUUCUAAGCUAAAUAUACAACCAUAUAUGAUAUUUGAUUAUAUUUUAACCAAAUACAAAUAAACUACAACUAUUACAUUCUUUUUCCAUUCAACCAUAAUUCCUUACAUUUUGUCAUUCACCAAAAUACAUGAUAUGUUUUCAACUUUACAAUUCUAAUUCAACAAAAUAAAACUUGAUACAUGUAGGCAAAGGAAUGACUAAAAAUGUAUAAGUCCCGGUAGCCACUAGCUAUGGCGCAAUACCCUUGCCACGGUCCUCCGCCGCCCCGCUCAUGCUCGGACCUAUAGGGUUCGUGGUGUGAGAACUACAACGAAGUUUCCAGUGGGUUCGGCAACUGACCUCGCCGACUUACCCACUAGGUCUAUUCAGGCAUAAGUAUUUCAAAGGAAAGGAAAGUAGUAACCAUACUAAUGCUAAUACUAUGCCUGCAAGAAAACUGUCAAUAGAUAUAUAAUUAAAGCAAUAUUAAAUAUGCAUGCAUGCUUUUCCAUGAUUUUACUUUGGCUUUUACCCAAUCUUACUGGUUAACCUUGUUAACCCCAAUAACUCACAACCCAAAAUCCCUUAAUAAUGGGGGACUCGAACAACCCUAGGGACCGUCCUCUGGGGGGACUUUACCACGCCCAGUGGUGACCAACUCUGGAGCGCACCGCUAGAGGGGGAGCUACCUCCCUCAAGCCAAGACUUAUCGUGAGUAUCGAUCCAAUCCUAGACUUGAGGAUACACAGCCGCUAGUCACAAUGCCAUUGUCAUAACAGGUUUCUACCUAUUUGUUCAUGCUACUUUCCAAGUCAUACUUGUCACAAUGUUGCUAUGGUUAAACUAUGUUUAACAACCAAUUUCUCAAUGCCAAUCAUGUCUCUAUUGUCAAUGUCACCUUUGUUUACUAUUGUCCAAGUCCAAGUCUCACAUUCAUACAACUUUAGGGUCUCUACCAUACAUGUCCAUUAUGGCUCUAUCAUUCUCUAUGUUCAACUACAUUAGAAGCAUAUAAAUCAUGUCAAACCAAGUUUCACAUGAAAAUUACCCUAUCAUGCAUGAAUAAUUCUAUAUACAAGUAUGCUCAACAAAGGUGAAAAUAGACAUAAAGGGGAAUCCGAUGAUUCUGGCGUGCACCCCCCACCUUGAAUAUCAUAGAAGGGUUGUAAUUCGACUUUCGUGAUUUUAGGACGCCUCUCCCGCGACCUAAAUCCAAAAUAAAGCCAAAUUAGGCCCUAUAUACUAGAUCUCUUACUUAACCUUUUCGUAACGUUAAAUAGAGUUGUCCCACGCGUCGGAAAUACCCCCAAUUAGGUUUCCAAGAGGUCAAUUUACCUCGGAAAUAACCGGAGGCAAAAGUCCCAAAUUUUAAGCCCUAACAAUACGAUAAUGGAAUUUCUCCUAAAUUGAUCUCAUCUCUAAGCAAAAGCUAGCUUAGAAUCAAUUAGGAAGCAUUCUAAUACUAUUACUAAGCCCCUUGAACCAUUCCUGGGGCAUCUACUUUGGAUUCUAACAAUCCACCAUGAGAGCACCUUGAGAAAACCAUGCUUUCAUAGUGUUCUAAGCUCUAGAGGGUUUCUAAGCUUAUUAGAUGAUCAAAACUCCAAAACUUAAGGUUUAAAACCAAACCCUAGAGUUCUACUUGCAAGAGAACUCACCUUUGCCCAAGCUACACCAAGCUCCUUCUUGUUGGUGAGCUUCUAGCACCUUCAACUCCACCAAAACCACCUUCUCCUUGUUUCUUCUCCACCUCCUCCUUGCCCUAGAGCAAGAGUUCUAGAGAGAGAAAGAGAGAAAUGAGAGAAAGAGAGAAUGGAGGUCCCUACUGUGAAGAGAGGGAAGAUGGGCUCCUAUAUAGUGUGCAACAAUUGCAACUAGGCCUCCCAAAAAGUCUUAUUUGCAAUAGACUUCAAAACUGCUGCCAGACCAAAGUGUACCGGUACACUUUGGGCUGUUACCGAUUACACGAUUACGCAGAGGCAAACCCGAGAGCGUUUCCCUUGGAUUUUACCAAAGUGUACCGAUACACACUAGGGGUGUAUCGGUACAUUUUCUACGAAAAUCUCAAACCCGGGAGCUUACUCUGCUUGGGUUGCUGGCCUGUUAUCGGUGACAACUCGAUGGUUGUACCGGUGCACUUUGCCCAGAAUGCAGUUUUAGCUCCGAUUCGACUCUACGUCGCGCCGGUCAAUGCUAAAACCCUCCUAACUGUUUCUAAACUUACUUUAGCCCUUCCAACAUUAUUGGAAUGCUAAAUACAACUCGUCCAUCCAUCUUUUUCGCAUACUUUAGUCAAUUUAGCUAAAGUUCGAUUAUUUCUUUCGGGUUUCAAUACGUUACAUUGGGAGUGCACACACAGGUUGACAAAGGGAGGUAAUCGAUGAGGGACAAUCGGCAGGGUCGACUGUCGACAGUAGGAAGCAACGGCGGGGACUGUCAAGGAACUAUGGUCGAGAUUAAAGGGGCUCAAGCUAAUGUAUUAGAGUCCAGUGUUAGGGGAGGUCAAGAAAGGUCAAGGUGGUGCCGGUGAGUGUCCUGGGGUCCACUUGAGCCAGUGACGAUAGCAGGGCUCGACGACAGCGGUCGCACAACAACUGCGGCCCAAAACCUCCAAAUGUUGGAUUUUAUAAUGACAACCAUAGUUUCGGGGCUACAGCGGCACUAAACUAGAUGGGGUGGCAUCACGAGGGCGCGAGGGGGCGGCAUUAAGGUCCAAUGGUGGCGUAGCUAUGGGAGAGGGGUUUCAUGUCAAGUUGGUCGAGAGGGGGAGGGAAAGAGAGAGAGAGAGAGAAAUGGAAAGUUGACAUGGGUGGCUUUUGGCCAUCUUCUAGCGGCCGGGGGAUGGUCACCGACAAUUGAGAGUAGUGUAGUGCUGGUGGGGGAAACCUCUUAGCAGCUAUGGGGCUUGAGAAUAGAGGGAUCAUGUUAAGGUUAGUAAACUCUAACAUACGCAUAUAUAGGGUUUGGAAAGUUGCAACUUAACCCCUCUAUUGUCAUUAUUUUAUUCUCAAUCCGUGUAAAAUGAGUGAAGGCACCUUCGCCACUAAUUUCACGCAAAUCUAUACAUAAAAUAUUGGGAGUUUUCCGUAAAAACUCAAUUUGCGUUUCAACCUCCACCCAAGUUUCAUACUUUUUCAUGCAAUCGACAUGCCGAAUUUCCAAACGAACUACACCGGGACUUGUACACCAUCGGACCAACACGCUUCAAAAUAUCGAACGGUCCAACAAACUAAGGCUAAGCUUGUUCCACAAAUAGAACAGCUUGAUCUCCCUAGAUGGCGACACCUUGAGAAGCACAUGCUCAUCAACCUAGAACUCUAGGUCACGCCAUCACUGAUCUGCGUAGCUCCUUUGACUGCUCUGUGCGGUCAAUAGUUGUUGCCUUACAAUGCAAAUCUUGGAUUCCGCAUCCUCUAUCGAGUCUAGCCCGAUCACCCGGCGCUCACCGACAUCGGCCUAACAGAUCGGGGACAAACAUUAUCGCCUAUAUAUUGCCUUAUGCAGUGCCUUCAAUGCUUGCCUGGUAAUUGUUGUUGUGAGCGAACUCUACCAAGGGUAGAUACUCGAACCACCCUUCACCGUAAUCAAGGACACAAGCAUGCAGCGUGUCCUCGAGACUCUGAAUAACACACUCAAACUGGCCAUCACACUGCAGAUGGUAAGCAAUGCUGAAGUUCAAUUUUUUUUACAGAUUUUAGUGCUAGAAUAUUUCAUAACGAGUCGUGACAAGUCGUUGUGGGUUGAGUUGGAAUCUUGAAGGUUUGAAAAAAUAUAUAUAUAUGAAGUUUGAAGACUCGAACACUCAAAAUAUGUUUUCACGAUACUCAGUAUGUUUUUACAAUGUUAGUGGCGAUUUAUGAAUAUAUAUAGUCAUUGAAAGUUAUUAGAAUUGAGAAAAAUUAUAAAUAUUAAAAGUUAACAUUUUUCAAAGUCCAGAUCCUAUCAAGGUUGGGACCCUAAAAGAAGGUCAGGACCUUGAACUUUUCAGGAUCCGGACCUUGCAAGAAGGGUCCGGACCUUGAUUUUUAGGAAAUAUCAACGUUCGAACCCUAUUAAAGAGUUCGGACUCUGAACCCGUCGCGAGUUUUUUAAAAUAAAUUCUUUAGUAAUUCUAAUUGUUUCCAAGCCUACAAAUAAGAUGUGGGGGUGUCUCUAAAUAUAAAAAAUAAUAGAUAAUCUUUUAGAAAACCUACAAGCCUCUAGAUACUCAUUUUUCUCAUCUUUUAUAACAAACUUCUCUCAAAUUGAUCUUUGGCGCCUUAAUUCUUAUUGUUCUUCUAAAAUCAAUUUGAGAAUUGCUUAAAGUUUAUUCCCACAAAUCUUUAAUGUUCUUCUACGCAAUAAAUCAGCAACCUUGUUCAUCUUCCUCCGGAUAGAGUGCGCUAAUGGAUUUGAGUAGACGUCGUGGAUUCGAACGUGGGGAGUGAACUAUCCAUUGGUGUGUGCGAGAUCCAAAGAAAAUAAAAGAGAUGUUUGAGUCCGUGGAGUCUGUAAUCAUCUCAUAAUCUUUUGUUUCUUAGUGGAUUGCUAUCGCAUAUUGGUCCUAUAGAUUUUUUUACUCCUAGUUGGAGCUUUUCAUGUAAAUCUCGAUGUGCUAUUUUUAUUUUUCGUAUUUAUUUUUAUUUCAUCAAAUUUUGUAUUUUUAGCCUAUAUGCCUAUUCACCCCCUUUUAGGUAUUUUAUAGAUCCCAGAUAAAUAUUGACUUCGUUGUAUUGUGAACGUCGAAGGUUACACUGGUACGGCUACGUACUGCACUGUUUAAAGCUCUGUUGCACCUUUUUCCUUCACGUUGCACCAUUAUUCUUCUUGUCGGCCAUGUAUUCUGCCCAAUUUACCGUCAAAAUAUUUAAUUUCGAAAAUCCGAACAGCAAACCCCGGAGCUGGUGAAUAGCGGGGCCAAUUUGGUUCGCAUUCUGAUGAUAGAAGGCUGCAAAACCACAUGCGGGGCGCAUUUAAUGUCUGCCUAGGUGCUAUACAGUAAGGUAUAUGUAUCUGAGCGAAUACGAAUAAGGCGGAGGGAGAUGAGGGGCAUUUUCAUCGGAUGGCGAAAAAUCUGGACCGAAUCUGCAAAAUCAAAAAAGACAAGCCAAAUUUUAUAAAAGCUCAAAAUUGUGAAUUUUUUAUACAAAUUGGCCGAUUAAAAUUGUGAAUAUUUUAUUUUAUGCAAGGAGGCAUGAAAAAGAAAAAAGGAAAAAGAAAAAGAAAAGACUCAAAAACCCAUGAGACCCAAAGCAAGGAGCGACCGAGCCCGGAUCCCGAACCCCGAAGGCUGGCCGGAUCCGAUCCAUGCGGCUUGUUGUUAAAGCCGUUUUCGUCUACUCCGCAUGCUCGUCGACGAAGCGAUCCUUCCCACUCCUCCUCCUCCUCCUCCCCGCUCUCCGCCGCCGCCGCCGCCGCCGCCGCCGCCGAUGUCAUCCCCCUCCGCUCCUCCUCCGCCGUGCUCCCACCUCGCCGCCUACCGCUCCAGCGCCACCCGCGGCUCCGCCGCCCUUCGCCACCUUCCGCCGCUGCCUCCGCGUCCGCCCCUCGGCCGCCCCGAGAUCCGCCGGGACCCUCCGAGACCCCCCGCUGCGGCCCCUGCCUCCUCUCCUCCUCUUCCUCCUCGCCCCCGCCCCGCCCCGCCCCCCUCGCCCGCCUACGCCUGCAUUCCUGCGCCGCUCGUCCUCUGCCCCGCCCACGCCCCUCCACCCCCUCUCCUCCCCUCCGGCCACGACAUCGCCGUCGAUGUCGACCGCGCCGAGCUCUUCUUCUGCCCUCUCCUGCCGCCGACCAGGUCUACGAUCUCCGACUUCGACGCCGCCGUCGUCCUUCGCCCAGUCCUCCUCCUCCCUCCCCCUCCCUCUCCCUCCCCGAAAGGCCCGUCCGGAAACGCCGCCGCGUCGCCUUCCGCCCCUGGUCCCCCGAUCCCGCCGAGCGCGCCGUCGUCCGCACCGGAUCCGUCCCCCUCCGACUCCCCGGCUGCGACGCCGACGCCGACGCCGCCGAUCCCUCCUCCUCCUCCUCCUAUUCCUCGGCCUUCGCCCCCUCGUCCCCCCCGCCCUGGGGACUGCGCGGACUGAACAACCUCGGCAACACCUGCUUCAUGAACUCCAUCCUCCAGGUCCUCCUCCACGCCCCGCCGAUCCGCAACUACUUCCUCAGCGACCGCCACAACCGCUUCCUCUGCCAGCAGCGGUCGCGCAAGAAGAAGGCGCCCGGCGCCGAUCCGCCGGCCUGCUUAGCCUGCAAUCUCGACGAGAUGUACUCCGCCGUCUUCUCCGGCGAUCGCUCUCCGUAUAGCCCCGCCAAGUUCCUCCAUAGGUCCGAAUCUGAUCGCCAUAAUUUCCCCCAUGCCCCCUUUUUUUUUAUUCUGCUUCUUUAUUAGUAUUCUCCGAUUCUUUCUUGUUGCGUCAGGGAAACAAUCUUUGCGUCAUGGAAAAGUUUCCCUUUUUUUUUUUUUUUUUCAAUGGCUUGUAAGAGUAGAUUAAGCGUUUAUCUAAGAGGAGGGGGGGAGGGGGAAUUCUUUUUUUUUCUUUUUUUUCUUUUUUUGGCGUUUGCGUUGGUUUGAGAGAUCUGUGGUACCGUUUUUUGGGAUUCCUUCUCACAGAACUGUUUAAUGCAAUUAAGGAUCGGAUUUGGUUUGACAAUGCUGUUGCUUCGGAAGUUCAUUUCGUGGUUUAAAACCAUGCGUCUGAAUAUUGGUGCACUAAAGACCAGAAGAUAUGAUCUAUUUUUGGGUGGUAUUAAUGAGAAAUGCAUAGAAAGUUGAGAUCCUUGGCUCACAUCAUCACAGUUACAUGCAAUCUUCAACAGCUUGCAUGCCCAUGAGUUGGCUGUUUAGUGUUCUGAUUUGUCAAAGAAACUUCCUCAGAUCCCCUGUGCUCUGCCUGCAUGGCUCGCCCGGAUUUCCGUGCGAUUUGCAUGAUUUUGAUCUAGUAUCUGAAUUAAAAGAUUCUAUUGCUACUCUUUCUGCUCAUAAUAUUGGAGCUUGAAUGCGUUAGAUAUGCUGUGUAUGUCUGCUGAUGUUGUUCAGUAUUAUGGCUUUGCAGUUGGUGGCAGCAGGCAUCGAACCUGGCUAACUAUGAGCAACAGGAUGCGCAUGAAUUUUUCAUUUCCAUUCUCGACAGAAUCCAUGAAAACAUGGAAGAUGACCAGCACAAAUCUCGAAGCCAAGGUUGUUAUGAUCUUUCUCGGUCCAUUUACUCUCAAGUUUACAGAUGCAUUUGCCCUGGGGGAAGCAAUUUUGAUCUGUUGCUGCAUAAUUAACCCAUCACUGGGUGGUGCUGACUGAAUGAUCCUUGUAAAAGUGUUUUUUUUUUUCUUUAAAAAAAAAAAAAACCUCUUUCUGCUAUUGGGCCACUUCACAUAAUUUUUUUUGACUUAUGAUAAAAGUUUUCGGCUUGGAUUUUCACGUGCCCUAUCUGUUUUAGAAAAUAACGCUGCACAUUAUGUUUGAUCAUCGACAUGACAGUCAAUAGCGCCUGUGAAGUGUCAUUUUUACGGAUCAUAUACCUUACUUUUAUCCCAAGAGGAUGCAGCUCAGAAUUUGUGAUUGGACAGUUGAACGAUCCCCCUUUGUUGAGAUAUUUUAUAGCCUAGAUUUCUUACCAGGCAUUGCAGAAGCCCAGAGAUUUGUUUAUUUUCCAUCUUUAUACAGUUGGAGGUUACCCCUGUCAUCUUUCUGUGCUUAUUUAUCAGUUAUUCAAGUAGAUGAACCUUCUAUCAUAUUGAAGCUACAUUGUAAUUAGAGUUUGGUGGUGAGGUUGGGAAUUACUUUCGAUUGAGUACAAAAUUGAAUUUAAAUUCUUUUAUGAAGUACAUUGCAAAUCCCAAGUUUGCCAUCUACGUCAAACUUUUUGUUUCCCCUCCAGUACACUAUUUCUAUGUCACUUCUGUUACAUAAUUAAUCUUCUUCGUUCAUUUUAACUGAUCUAUUUUAAAUUUGUUUAUUUUAUAACAGGCCAUAGAGACUGUUGCAUCGCGCACAGGGUUUUCUCUGGUGUCUUGAGAUCAGAUGUGACUUGCACGAAUUGCGGUUUCACAUCCACCACAUACGACCCUUGCCUAGACAUCUCCUUGGACUUGGAUUCUGGCCGUAACAGUAUGGCCUCCUUAAAACCACAUAUUCGCAAUGGGGAGAAAGACUUGAGCUAUGGAGUAUCCACACUCAUGAGAUGUUUGGAGAGCUUCACAAGGCCCGAGAGGUUGGAUUCGGAGCAAAAAUUCUUUUGUCAACGCUGUAAAGAUAGGAAAGAAUCCCUGAAGCAGAUGUCUAUAAGGAGGCUUCCAUUAGUUACCUGCUUCCAUAUCAAAAGAUUCGAGCAUUCAUCGGUCAAGAAGAUGUCGAGAAAGGUCGACCAUUAUUUGCAGUUUCCAUUUUCUCUUGACAUGACUCCUUAUCUAUCAUCCUCCAUCUUAAGGAGCCGAUUUGGGUACCGAAUAUUUCCUUCCGUUGGUGAUGAUUCCGAUGCAGCUAAUGAACUAUCAUCGGAAUUCGAGAUAUUUGCCGUGAUUACACACAGCGGCAGAUUAGAUGCUGGCCAUUAUGUAACUUAUCUCCGGCUUAAUGAUCACUGGUACAAGUGUGAUGAUACUUGGAUAACAAGUGUGGAUGAGAAUAUCGUGAGGGCGUCACAAGCGUACAUGUUGUUCUAUGUACAGAAGAUGCUCUGCUAUGAGGCAAGAGAAGGUGUGGCUGCAUCAUAAUUUUAAUGAAAGACGGAUUUGGGAGUUUUUAGAACUAGAUUGACGGCCCUAAAUUUCAUAGAAAAUCCUUUAAUCUCUUUCGUAUGAGAGAUUGGUGGAUUUAGGGCGCUUUCAAUCAAUCAAGAGCUAAAUAGAUGAUCUUGGGAAUUUCGGGAAAGAAGGGAAUUUGAUGGGGAAAAUCAAAGUCAAGACUCAUUUAAGAGGGAAGUGGCGGAGAAGAAAAUCGGUCGAAGUUUGGAUUUCCGCUUCCUAAUUCACCUACUAUUAUAAUUUAAGGAUAGAGAUGGGCGGUUUUCGCAUUGAUGCCAAAACAAUUUUGGCAUUGUUUUGAUGUGCGGCAAUGUUUUCUAACCAGUUAAUUGCUGAUAAUUUAUAAAGCACAAACAGAAAUGAGGAUAAAAGGAACCUAUUUUUUUUGCGGUGUUCCUUCCAAUAGAAAAGCUUUGUACUAGAGUACAAUUUUGCUAAAUGAUCUGUUUCCUCUUAUUAUCUCUCUGUCUUUCUCUAAUUUUUUGCCGUGUUUUCUGUGCCAUAUUUUUUGUGGUUAUGAAAAGAGAAUUCAUGCCUUUAUUUUAGUUUACAAAGGCGGAAGGCCCCAUGCUUUGCGAGAAGUCCCAGUCAGUUAAGAGAGGACGAUACAGAGGGAUAAGGAGAAUAGAUGACGGGAUAAAGAGGGAAAAGGAGAAAGGACGAGGAGAUGAAGAGGGAAAAUGAGAGGGGUGGACAAAGGAGAGAUUGUGCAACAUUGCAUAAGAAUGAUUUCUCAUGUGCAUGAUUUGGUUUCUGCUCUUUAUGACACUGAUACUAAUCGUUUGGAAACCCAUUCUGCAAAUGCAUUGACUGAGACAAAAUUCCUGCAAAUACAACCACUUGAUCAGAAUGUAUUUAGUCACUGUAGAAAAAAUUUGUUCAACAUGUAUAUAUGAUUUCAUAUGAUUUGUGCUUAUUGCAGCCAUUUCAACUGAUAGCAAGUUACUUCGAUGGUGCAAUUCAGGUUUGAUCAGAAUGUGGAAGCUUUGGAUACAUAACAUAAAAACCGCACCCUACAUGGCAUGGUGCAUAGUUUUUUUUUUUUUUUUUGAGAAAAAUGCAUGCGUGCUGAUGUUUAAAGAUGAGUUUAAAAAGCGCAAACUGAAGCGCACGUCAUUAUGCUUAUGAGGGUUGCGGUUGAUAUAUUGCAUUACUGCAUGCGAUUUUGUGUCUACUUGUUUCCUGCAAGUGCAUCAGAAGUCUAUCUGCAGUAGGUAUGCUGUGAUUUUGAUGUUUUAAACAUCUUGCACUGCAUAGAGCCCAUAUAGAAAAUUUUGAAAGUUGACCUUAUGUUUCUUCUUCAUACAACUAAAUUUCUUGCAUUUAUUGCAUUGAGCAUCUAUGUUGGCUGUCUUGUUUUAACAGUUCUGGAUCUCCUUGUUCUACCAGUUUAGCUGUAAGCUAAAAUGUAUAUAUCUCUCGUAGAAGAACAUCAGCUACCCACAAGAAGAGAGAGAGAGUUGAAGAGAGAGACUUUUGACACCGAAAAUUAGCACAGAAGAUACGAAACACGGAAAGAGAUUUUGACCUAGGCUGACUUCAUAGAAAGCUAUGCCAUAGAGUAGUAGUAUGGUUUGUGUCAUGCCCCGGGUCCAGCAUUACCCAGGCUCACCAACAGAUCCGCCGCAUAUAUAGAAAGUCCUGUGUACAUGAAGCAAUAAAAGCAUCCAUAAAUAAUUCAAGAACAACUAUUAGAGUAUAACAGAGCUAUUAAAACAGAAAUAAAUAGUCAUCUAUACACACAUGAAAUCUAAGGUGUACAACAUAAACGAAAAGUACAACAUCACCUGCUCAGAAUCCUUAAUUGAUGAAACAAAAUACAACUGUAUGUACAUGACUAUAAACAACUACCGUCUCCAAAAUGGUACUCCUCUAGCUCAACUUCCAGCGUAAACAGGGAUCUAACUCGUGACCCUCUUAUCUCGAUCAAAAGCAGUAAUAGCAACUAACAGCUUUGUAAAAAAAAAGUGGCAAUAAUAGACGUGAGAACUACUAUAAAAUUAAGUAGUCCUCAGUAGGUAACAUUACCGACCUCAACGGUUUACCCACUAAGUCUACAAAACUAACAAUAUAGCUGUUAGAUAAAAACUACAGCUAAUAUGCCACUACUCAUGUCAUACUCACUGUACACAUAUGCAUCAAUAGCUACGAACAAUCACAACUGACCCAAUCUACAGGAACCACCAACCGGCCAGUCCAGCAUGUGCCUAAGCUACUAAGCGCACCACCCACGGGGACGGCCGACCAAAGUAGAAUGCCUAAAGGGGCAACUGCGACAUCAAUGCACGAAAGCCAGACUCUGGGGCGGCACUCGAGGGCAUGAACCUACCGAGUAUAAAAGCGUGUAUUUUGUCGAGCUCAAAUAGGCUCCCACAGGCUUUACUCGAUGCAAAUGGUCAAAAGAAUCCGAAAAUCAAAGCUCUCGUGCUCUUGAUACAAUCUAAUGCAAAAGGUAAGGAUCUGGGUCCACCACCGUUAGUCCGGACGACACCCGACAAUACAAAACAACCAAAACUCUGCCGUAAAAAUCCACUCGACAUCUUAGCACGAGCGUAAUCUCAACCUAUCCGUGACGCACUAACAUCGGCGAUACAUAGUAAAAACAGCUCCUGAAGCUAAGUCUGAAUCAAAUAGAUGACAAGUUCAAUAGAUGAUGGAUGCAUUUUUAACACAUGCUGAAAUUUCAAUAACUUAGAAUGAAUUUCGAAAAUUUCGGUAAAUUAACCCACCUUAAGUUCUAGUCCACCCACGGCAAGGAACAACUAGCUCAAAAUCUCUGCUCACUGUCCUAAAAUCAAGUGAAACUCCUUCCCAGUCUAGAAAUGCAUUUAGGCAAAUCAUUAACGCAUUUAAAGAUCAAAUAAGUUCAAUUACAUUCAUUUCAGCUACAAAAAUAGAAUCUAGAUCAUAAUUAACCCAAUUUACCUCAUCCACUAGUUAAGGUCAGCUCCAACACCCCAGGAUUUAUAAGGAAAUUUGAUCAAAGUUUCCUUUCCAUACAAUUACACAAUUUGGAAGAAGAAAAAGGAGACCAAAACUAUUAAUUCUCUCAAAUUCAACAUACCACUGACAUUUGCUCCAAUUAAGCUAUAAUUGGCUCAACUAACCUGUAAAUCAAGUAGGGGGAAGCUCUAAAUUCAUAAUAUGGGAAAAACAAACUGUAAUGUACUGAAUCCCUAGUGUGUUGUACUGAACUUUGACCAAAUUGGCCAAAGUGCGUGAGGGAUGAUUUGGAAAGGUCCAUGUAAUUAGGGGUGGAAACGAGCCGAGCUCGAGCGAGCUUAUGUCAGCUCAAAUUCGACUUGAAAUUAAUUUCGAGCCUAAAUCUAGGCUCAAGCUCGGCUUGAAAUUAAUUCGAGCCGAGCUCGAGCGAGCCUAAUUUCGAGUCGAGCCGAGCUCGAGCUCUAAACGAGCCUAUUGAAAUUCUCGACAUUACAUAAUCAAUAGUUUAAUUUUUAUAUAACAUUACCUAUAAUUUGAUGCAACAUGUUCAAUAAUUUAAAAUACAAAAUAAUUGCAAGAAAUGUGAGCUAGGGUGACUGCCUGAUUGGGUGAGGGUUUGAGGGAGAACGAGAGAGAGAGGGGGGGGAAAAAAAUUAGGGAUUUGAGAAUUUGAAUGUUAUCAUGUUUUAGGAUUAUGUGCAACAGUGAAAGUCUGAAAGAGAGAGUGUGUUAUGUAAAUUUAGAGUUGGGGCUCAAUUGCACGGUUGUACUUGUUGGAUUUAUUUUAUGGGCAAACAAUAAUAGCCCAAAUUAAAUUAAAGCAUAUAUAUUAUAUAUAUAUAUAUAUAUUCGAGCUUUUCGAGCUUUUCGAGCCUAAUUCGAACGAGCCGAGUAAUACUCAAGCUCGGCUUGAAAUGAAUUUCGAGCCUUUUAUUUUGUUCAAGCUCGGCUUAUUCAAUUUCGAGUCGAGCUCGAGCGAGCCAAAUAUCGAGCCGAACACGAGUCGAACGCGAGCCGGCUCGCUCGUUUGCCAGCCCUACAUGUAAUGUUCUGAAAGCUUCGGAGCAAUUAGAAGAGAGUUUGGGACCCGGGAGAGCAAAACCUAAAAUUUCAAUGCAUUUGGGCAUUUUUGCUCUCGGGUUCCAAACCCUGUAGUAGGGUCCGGACCCUGGCUGCAAGAAGAUAAAAAAAAAAGAGGCAUUGCACUUGGGUUCUGGACCCUGUUGUAGGGUUCGGACCCUGCACACGCAGAAUAGGUGGUUGGAGAAGGGGGUUUUUUGCAAUUAUCGCAAUACCCUUUAUAUAGGGAUGUUGGAUGGGUUUUCUCUCAUUUUACACACCUCUCUCUCUCUCUUUCACACACUCUCAUUCCUCCCUCUUUCUCUCUCUAGAGAUCGAGCCUCUGACGCCUGAGAAUCCAUCGCUGGAGCUUGAAAAGGUUACAGAGAAGGAAGGUCAAGCUUUUGGAGCGAAAGGAGCUUGAACUCACCAGAGGUGAAGGUGAGAAUCUUGAGUUUUGAGUUAGGGUUUUUGGUAAAUCCUUCGAAAAUAAGAUAAUUGGAAGCCCUACAUGAUUCCAAACUAGAAUAUUGUAUAAAUCACAAAGAUUUUUGGUUAUUUUGCAAAAAAAAAAGGGGGUUUCUAAGGUUUAGAAAGAGGCUUUUUGGAUUUGUAGGGUUUUGAUCUAAAUUGAUCUAAUAAUUCUCUAAUUGAAGGUUGUAGAAAACGCCUAGUAGUUUCGAUUUGAAGAGUAGUAGCAUUUCGGUGGUCGAUUGAGGAAAGUUGAAUCGAAAUUGAAGAAUUUCAUUCGUUAGCACUGAAAAGUGCCGAAUUGGUGUCGGAAGUUAAAUUACUUCGAUUUUUCCACAAUUGACAUCGAAUCGAGCUAGAUGGUGCUAUCCGAAACAAUUGGAUUUCUUGCUAUAUCUAUUUUGCCAUUUUGGUCAUAUGUGUAUACAUUCUAUGCAUAUAGGAUUAUUAUUGUGUUUGAGCUUUCAAUUUCCUUGCAUGCUUCCUAAAGUAGGGUUGGAUAAGUUGGGUUGAGAACUCAGUACUUGGACGCAUGAGGAUUGGGUCGUUGGAUAUUGGGAACACUAUAAAUGCAAAGAGCUAGAAUGCGAACUUAGAAAACAUUGUGAGACAUUGGUGACAUAAACUUGGUGGCAUCUCAUGACUAGUUGUAUUUGAUAGCACUUUGUUGAGUUAGUUGCUAGGGAUUGGUAGAUCCCCGGAUGUUGUAACCCUUGUUUGUAAGGUGUCCUUGAUAUAAGAGGACUAGAUCGUACUCACACAUAGUUUGUCCAGUUUGUUGGUGGUCGCAGCACCACAAGUAGUGAGCUCAUGAGUUGUCACGUAUGGGUUGAGCGGCUAUCUCCCCUACAGACUGCCCUUGAUUGGUUGAGCGGCUAUCUCCCCAUGGGCCUUGGUAUGUGAGUGGGCUCAACCUUCGGAUGAGACAAUAUAAUUGGGUUCAAAGGUAAAAUGGGUAAGCAUCAUGAGCAUAGUAGUAUUUAUUGUUUACCCAAUUUCAUAUUGUAGAGGCAUAGUAGUUGUUUCAGUUGCAUAUUAUUGUUUAUUCCCUCUUAUUACUUAUGCCUAAUUAGACUUAGUGAAAGUCAGUGGGGUCGACGACCGAACCUACUAGGAACUUUUUUUAGUUCUCACACCCUUGUUUUGCAGAACCUGGCACGAGCGGAACGGUCGAGAAUCCAGGCAAGGGCAUUGCGCCCUAGGUAGUGGACUAGCAUGUAUUAGUUCACCGUAUAUAUUAGAGAGGUGCUUGUAUGUUAUAAGAGAACUUGUAGAGGCGUCACUUUAGGAGAUGAAAAUGUAUAUGUCAUUGUAAUAUUGCAUGUGUGUAACAUGUACAGAAAUGGAUGUAUUUUGGCUUGAUUGUAUGUGAAGCUUAAGUGUUUUAGUUGUAUUACUUAAGUAAUCGCUCUCUCGCUCUCGUGUAAUUGCCCUCCUACAAUUCAUGUUAUGUUGUUUUUUUUCUGGGCAAAACUCGAUAAACAUGAUGUUGUUUGUGCCUUGGGCGGACAUGGAAGGCUCUGUCUAUUUGUUGGUCUGUGUGCGUGCCCGAACCGACCAAACUGGCGGUCUCAGAGCGUGACACAAACACCAACCAAUCACCCUACAAGACUCAGCUACAAGAACCAUAUCAAAGAAUCAAUAAAGAUUCACACUACUUCAAAAAUUCAGCUCAAACCUCAAUCUUGCAUCAAUUCCCUACAUACUAACUUUAAUUCUAGCUAGUGUAAGAUGCAAGUUUGAGCUUCGCUAUUUCCUUCUCCUCCCCACGUAUCUUAAUUUUGAAAUGGAGGCUUCCAAGGGCUGCAAUUACUGCAAUGGUUGGCAGCCAGCUACUAGUGCAGCUGCAGUUUGCUUGCUGCCAACCAACAGAGAGAGAUAUAGCCAGCAGGGAGAGAGCGAGAGGAAGAAAGGAAAGAAGAAAAUAAGGGAGUUAUUUAAGUUGACCCUCAACUCCUCAACACAGGUAACAUCCAGUAGUUACCAACAAAUCUUAGCAAGAAAAGCUGGAAAUGGAUUAAAAUCCAAAAUUUCAGCACAAUACUAUAUAGGUUGGAAAAAUCGAGUUAUCCAAAAUUCUCCCUUUACUAACCUCCAAAUGAGCUCCAAUAAUGUUCCAACUAGCUAUGGGUGAAGUUAAGCUUUCUACCUUCCAAACGUUCAGCUAUAGAGGAAAACCCAAGGUAAUUCCAUCAAAACUCAAGAAUCCCGUAGAAUGCAGUAAUUUCCCAUUCGGUUAGUAGAGCCCAAUGAAAAAGAAAUUCACACCAUAACACCUUUUAAUUUAGCUCAAUUAAACUUUUCUCUUGCUCCAAGUGAAGGUAGACUUGUCCCCAACUCCUAAAAAGCUUAGCUAAUGAAACAGAUUAAAAGAAAAUCCAUCAAAUCCAAGAUAUAGUCCAAAAUUCCAUCUCUAAUCUAACUGAAACCACGUCUACUAACCUGAAUUUCUAGCAUAACGAGAGAGUAAACUAAGUUGUAACACUUCAUUCCCCUAGCGCCAUAAAAUUGUGCCAUGUGGUGAGCCGGGAUGCAUCGUGGAAAUAGCUCCCAAAGCCAAAUAUAAAGUGACAUGUGGUGCACCAGGAUUCGAGAAGAAUGCGCCCAAAAACUAAAAAUCGGUUAGACUUGAUGCAGUUAAGAUCGGCCAGGAGCGUCCCGCAGAAAUAAAGACAUGGCUGAUAGUAGGAAUAACUGAAUAAAUAACGGGCGAGACUAUAAAUAGUUAGGAGACGCCUGAAAAAAGGGUCUUUUGCCCCUGAGAACAAGAAAGCCAAUCAAUUUUCGAGGCUUUUCUGCUUUUCUAAGAGUAGUCUACUUAUAAUCUCUCUUUCCAUUGCAUUUCUUGCUUUUCUAGGAAUAGUUUUAAGUUAGUUUCCCUAAAGAUCAGACGUCUUAACGACAUCUACCUUUCUGUAAAUGUUCCCCUUCUUUGGUAAUAAAUAUUCGCAUUAUGCGACUCAUUUUAGCCGAACCGAAUAUACAGUGCAACAUUUGACUCAGCUGAUCAGAUCCCUCAUCAGCUGAAUCACUUGAUUCAGUUAUGGGCACAAAUUUCGAGGGUCACUAUCAAAAGGCACUCUACUUCGUUAUGCACUUUCCAAAGGAGGACAUUUGACUGAGUCAACAAUCUAAGAGUUUCAGCUCAUAAUAAUUUUUUGGUACACUCGAUGGGACUUGCUCAGGUAAUUCCUCAUUCAUUUUGCUCUAAUUAAUGGCGACAAUCAUCAACCAGUGACUAACAAUGAUCGGCUACGGUUGGGAAUAGACAAGGAUAUGUCCUUGCAAUAGUUAAUGCUCAAUAUGGGUAGGCUGGCGCCACACAGGUUCGAGACCUAUUGGCUAUUGGAGCCCUAUCGGUAACGCCAUAAGUGUAGGUUACUAUGCAAAAUAUGGGCUUUGGUCAAUACAACUGAUUUGGCCAAGGUCAGCCUAUAUGGAAUGGUGUGGAGCACCAAAGUCACAAUGGUCAACGUAAUCGCUUUAAAUAGGAAAAACUUGCAUUCUACAAUGGAGGCCAGGGGCAAUUGGUUUUCACCACAAAGUGACUGGUCAGCCUUGCAAUUUUGUAGCAACCUAGCAGGAGCUCUGAUAGCAGAUCAAGAAGAUCCUAGCUACAAAAUUCAACUAAAAUUCAAUCUUCAGACCUCUAGCGAUCAAGGCGAUCCUAGUGACAAAAUUCACCUAAAAUUCAAUCCUCAAGGAACAUCCCUAAUCUUGUUUCAGCACCACCCCUACCUUGCACAUGUUGAAUAAUAUAAGUGGCCGAAGAUUUAUAAGGUACCGAAAUUAAUCAUUUUCUUAGAAAAAAGGCAACCAGUUCACCCAAAAGCACAUUAUGCGUUUUACCACCUUGUAUAGCGAGGUUGUAGCCCAUCCUACCUUAAAGCUGUGGCUCUUAAAGUCUGUCGUUGCUUUCACAUGAUAUAUCAAUCCGCUCGCAAAAGUUACAUGAGUUGUUCUAUAAGGUGGAGCCCGAUGUCUCAAUAGCUAACUGCACGAACAUCAAGCAGUGGCCGAAUAAGUCAAUCGAAGCUUACUUGGCUUGAUUUAAAGCGACUCGAAGCUGUUGUUAUCUGGAAAUCUCAGAGGCCAAAUACACAAAGUUGACCUUUAGCGAUCUUCAAUUUUGAUUACAAGACUAAUUUGAGGGAAUAAAAUUUUUUAACCUCUUCCAACUCAGCUGAUGGUCGCUCAAUAUGAGUAGUUCUGCAACCAUAAAGAUGAGAGGUAGAAAUUUUGAAGGCGUUGCAUGACCGUUAGAAACAACAUCUCAUAUCUUGAGUAUAAGAAAUUUGAAAGUGGAGGGACCCAAACAAAGACUUAGGUGAAGCCGAGCAUGAUGUCUGCAUUAGUCGAGUUAUUAAAAAGCCAACUAUAUAAGCGUUCGGCCUUAAAGCCUUAGAAGUGGGAAAAAGUAAGAAGUCUCAAAAAGACUUACUCUUUUUGAUAUAUUAAAAACUAAAUAGAUAUUUGAUUGUCUACUAAAGGAAGGUCAGAUCAAACUUUCAAAACGGCACGUCCCUCCCUCAAUAAACAACCUUAGAAAGAAAAAUUACUACAAAUGGCACAACUCUUAGAGCUAUCAGACCAAUGAUUGUAUUGCAUAUUGGAUAGAAAUCCCAAAAAAUGAUCAGAGAUGGUUGGUUGAUGUUUGUGUACCAAGACAACGGCAAGAGCAAAGAAAUGCUCAUUAAUACCAAAACUUUCCUAAUGUAGGUGAAUAUAAUAGCAUGAAAGAAAAGAAAUGAUGAGAUGGGGGUGAUGAGGGAAAAUACUCACAGGUCUAAAUCAACUAGAAUGACAAAAGAAACUAUCACAAUAUCACCCUCGAAAAAAAAUGAGACCGGGGAAGGAAACACACCACCAGCAAUAAUAACAGAUAGUUGACCAUAUGACCGACAGGGAGAGUUUUAGUUUGCUCCUUAUCAACACUCGGGUCUUCUUUUGUCUACAACAUGGCCCAGUUCACAUAGUGAGUGUCAAAAGAAGCUAGAGGAAGAAUGUAGGCAAAAUUCGUAGAGAUGACUAUGUUGUCCGGGGAGACUAGUUGAGUAGUAGGCCACACAUAAGAGAUAGAAAAAGUAAGGUGAAAUUUCAAUGUGCGCUAUGAAGAAAACAUUUAUAUUCAGCAGGAAGUGUAAAAGAGAGCUCGUUGAAAGGUGGCUCGCUGAUAGUGUCAGAGAGUCAUCAUUGGCCCUGCCACCAAAGUAGGCUGAGUGGAGGGUCUCGACGAAGCCAAAAAGACCUCUGGAGUAUUUAAAAUUUCUUUCUCAGUAUUAGAAGUGGUGUAUCCUCCUCGAUACUGACAUAAAAUAACAACAGGAUGAAAAAGAAUGCAAUGCUAGAAGAAAAGAAUAAAAAAGGCUUCACAAACUAUAACACACUGGACCUGUGCAAAUUGCGAGGUUUGAGUGCUUGACUUGGAUUUCGAGCUUUCCACACUGGGUGGAGGGUCGUAGAUGGUAUUCCGACCUAAAAGUUCGAAAUUCUGGAUUUUGGCUAAGUCCUUAGAGUUUUCACUCUCGGGGACCGGUCCCUGGUGGAAGAGACCGGUCCCCCCGGAAUAGUGUUGCGGCAGACUUUAGGCAACCGGUCCCUGGUAGGGAGAGACCGGUUCUCGAGAGCUUGUUUUGCGGGAAGGUCCCGAGGGACCGGUCCCAGCUGGGAGAGACCGGUCCCUCUGGGUGAAAAUUGCUCAGUUCGGGCUAAUGCACAGAUUGGAUUCUUAAGGGGCCUAAGUGGAUUUUGUUACAUAAGAGGGCUUUUAGGCCAUUUCCUCUCUCUCUUUUCCUCACUUCUCACUCUCUCACACACUCUAGAAAGAGUAGGAAAAUGAGAAGAAGGAGAAGAAGAAGAAGGAGAAGAAGGAGAGCAAGCUUGGAGGCUUUGGAGCACCUUCCUCUCCCUCAUUUCUCACUAUUGGAGGCUUGGAGCUUGGACUUGGACCUUUGUGGAGGAUCAAUUUUCAACCCUUGAGGAUUUUGAGCUUGGUUUGGAGCAUCCUAGAGGUAAGUGACUAGCUUCUUUCCUCUAGAUCCUAGUUUUGGAGUUUUACACUAAAUGAAACCCUAGAUUUGGAUUUUAGGGUUUAUUUUGGGGAUUUUUGAUUUGAGGGCUUUAGGGCCCAAUUGAUUGGUUUAGAACCUUCCUUUACGUUGGAUUGGAAGGGUUCUUGCUCUCUUUGGAAGCUUGAGAAGAGAUUUCUACACAGGAGGUGAGUUUUGCUCUUUUCUUGAAUCGGUUAAAGAUUGAGCUUAGUAUUGUUCGUAAGGUUCGUUUGACUCUUGUUCCUACAUCUUUAGGGUGCUAGGAGACUAGUGGACACCUCCGUUCGACGAAACAAAGAGUUCCGUUUUUCGGUGGAUUUGACUUCAUAAAAACGGGGCAAAAUGGCCCCUAUGCUUCCUAUACUUAUCGUAAAGUCUUUUUGAAUGCAAAUCCAUGCUAGAUAGGAUUUAUGUGAAUUUUAGAAUACUUAAAAUGCAUGUGCUAUGUGUAAGAUAAAUUUCACUCUAUAUAGUAGAGCAUACUGGGUAAUUCUCAUGCAUGUGAGAGGUGUUCGAGAUAACAAUGAGAAUCAUGUCUCUUAUGUUAAGUCAGCUCAUAAUUGUGUAAUUGCAAACACUAUACUAUGAUUGGACUUAGUGAAUAAAGUGUCAUAAAGGGGCACUUGACUUAGUAACUAUGAAACUGCUAUAAUGAGACAUAGUGAUAGGCUAUUGAUAUCUAUUACUUCCAUAUUUUAGAUAUGAUGACUUAGAGAUAGGCCAUUGAGAUAUGUGACAUAUUCCAUGUUGUUAGACAUGAGGACUUGGUACUUGAGACGGAUCUUACGUUCUUGCCAUUGUGCUCAUUCGCACAUGCUUGUGAGGGUCGCUCCCUACAAGCCGGCACUCCGGAGAUAGCCAUCGCGAUACAUAUUCGUCGUGGGGGAUUGGGCGCCAAAGUGGAUUGCCGUGGGCUAGGCUCAUCCCUAGGGUGGGGAUGUUGACUACCACGGGGCCAUUAGGUUCGGCACCGGCCAGACAGCCUACGAGUGGGUCUCAGGGCCAGAUAACCUUCGGGCGGGUCUCUUCAGAUUUGACUUUGAGCAUUCAUCAUGACAUGUGGACAUUGACUAGAAUAGUAAACUUUUACUAUUACAUUGUGGACUUUAUGUUGGUUGCAUAUUCGCUCGUAUUCUUGGUAGAAUAGCUUUCUUACUUAUGCUAAAUCAUGCUAAGUAGAGAUAUCUUGUGGUAGCAAGUAUUCAUGUUUAUUUACCUGUUGUACAUAUCGCUCUUACUCCUAUUGUUGACUGACCCCUUUUUGUAGCUUCUGGGCCUAGUUGUGCAUUUCACUGAAGUCAUUAAUUGCCCACUGGGAACUAUUAUUUAAUAGUUCUCACGCCCCUAUUUCUAUGUUUUCUUUUCAGAGCCUUCGGCACCGACGGAGGCACGGGGUCGCGGCAAGGGUGUCGCCUAGCUCGAUACAUAGCGGAGCUCGCUUUUGCUCCUAGGUGGUUACUCUCUUUUUGUGUUUUUGUGAGAGAGAGGUUUUGUACCAUGUAGAGAGACCACCUAUGUACCUUGUUUAGCUUUUGUAUUUGGGACUCCUAUUGUACUACUUUAUGUUUUUACAUAGUGGAUUUAGCCUUAUGUUCUUUUCCCUUAUGGUAGCUUAUAGACAUACUUUGCUAUGAUACUUCUAGAUAUUCUCCUUUUGUUGCCUUAUUUAUCGCUUCGUUAUUUCUUUUAUUGUUUUGUCUUAGACGCCUUAUAUGUUUUAGACAUACGGCAGGUCUGGGCACGCGCCAGGCGGGCUUCCGCUGGAUUCCGAGGCGUGACACCAACCAAGAGAACUACUAGUCAACUGUCUUCCACCUAAAUCGCUUGCAUCCACCUCCAAUGGGCGAGCACCUGCAAAAUUGAUUUUGAGUAACAAAAAAGCAAGCAAAGUAGAACAUGGGUAAGCCUUAGAUGUUUACCACAGCACCACGGUAGGAGUGUGUCCUUCUAUCACUGACAUUUUCUUUUCUCUCCAGAAAACAUCAGCUUCGGGGGGGGGCUAAAGACGACUUCAUACUUUCUCUCUUUUUUCUAAUCCAUCAAACCUUGACUGUAGCAGAGGUUUCAAACCCUCAGGAGUUGGAACUUAUUUUCGUUGGCCUUUGGUUGUUUCCAAUGGGAUCGACAUGAAUCUCGCCGAAAUAACCUCGAGGGAAAGCGAGAACGAAAUCAUGUCAUAGGUGCUAAAACAUGAGGUUCUGGCAGUCUUCGAAAGAAAGUAUUUAGGGGAGAAGUCGGUCACAAAGCAAUGAAUGAUGAAGUACUUCUAUGUCCCCCGAAGUUCACAAUGAUAAUAGUCAUCGGCAGAGGAUGAGAUUGAGUAAAGUUGAACUGAUAGGCAAUGAUGUGUAGUAGAUAUACUUCAAAAUCCAGGGAACUAAAACUAAUUUGAAGAUAGCAUGGCACCAGAUUGAAUUUCCAUACAUCGCAAAAAUUUGCCUAGAAUAAUGUGGUAUCGAAGGAAGGUAGUAGAGUACUAAGUCUGGCUCGGAUUCAACCAGGAUUGGAAGAUAUGGAAUCAAAGGAGACAAAUUUUUGAAAGUAUGCACCUCAAUCGUAUAAAAGAAAGAGAAGUGCUGGCUAAAGGAUGAUUUAGGCCAAUCCUUCCAUGCUAAGGUGAAGAGGUAAAGAUAGGUCCUAUAAAUAGGAUGAUCAAUUAAGCCCGCCAUUGGUAGUUUGGGUGUCAACUAUAGGAAACUAAAUGCAAAACUAGAGAUGCAAUAGCCAAAAUUGCUCACAAUUUUUGGACCGGUCCCUAAUUUUUUGAGCAUCCUUCACCGCUGUCGAAAUUUGUUUAUAUAGAUUGGAGAGGAUAUGAGGGUGAGAGCUUAUUUAUGAACCCAUGGUAGGCAGAUUACCAGCUUUAUAUAAUCCUUCUCUACCUUCAACAAAGGAGAAUAGAAUAGGAGUUGACACAACCAGUAAAAUAGGAACGUUGUGUGCUCAUUGUCAUCCACUACGAUUUCUUUUGCAUCGAAGAUGGCAAGGAAAGUGAUGUAGGGCAUAGAGGCAUUGUUGAAUCGACUUAGAUGACUUGUAUCAACCUUCACACAAGUACUGAGGGCCUUCUCGAGGCGCCAGAGGUUAGCGAUGGCAACAAGGUCAAAAGAUGUCGAAGUAAAAAUGCCUUACUAGUAAGAGAAAGAAUUUGUGGAAGUGACCAAAAGGAUAGAGAGGUAGCAAAGAUAUGUUAGUCAGCUUUCAUGGACAUCUUUGACAAUUGAAUAGCAUCGAAAUUGUCUAUAUUAUUAUGGAAAUCACCCUAGGUUUCUUCAACUUAGGCUACCCAUUAAAGGAACUCCCUGGAAGGGCUUGGCCAUGACUAGAGAAUAUAGCUGUGAAGAUGCAAAGGAAAGGGUGGUAGGAAUCUAAAAACAACGAAGAGGUGAUAGAUGGACUAAAGAUGAAAUGGGAGUCCAAGUCAGAAAACAAACGAAGAAUCUACAGAUUAACAAUGGCAUUGUCGAGAAAUGCAUCGCUGUUAGGAGAAAGUACCGAAGAGAAGGCCAUUACAAAGAAGCAGAUACAAGAAAUCAGGAAGAAGGAAGAUGAAAAAUUAGUUGCUUCGGUGAAGAAAGAUUAAGGUUUCAGUGGGAAAACAGCCAAAAGUGGGGAUAUUUAAACGAAUUAUCCAAUCAUUAUGAAAGGCCACCUAUCCUGUGAUGCAACGGUUCACAUCUAAAAGAAUCGUAAUGAUGGAAGUGGACUUAAUGCAUGUGCGAAAAUCCAAUAUAGUGGGUUGCUGCAUGUCGCGUCAAAAAGACAUAGAAUUCAAAGCGGUGGCACUAGGUGAUCCGAUUAUUGCUUGUCACUAUACAAGAAAUGUCGUGGGGUGCCAUUGUUCACACUGAAAAUAGCAUUGAACAUACGAAGCUUCGAAAGAGAUUUCGGUGCAGAUCCUAGCCUUUGGUAGAAGACUAUGCCAAAGAAUACCGGGUUUUGGUUUUGGUAUCACACCCAAAUACUCCAACUUUGGGAAGUAAAGAGCAAGCCCAUUUGAACUGUCAUUCAAAAUUCAAAAUGGCAUGAUCGAGGGUGAGAAUCUCGAAAGUAGUUGAGGAUAGAGGGCUAGCAAAUAGUGGGAGCUACUCUGAUAAUUACAACUGCUUAUAAAAGAAAAUGAACACCUACAGAAAAAGGAUCCAAACAUUAUCUUAGGCAUCGCUCUAUACUUGCAUCCGAGAAGUAGUACUCGUAUUGUAGCUUAAAAGUAGUUGUAAUACAAUUAAGGAGUAGAUAUAAUAUAAUCGCCACCUUCCUUCCGCCACCGUCUCAAUAGUUGAUGACCGCCGACAACUACCACUCCAACCAUUGCCCAACCAUAUCGUCUUCACCGGGAAACGCUUCUCCACACCACGUGCUGUCACCCAUGCAGAUUUACCUCUUCGAAGACCACCAACAAUCAAUGGUCUGUCUCUCUACUUUCGGUCCCGACAACGGCCAAACCACGAUAAGCCGAAGUCACCAAACCUUCAGUUUGCAUGUGAAGACCGCAAGGCUUUUCCUCGAGUUUGGAUCUGACCACACUGUUCCCUCUCCAGUCUUCACCUAAGACCAUGUUAGAUCAAGCCUUCGCAUUGAGGGACAUGUCAAUUGGCAGGCCAAUCCAAUCGCACCAUGUUUCGCUCUGCAAUUUCUCCACCAACUAAUACUUAUUUGAAUGUGAAGUUAUUGAUUAUUUACUUGAGACAGAGGAGAUAGACAUAGGAAGAGAUAAGAGUUAGAUUUGUAGUUUGAUUCAAGAAUAUUUUUGGAAGAAAUGCCAACGAUAUGCAUUUCAUUCGUUCAAUUAAAGCGAACAACAAGUUGUCAUGUGAUAGUUCAAGAAUAUUUUGGAAGAAGUGACAAAUAUAUGUAUUUGAUUCAUUCGAUUAAAAUGAACAACUGAUUAGCAUUGUUUUAGUGGGAUGGAAAUGGUAGGAUUAAUUGUAAUAAUGGCCUCCAAACUUUCAUAAAAGUUUUAAUUUAUCUCCUAUUUUUUUAGCAUGAUUCUAAUACUCCUUGAACUUCUAUAAGUACAUUAAUUUGGCCCAUUUGGUCAUCCUAUGUUGAUUUUACUAAUGGAAAAUGAUCAGAUAGCUUAUUGGCAUUUUGUUUUCUAUGUAUACUCAUACGUAUGCCUAAGGUGUGAAUUAGAGCUUACAAUUUGACAAGAUUAAUACUACUUUUAGGAGAACAGAGGCCUUCGUCCUUCUAAGUCGUUUUAGAUGAUAGAGAUUUCGAAUCGAUGAUCGAAAUUGUUAAAAUUGAUCUAGAUCAGUAUUCAAAGUGUUUAGAAACUAAAUUUCAUAAAUUUUAAAAAUUAUUUACGUAGUGAUCAAAUGAUUACAAAAUCGAUAGUUUUUUACGGCUUAUAUGAGCCAUUUGCUUGUUUAAUGGUAUAGAACAAUCCAAACAAUUUGAAUUUUUAAUAGAAAAUUUUGUAUAUAUUAUUUAGUUAACGUUUGAUAAAUUUGAUCAUGAAUUGAAAAAGUCUAACAUCUAUUUUCACAAGGUUAUUUAUUUUUUACCAUUCAUUUUGCGACUCUUCAAUAAACUUGAUAACGAAUUUUAAAAUUUAUAAAAUUUGGUUUUUAGACGUUAUAAAUACUUUAGAUCAAUUUUAAUGACUCCGAUCAUCUAUCCGGAAUCCCUAUCAUCUAAAACGACUUAGGAGGAUGAAGACUUCCAUCCUUCUAAAAGGAUAGUAGUAACUAGACUCAGAUUAAUACUUCAACUUUUCAGAACAAAGCUUAUUGCAACAGUAAUUAUUCUUUUUUAUGUGGAAAUUAAGGAUUUGAACCAAGAUGUUUGUCAGAAAUGCAAAAUUUUUGUCCAAACCUCAUCCGUCUGCAACAAAUUAACUUAACAUCAGACGAUCGUAUGGAUGAAUCGAAUAAAUAUUUAUACAAGUUUAGAGGGCAUUAAGUUCAUUUUCGAAGAUUUAAGGCUAAAGUGGAACUUUAGGAGAAGUUUGCUGCACCAAUUGCAAUUAACCCACAAUGACGAUGUGGAUCACAUUAUAGCGAAAAUAGAAUAACAAAAGCAACAUCAACAACAUAUAUGCUCAAUCCUCUAAAGCAUGUUUGCUUCUAAUGGUGAUAAUAUCAACAACCGCAUUUUUUAUAGAGACAAAACAAAUAUAAAUUAUAUUAACUAUAUACACUAUCUAUAUCAAAUAUUCAACGAGAUCUCUCGUUUUUCAUCUUUAAUUAAAGAUUAUUUUUCAUCUUUUAAGAGGCAUGAUUGGAAAAUGGCUUUGUCCUUUCCAAAAUUAGCUCUAUGAAUAUCGAUCGGCACCUUAGGUUUAAAGAUAUUUAAAAUAUGUGUGAAUAUUGCCCACACCCCUUACAUUUUUACUGUCAGAUAUAUAUACACUUGGUACAAUGCAUAAAAUCAAAUACCCAAGUUAGUAGGGCUGUUACAACAGAUCCUUUAGUAUUGGAAACCCAAAUUAGUAGGGCUGUUACAACAUACCUUUUGGUAUUGGGAUUUUAGUUGAUUAAGGGGGUUUGUUGCCUAUUUCCAUAAUACCCCCCCGCAAACAAAUGGGAGGAAUUGAUCGCCAUAAAGCGAGACUUGUUGCAAAAGGCUUUCAUCAACGGCCGAGUGUGGACUAUAUUGAAACCUUUAGUCCUGUCAUUAAACCUGCUACAGACCCAUUAGAACUUAUUUGUUCUGAUUUAUGGGGUCCAGCCCCAAUUCCUUCUUCUGAUGGUUGCUUAUAUUAUGUACUCUUUUUUUAUCACUACAUUAAGUACACUUGGAUAUACUUUCUUCACCACAAAUCUGAUGUGUUCAAUUGUUUUGUCAAAUUCCGGGCUACAGUUAAAAAAUUUUUUGGGAAACCUAUCAAACAAUUCCAAUCCGAUUGGGGAGGGGAAUUCCAAGCCCUCAGACAUUACUUAGCUGAAAAUGCCAUUAUACAAAAAAGCUCUUGCCCACACACACCCGAACAAAACGGAUGUGCUGAACGAAAACACCGCCACAUAACUGAAACAGAACGUGCUUACCUAUUUCCAUAAUAAGGUUAUGUACUAUAAAAUGAAGCACAACAACCGUUAACUUGUUUUCUCAAAAGAUCCAUCCAUAGUAUAACCUGCUUAUUUCAACUCAAACUGUGGAGUGAAACUUUCAAGCGUAUGAACCUAGAAAAAUCACUAUUUAGCUCAUGCAAUAAAUUUUAUGGGAAUUGUUUGGUAAAAUUAGACGUACAAAAUUUAUCUGGACUACGAUUAUUUUUUUCCAGCCUUUUAAACUUUUGAUUUUACUAUCCGACCAUUUAAUAUAUUUAAUUUGAGUCGGUCAACAACAUUUUGAUUUUAAAAUUUGAAUGUAUCGUUCAUUAUUGCAUAUUAAUAUACUUUAUACAAUUCUUGUAACUACAAAUGUACUAAAAUAAGUGACUAACGUAAAUUCCAAGUCAACCUGCCAUUGACAGUGGCGGAUUCAAAAAUUUUUCCAAAUGUGGUCAUAUAUAUUAAUAAAAUAAAAAAAAGUAAAAAAAAAUAAACUAGUCAUUGAUAAUGUAUAAACAUAUAAUAGUCUUAUUUCGUAACAUCGUCGAAUACAUCUUUUUUUAUGUAUUUACUAGUCAAAAUUAGCGAUAAAUAAAUUACUUUCUUACAAAUCACAUUAAAUUAACCAUAUGCCAAUAGCCAACAAAAUAUAGAAAAAUAAAUUAAUAAUAUUUUUAAGAACUUAAGAGCACAAGGGUUGCUGUGCUCCUAAUAGCACAGUAACCCUACUCCAUAAAUUAAUAUACUAAUUAUAUUUUUAUAUACAAUAAAAACUCAAAACAACUACUGUUCAUAAAUAAAAAAAAUAAAUUCAUAAUUAAAAAAAUAGUAAAUAAAUUAUUCUAAUUACUGACCCUACUUUCGAGUCAAAGUUGACUCUAAAGCCGAGCCAAAAUGACAAAGGAAAGGCCAUAACGAUCUUUCUUUCGCUAUCACAGUAAGGUCAACAGGGUCGACACUGACCGUAACUAAUCAUUAAUCGACUCAAAUUAAAUAAAUAAAACUUUUAAAUAGUAAUAUUAAAUUUUUUAUUGAACGGGUCUACUUUCCGUCAAUCACCCAUCAGUGAAGCCGUUUCAUGGUCCCUCGAUCAGCGUGCAGCGUAACAAACAUCAUAAGAGCUCCCUUUCAUUUGAUGGUUCAACGAGAAUGUUCCGAUUGCUUCAUAUUGGUAAAAAUGCAUGAAGACCCCACUAACCUAUAAUCGCUCUCAAAUGGCCCCCUCAACUCUUUUUUCUUUUUUUUUUUUUUUGACAUUAAUUGUCUCACCAUUUUAUGAAUUGCAAUUGAGUAUAUUCAAUUUAUGACUAAUUUAAUCAAUUUUUAGCAAAUAAGAUAAAUCAGAUAACAGCUAAUAGCUACUAUAAUCGUUAAAUAUAUGAAAUUAACUUAAUGACUUAAACAAACAUAAACUAAAAAACAAAAAUAUUAAACUUAAGCGAGUAUCAAUUAAAAAAUUGGGUCAAUUUCAUAUGUUAAUAUCACAAAUGCCCUACCCAUAUUGACAAUACAUAAUCCGUCUGAAAAUUAAAUAUAAUUCUCAUGUUUCCCAUCAUCUAUUAUCUAUUUGUUUUAAUAAACUUAAAAUCUUUUCCUUGAAAACAUUAUAAAUACAAUUAAGAAUAUACUAAUCAAUGGAAAGAUCUUUUGCUUGAAAACAUUAUUAAUUAUAAUCAAAUGUAUACUGAAUUGAAACUAGUUAAUUAAAACAAAAUUAAAUUACACAAAUAGAAAACAAAAAGAAAAUCAUACUAAUUUAGACAAAAUAGAAAAUAGAUUCACAAAAAGUAUAAUAUAUUUUUAAUCUCAAUUAAUUUUUAAUUAAAAUGAACAUGAGAUCCAUAUGAUAUUGAAUUAAAAGAAAAAAAAAAAAAAGAUGAAGAGACAUUAAUAAACUAAAUCACAAACGAACAUCGGGUCAUUUUUCCAUGAGAAUAAAUUUAUCAGCCCCACAUAAUACGAUAUGAUUAUUUAUAAUUUAUAAUUAGGAGUCUAAACCUCUUAAUUAAUAUAACGGAGGACAAUUCUUUAUAUAAUUCAUUAAUGGGUAAAUUACACUUUUUGGUUCUCAAAGUAUAGGGCACAUGACACUUUAGUCCUCGGACUUUAAUUAAUUCGUUGUAAUUUCUGCCUCGAACUUUCUAAUUUUUUGUAAUAAAGUCCCGCAACCCAAUUCUUUUCAUUAAAUAUUGAUUAAUUACUAAUAUUGAAGAAAUGUAGCGAUACUGUAAUUGAUGAUGCAACAAUAGUUAAGACGCUACAUCACUUCUCCAUUAGGUGGUGUUUGGUUGUCUGUAAAAAUAUCCUAAAAAUUUUUUUUCCAUUGAAAAGUAAUUUUCUCUUGUUUGGUUGCUUGUAAAAGUAGGUGCCGGAAAAAAAAUUUUACGGAUUCUGUGUAAAAACCCAACUUUUCGUUUUCCGCCCAUCGCGGGCGAAAAACAAAAACUUGAUCCCAAAGUCAGGGCUACAGACGUUUAAAAAAAACGCGGUCACGAGAAAGUCUUGAUUCUUCGUGGACCGCGUGAGUGGUCCAACUGUGGACCACUCACUCACCCUCUCUUCUCUCAUAUAUAUAUAUAUAUAUAUAUGAGAUGGUAAAAAUAAUUAUAUAUAUUUAUAAAUAUAUAUAUAUAUUAUAUAUUUAUUUAUAUAUAUAAUAUUUAUUUAUAAAAUUUGUAAUUAUUAUUAAUAUUUCUAAAUAUAUUAUAUAUGAUGUAAUAUGUUUAUAUUAAUUUUAAAUAUAUUUAAUAUGUAUAUAAAAUUAUAAUAAUAUAUAAAAUAUAUUAUUAUAUAUAUUAAUAUUAUAUAAUAAAAUAUAUUAAAUAUUUUCAUCUAUUUUUUUCUUCCAACCAAACAAGCUUCAUGCGAAAACUAUUUUUUUUUCCAACAAACCAACCUUCUUUUUUUUAAUUUUUUUUCCACCGAAAAUUUUUUUCCACAGUUUUACAUGGAACCAAACACACCCUUAGUAAUUUGUCAAUAUUUCGUCAAAUAAAUUAGAUUGCAAUGUGCGAUUGUAAUAAUUUAAGAAAUUCAAAUAAGAAAUUGCAACGAAUUAAAGUUUGGGAACUAAAGUAUCACAUGCCCCAUAGUUUGAGGACCAAAAGUAUAAUUUAUCCUUGAUUAAUUUGUAGUGAAAAAAAUAAAUAAUAUUGAUAAUUUCGAUAGGGUAUCUGAACUACUUUGUUAUAACUUUUGAGAGGCGCAUCUGAAAUUGCUCCAAAAAAAGUUGAGGUCAGUGGGACACUUUCAAAAUGGCCUAUAGGUUAGGGGUGUCCACAAACUUUUACCUAUAAAAUUAUAUCUUUAUAAAAAUUAGUUCAACGGUUGGAUCGAAGUCUCCGGUUUGAACGAAGAAGAGUUAAUAAGCCCUUUUUAUUGCAGCUACACAGGAGAAAACAACAUUUGCUUGCAGUGUCAGUGAAAGAGAUGGAAAACUCCUGAAACUUCACUUUGAUUGCAAUUUUUGUGGAAGGUACUAGAAGCAAGAGGGUUUUUGGAGAUAAAUGGAUACAUUGGUGGAGACUUCUCGUAACAUCCUGUAAGAUUCAAGUUCUCUUAAAUAGGAAUACGAAUACCCCUGGGUUUGUAGGAGCGGAGCUUGCUAGCAGGAGUAAAGGAUAUAUUAGAGGCCCUGGUAUGACGGGACUCGACAAGUCAGUUUCUUUUUCUUUUUUUUUUUGAUUAAACAGGGAUAUACCCUAUUUGGAACCAGGUACAAGGACCACAGGAGAGAAAAGAAAACAGAGCCAAGACCAGAACAAGAUACAAAGUCUGUUAGAAACAAACUAAAAGAGAUAGUACCACUCGAACCAGAGACAAAAGAUUAGAAGCAGACGGCGAUCUUAGCUUCCUAUCGUUGAGACCCAUUGGCUGACCGUGUCAUUGAUUCCUCUUGCCAGCUUUUCGCUCCAUUGUAUCUUGUUGUCGAAUAAUCUCCUAUUUCGCUCUUUCCAUAACUCCCAACAUCCCGCUGCGACGCAGAGAUCAAAACUCUUCUUUGGUUCCCCUGUUAAUAAUUUUCUCGAGCGGCAACAGCGAGCCGCUAACUCACCUGGUGAGGUGGACAUCUGAUGUUGCGCUAUAGAAGCAAAACGCAACAACAGAAUCCACACUGAUUUGGCAUAGUAGCAAUCUAACAGAAGAUGCUCCAUUGUUUCAGAGUUUGAAUUGCAUAGCACUAAAACAGAUGGACCGUGCCAAUCAUGCUUGGCUAGAGCAUCGGCUGUCAACAACUUAUUUCUUGCUGCAAGCCAUAAGAAAAUUUUGACUCUAAGAGGUAUCUUUAGAUUCCAUAGAAAGGGGAUUUGGCGGUUGUUGAUUCCGUCGUAGAUCAGGAAAUCAUAAGCGCUUCGCGUAGUAAAUCGUCCAGAAAUAUUCCAUCGCCAAGAAAUCGAGUCCAAAGAAGGCUCCGAAAGAACCAAAUUGCUAAUCAAAUCCGCAAGCUGAUUGAGCUCCAAACGAACUUCGGCUUGUUCCGGUGUGCAGAAACCCAGAUUAUGUUGCGACCCAAAGCGUUGGAUCCACUUGUUGACUGAGAGAUGAUUGCGGGUUGAAGCUGCAAAGAGGUUGGGAAAGCGGUUCCUUGGGGUAAGAUCCCCACCCCAUCUCGCGUUCCAGAAAGAUGUUAACUUUCCAUUACCUAGAGAAAAGUUGACCGAUGUAAGGAACGGAGCAGCAAACUUGAGCAAACCUCUCCAGAUUGGGCUGGUACCAAGUGGACUAGAAGCGGUUAGGUCCAGUACUCGUCGUUUGUAGUGUUUUUGCAUCAGAAGCUGGACCCACGACAAGUUUUGAGAGUUGUAGAAGUUCCAAAGACCCUUCAUGAGUAAAGCAGCAUUAGCGACCUGCAGGUUUCGAAUCCCAUUACCCCCCUCCCUCUUUGGUCGACAGAUAUGUUUCCAAUUCGCAAGACAAUGGAAGCUGUUGUCGAGCUUCUUGCCUCUCCAGUAGAAGCCAUGACGAAUUUUGUCUAUCGCUUUUAUCACCUAGGCUGGAAGAAGGAAGCUCGAGCGAGCAAAAGAAAGCAGGGAUGGAGGUGAUAACCGAGUUGAGGAGGACUAGGCGACCACCUCUAGAGAGUGUAGCUCCUUUCCAACCAGCCAAGCGAGUGUCCAUCUUCUCAAGUAGCGGUAGAUAAUCAGAGUUGUGAAGCUACUUAGGGGAAAGAGGUAGCCCCAAAUACUUCAACGGGAAACUAUGCGUGGGGCAAUCGAAAAAGGUGGCUAAAUGUAAAGCCUAAUCUGCGGACAAGUUAAUUGGGAUUAAGGCACUUUUAUUGUAAUUGAUCUUGAGCCCCGAGCUUAGAGAGAAGGCCUGUAGGAUGAUCUUUAUAGUAGCCGCUGACUUGAUGGAACCAUCAAAGAAGAGGAGAACGUCGUCGGCUAAUUGUAGGGUGAGUAGUUUAACAUCUCCUAUGGCAAAAGUAGGAAGAAAGUUGGAAGCGGCCGCAACCUGAAGCAUUCUGAAGAGGACGCCGAUACAGAGAAUAAAGAGGAGGGGAGAUAAGGGAUCUCCUUGGCGCAGGCCUCUUUUGCAAGGGAAAGACGCGCCCGGAGCUCCAUUAAGUAGCACGGCUGUUGAAGAGGAGCGUAGCAAGUCAUUCAUCCAACGAAUCCAAAUCUUGCCGAAGCCUCUAGCUUUUCGAAGUUCCAGCAAGAAGUCCCAGUUGACGUUAUCAAACGCUCGUUUCUUAAGCAGGGCCGCCUUUUGUUUAGAAGAGUGAAGAUGAUGUGUAAAGAUAUGAGUAGUGUAAAAGUUGUUGAGGAUAUGAUGCCCCUUGAUGAAAGCAGUCUGAUACGGAUUGAUCAAACAGUCCAAGUGUGGUUGAAGUCGCAAUGCGAGUACCUUAGAGAUGAUUUUGGCCAAGCUGUGAUGAGGCUGAUUGGGCGGAGAUCCUUCGCAGUCGUGACCUCGCGCUUUUUAGGAAUUGGGCAAACCCAACAGCAAUUGAUUCCACUCAGAUCUUGAGGGCCACUAAAGAAGCUGUUAAAGAUUUCCAAGAUAUCACCCUUUAGUAUUUGCCAGAAGCGCCGAUAGAAGAGCAACGGGAAUCCAUCCGGCCCCGGAGUCUUUUUGGGAGCGCAGGAAAAGACUGCCAGUUUCACCUCUUCUUCAUUGAAAGGUGAGCAAAGACUAGAAAGGACGAAGUUUUCGUCACCGUAGAGCGAAGGGAAGUGGAUGUAAUUUCACUGAGACAACUCGACUCCAAGCUGGUUGUGAAAAAAGGAGAAUAGGAGGUUAGCAAUGGAAGCCGGGGAGUUGAAUGUUUUGAUGCCAUCCGAAAGAUGAGAAAUGUUGUUCUUGCUUCUACGACAGCUAGCUUUGAGGUGAAAGAACUUGGUAUUAGCGUCUCCAGCCAGCAACCACUGCACUCUAGAUCUUUGUUUCCAUAAAAGUUCCUCCUGCAGACAGAGCUCCUCAUAUCUUCCUUUGAGUUGAGGUCUCAGGUUGCGUUCUGUGUUGGUCAAUAACCUUCUCUCUUCAACGGAGUCAAGCCAGUCGAUCCACUGGAGGCAGCAUGCGGCCUACUUUCUCAAAAGAGAGGUGCGGCCUAGGCUCCAAGUUUGAAGAGCAUGAUGGACACAAUUGAUUUUCUGGGUGAAGCGACCGACGGGCUCAAUUGACUGAGAGAUGGAGUUCCACGCUUUGGAAGUAACCUCUGCCAAGAAAAGAAUGCGGAGCCAAUAUGACUCGAACUUGAAAAUAUGAGGGUGGGGCACAAAAGUAAAAGCUGAGAGAAUAAGGGGGCAGUGGUCUGACCGAGGCCUCGGAGCGCCUUGAGCGUAGAGCGAGGAAAGGAGAGGCUCCAGUCAAUCGAGAUGAAGGCGCAGUCAAGACGCUCCAGAGUCGAAAUGCUCCUUCCGUUUGACCACGUGUAGGAUCUGUUUAGCGGGGGGACAUCGAUAAGCCCGAUGUCGUUGAUGACCUCCCUAAAGUUCAGAAUGUCCGAAAUGCAGGUCGGCAGUCCGUUUUUAUCUUGUAAGGAGAGCAAAACGUUGAAGUCCCCGAGGGUGGCCCACAAACCACUGGAGUGAUCGCAGAUGCUCCUAAGUUCCUGAAAGAAAUGAGGUUUGAGUUCGGCACAGGUGGGGCCGUAUACAUUCGCUAUCAAAAAAAGCUUCCCAUCCACUAUUUUUUUGAGGACAACAUUGAGCGAGUAUACGCCCACCCAGCAAUGUACAAAAUCAAAGAGAGCAUUGUUCCAUGCAGUAAGGAGGCCCCCUCUUGACCCGCAAGCAUCUAAAGUUCUGAAAUCUUGGAAUUGGCAACCACAUAUAGACCAAAAUUUGGAGAAACAAGUAGAGGAAAGCUUAGUUUCUUGGAGACAAAUGACGGAACAUUUGUUGUUGCGAAUAAGGGAUCUAACAGUAGUGCACUUGGCUUGGUCAUUCAGGCCUUUUACAUUCCACGAUAAAAAGCGAAAGACUCUAUUUCUAGCCAUGACAAAAGAAACACAAAGCGCAAAUAUACUAAUCCCAAUGUAGUCACACCCCUCCCGAGUGUUCACCGACCUCCAAAGCAUGUUCUGACAUCGUCGGAGACCUCACAUCAACAUUCAAUACUCCGCAAGUGGCCAAGAUCGUUGGACUUCUCCUAGGGUGGGAGGAAUUGCAGGGUCCUUUACUAAGGAGGACGUCAAAUUGGGCACAUCCAAAUGCUCAUGUGGGGAAAGGGGGUUCACAUCUGUCAUGCCUCGAACCCGCCUAUUUGGUCGGUUCGGGCACGUCAAACAGACGCUGAACGGACAGCACCUCCCCUGUCCGCCCAAGGCUCAACAAGACAUCAAUCAUGUAUAUAAUUUGCACAAGCGGAAACAUAAACAUACAUGGCUUGCACGAGGGCAAGUAAUAGCCAAAAGUGAAAGAUUCUAUACUAAACAUUCAUACAAGUACUAUGAUUACCUUUUAAUCACAUACAUGCAUUCAACCACAAUUCACACUUACAUCUUUUCAUUCUUUUCUUAUACAUCACAUUUCAUCCAAAAUAUAGGCUCUUUUACAUUCAUGCUUCAUUUAUACAAUUUGCAUCAUCAAAUACAAAAGAUGAUAUAACUAGUAUGAAACUAAACAGGUAUGAAACUAAACUCCGGUAGUCUCUAGCUAGGGUGCGAUAUCCUUGCCACGAUCCUCGACCCCCUCGCUCAGACCUGGAUCUGUGGAAUAUAGUAGAGUGAGAACUACAAUAAAGUUUCCAGUGGGUUUGGCCGCCGACCUCGCCGACUUUCCCACUAGGUCUAAAUCAGGCAUAAUAAAAUAAAUAAGCAGAUAAAUAAGUAACCAAGCUAUACAAAUGCAGCUAAUAUGCCUGAACCAGAUAUAACAAUAAGGAUGCUCAAUAAGAAUGCUCAUGAUGCAUGCAAGAUCUCAAUUCCAAUACCCAAUCCUCUUGGCUAACCCGUAGGUUUCGCCUAAAAGCAACUCACCAACUCAAAUCCCUAAUAUCGAGGAGACUCCUACAACCCGACGGGACCAUCCUCUGGGGAGACUCCUACAAUCCAGUAAUGACUACUCCGGAGCGCAUCACUCAAGAGGGUACGACCGCCCUCAAGCCAAGACUUACAGGUGAGUAUGAUCCAAUCCUUAGCUAUAAGGAUGCCAAGUUCAAUCCAAUCCUUAACUAUAAGGAUGCAAUGCUCAAUCAAUUCCGUAACUAUAAGGACGCCUCAACUAUGAGGUUGUCAAAUUGGCAUAUGCCAUAAUACCAUGUUUCAUUCUUUAGCAUUUUUUAGCUCUCUAGCAUUUAUUAUACUCAUUAAUGCCACACCACUAAGUGUCUCAUUUCUAGCAUUCAUGACUUAUUAAUGCCACACACACUAUGUGUUCAACUAGCAUUCAUUUUACUCAUUAAUGCCACACUACUACUUUACUCAUGUCAUAGCGUCACUUGCUCUUUGUCUUGCUAAGUUCUUGUCACAAUUCACACAUUCAUAGGGUUUACAAACUCUCAAUAGUUCACUAUCAUCUCAUAUGCAUCUUGUACUCAAAGCAUGCAAGCAAUAUAUUCUCACUCAAUCCUACAAUGCAUGAAAUUCAUAUACAUAUAUAUGCUCAAGAAGUGACAUUUAGACAUAAAAGGAAAUUCAAAGAUUUCGGAUAGCACCACCCACCUCGUAGGGUUGCUAAGGUGCUACGAUUCAAUUUUCGUGAUUUUUGGUCGCCUAUUCUCUCGACUGCGGCAAAAUGAAGCCAAAAUAGAUUUUUUCUCAAUUUCUUUGCGUAGACUCGUCGGAUUUUCGAACCGAGUCUCCCAACGCGUCGGUUUUACCUUCAAUUAGGUUUACAAAUGGUCAAUUUAACCAUAAACCCUAAUUCUACAAAAACCCUAAUUCCAACCCUAGGGUUUCAUGCCAUGAACACUAUGGGUUCAUCAUGAGAUUUCUAGGGUUAUCUAGGUUUCUAAUCUUACAAGAAGCUCAAAACUAAGAGAUUUAGGGCAUAAAACCAAGCCCUAGCAAAGAUCUUGCAAGAUACCUUACCUUAGCCCACUAGCUCUCCAAGCUCCACCUUGUAGGAGAGCUCUAGAUCCUCCAAAGCCUCCAAUCCUUUUUGAAAUCUCCUCCAAUCUCCUCCAAUCCACUUGGGGAAGAGCUCCUAGAGAGAGAGAGGAAGAAAAAUAAGAGAGGAGAGUGUUCUUUUGGCUGUGAACAAGAGAUGAAAGGGUGUGGGGCUCUUAUAAGCCGCCACAAUUGCAAACAAGCCCUCCAAACAUUUCUAUUUGCAGCAGACUAAAACUGCUGUUCGCAGCAUUGGGUACCGGUACGCGGGCUGGAGAACCAGUACCCCCGGGUGACCAACCAAACCCGAGAGCAGCCAACUCUGCGCAGACCGCCGAGUACCGGUACACGAACUCGAGUACUGGCACACGAGCGCCCUAGUACCGGUACGCCUUAUUUAGUACUGGUACGCCACUUCGCAGAGGCCAAACCCGAGAGCAAGCUUCUCGGUUUGCCUACCUGGUACCAGUAUCUCUUCCUCAGUACCGGUACGCAGUGCCAAGACUGUAGUUUUGGCAGUGCUUAGGCUCUAUUUCGUGCCGAGCAAUGCCAAAACCCUUCCAUCUCACUUGGAACUCAACUUUAACCCCUCCAACACUGUUGGAGUGUUGCAUGGACUUUGUCCAACCAUCACUCUCGCCACACUUUGGUCAAUUUGACUAAAGUUCAACAUAACCUAUGGAGAUUUCGGUAUAUUACAAUAUCAAACUCCGGUGCAGGGGGAUCCACCGCGGAACUAUCAGCGGGCGAGGAGGUAGCCGAUCUGGAGGAAGGCGGGCACACAUUUUUGGCGGCAAAUCUCAUCAUCUUAAUCUUCUUACACAUGAUUUCUUGCGCACGUUGAAGGGUAGAUUUUUUGGCGCCUCUGCAUUUGGCUGCUAGGCGCGAGCUUCGCCUGGAGGGAAAGAGCUUAGCAGGGGCGGAACAAUUCACACCCAUAGGUCCAGCUCGGAGAAUGGGUUGGGCGUCUAAACUGCUCAAAGAGGAGCCCAAAAGGGAAGGCUCGCAAAGCAUAGGGGAGCCCAAGGGAAGCAAAGGGAGCACUAGGCUAGCAAAGUCAGUGGGCUGACUAUCAGGGGGGGUGGUGGAAUCCACCAGCGCUAGUGGACUCGAGUUCGCACGAAAGGGGCCCGAUGCACCCUUAACUUUUCCCUUAGGGCCCAAGCACGGAACAGACAGCGAGGUAGGAGGGCAGCUCGAGUUAGAAGGGAUGACUAGCGGUUCGGCGGGGGUGACCAACGGUCCAGAGGGAGGAAGCAGCAGUUCACCUGCUCCACUGACACUGAUCGGGACGGCUGUGUCAGCAAGCAUGUACGGAGGAGGGGGAGGGAGAGAGAGUGCGAAGUUCGAAUUUGAAUUCUCCCCUGAGGCUGGUAGACCGUCCAGUACGGAGCGCCGAUGCUCAGACGAGCUCCUCCGAUCGGUCGGGUUGGAUCUCGAGUCUUAGUGAAGAGCACUCGUAGGAUUGCGCAAGGCGGGGAAGGCGCUGAAACUAGUUAGCUAAAGGAAAGCAUCUUGCGUCUCCAUCGAGACGAGGCCCAGGCGGUCGUUGAGGUCCUCGCUUAACAAGAUAGGGUUGGCCUGCUCCCACUAUUCAAUCUCAAUAGGGAUCCUGAAGCGUCUGUUGUCCACCGUCAAAAUCGUGGCCUCAGGGAUGGUAUGGACGUUCUGGCAACGGACGCAAGCACGAAAGAGUGAGACGUCGGCCCUCCGUUCACUAAGGGGGUCGACAUCCCAGAGCUGUCCGAAGCCGCUAACAGCUGCCUUGAUGUCUUCCUCAUUCUAGCACAGGAUCGGCCAGUUGUGCAGCCGAAUCCACGCUUUGUGGGCGAGGUGGCCUCUCUCCAUUUCUCCCGCCUCGACCCAGUUCGAGAGAAAGAAGUCGAUUCCCUCAAAUCAAAACGGGCUUUGGCUUAUAGCCGACUCACGCACCACCCAACUAGGAAAGAAGACCGCCAUAGUGGAAGCAUGAAAAUUAGCUACCAGGUACUCCCUACCAGACCCUCCAAAACACGCCGCUAGCCCACGUGACAGGAUCUCCUUUGCGUUGCCGUUGAGCUGUCCUCGAGUCUCCACCAAGGCAACACAACCCGCCAGGGAAGGAAGCCCUAUCCGCGUGGGGGGGGGGGAGAAAAGACGCGAUGGUGCUCGGGCGACCUGAGGAGGGACCGGGUUUCCAUGAUUCUACGCAUCGGAGAGCGCUAGAACCUGCAACUAGAAGCCGAAUGACUGAUCCUCAUACAAAGAAGACAGCGCCGCGGCUCCCUACAGUGAGCAGCCCUGUGCCCCCUUUCAAAGCAUCUGAAGCAACGACCCUUCAGCGAAAGGUUAAGAAGGAACUUCGAAGGGUGAAGGGGUAAAGCUGGGUUGGAGAUAAAUGGUUUGGGAGUAGAUCGAGAGGUGGUUUGGAAUGGAUGAGGGGCUAGGAUCGCAUCCUUGAAGGAGAAUCCAUGCCGAACGCGUGGCCUACUAUGGGAAGCCGUAUGACUCCUGGUAGAGAAGGAUAAGGUGGGUGGUGAAGGGUGGGGUGGGGGAGGGGCCAUCUCGCUCUCUUUCUCUCAGUUUCUCUCUCAACUUUUUCUCAGGUUUCAAAAUCUAAUAGACAAGUCAGUUUCUUGUCUGCAAUUUGCAGACCACACCUUACUACCUCUGUGAAGCAAUUAAACAAUAUUGAACCGGUAUGCUAUCUCAAAUUUCUAUUAAGAUGUUUCGGGUUAUCUUCAGGGCUGAGAAUCUAUUUCGCAAAAUCGAGUCCAGUGAUGUUGUGUCACAACGUAGAAUUGGAAAGAGCGUUAGUUCAAGUACUGCUACGAUGCAAGGCUGAUUUCCUUCCCAAUAAAUUAAGUACAAAGCUCAGAAAACAAGAUCGGCAAUGCGUAAUAGAUAGAGUGGAGAAGCAAUUGGAUUGCUAGAAAAUUAAACAAGCUCUGUUCAAUCGGGGGAAGGCAUAUAUGUUCUUGUCAACUCUAUAUCAACCAAUCUUGCCAUAUAUUAUUUUUCAUAUUUUUGUAUUCCUGAUUGUUGGGUAUUAAAGUGCAUAGACAUGCAAGAUAAGGAGGAGUUUCCUCGGGAUAGAGAAAGCGGAAAAGGAAUCCAACAGUGGGCUGUGUUUAGUGAAUUAGAAGAGGGUAUGUAUGUAAGAGUAAAAAACAUGGUGGCUUGGGGAUUCUGAAUUUAAGAGAGUUUAACUUAGCAUCACUUGCAAGGUGGUGGUGGAGACAUGUACUUUCUGUCUUUAGUUAAAACUAAAUGGAAAGAGCUAGGAAAAGGGAAUUACUUUAAGACGUACAGCAAAGCUUUUCUCAUGCCACAUACCAAGGAGCAGAAAAACUUCUUAGAUCAAGUUCGACAAUUUUAAGAUUGGGAAUGAAAAUAGCACCAACUUUUGGACUGACAGGUGGUUGGGGGUGGCAGCUAUAUAUAGGUUUCUACUUUUUCAAAUCUUUAUAUAGAAAGCAGCGGAAGUUUUCGAUUCGUACCUUUUUCGAAAGCGAUUCGCGCAACAACGCGAUGAGCCCGGAUCGUUUAGAUUGAUUCACGUGUCCUCGGAUGAAGAGCGACGCACGUCCGGUGUGCGCCCGGCGCCCGGCGCUCGGCGCGCGCCACACGUCCGGCGCUCGUGGGGCGUGCCCGACGCCCGGCGCCCGUCGCGGUCCGGCGCCCGGUGCACGUUUGGUCCGCGUCCGACCCGGUCCUCGUCCAGGCGUCAGGCGCCCGGUGCACGUUUGGUCGCGCGUCCGAAGCAAAAAAGACGUGUAAAAAAAUUAUUUUAACAAAUUUGCUUAAGCUUCAAAUUAUACGUAUAGUCUAUAUAUAACGUAUGAAAACACUAAAUUAUACGAAAAUACUUUAUAUUACGAACGUAAAUAAUACUACUCAUAAUAUAACGGAAAAUACUACGUACCUAUUUAAGAAAUCCGUAAAAUAUAAAAAUUUACGUACGGAAUAGAUCACCCUCAGAAAAUUAAAUACCAUCUCAUUUAAUAUGCAGAAAUGAGGGAUUAUAAAACACGUAGAAUUAAUUUAUUAAUUUUUAAAACUGUAUACCACACACUACACUAAUACUCGUAUCGCUUUAGAAGGAAAUGCGUAGAUACUAGAUUAAAAAUUAAAUAAAUUAAUCUCUACGCCGUUUUAACUUAUAUACAUAGCACAUGAUUAAAAUUUUAUAGGAAGAGACGCGUAACGUACUUGUUUCACUCUAAAUUACCGAAGGUUUGUUUAACAACGCCUAAAUUUGUUCCCGCUCUUUAACCUACCACUGUUAAUACUAUAAACCGUGGCAUUUUAAGUUAUACAAGAGCGACUCGUUCUCCAGGACCUUUUGGACUCGUUAUUUUACCUGGUUGGGUGCCUCCCGUGAUCACGGGUCCGAGCGGCUCUAUACCUUCGGAUAUUAUUAACCGAAUUCUUCCUAGCGUAACGAGCGUAGUGCAACGAUUCGUCAUACGUCUUACUAGAGAACACGCUCACACUCGUCAUAGGCUGACGCAUACUGUACACCCUCCGAGAGUUUCGUUUUAAACCACGUCGAAGCCAAUGUUCCAACGCGUCAGACUGAUACGCCAAACUGUCAAUAUUCUUCGCACAGCUAGUCUGAUACUUCGUCGUGCAAUCUUGUUACAGUUUAUACUAAGUGCUCAAUUUCAGCCGACCGCCGUGGAACUGACUACUCGUCGUCUAGGUUCGAUGCUAAGCGAGAGAAAGGUUAAGCACCCUUGUAUACGCUCAUUUAAACUGGGUAUUGCUGUUAUAGUUUUGAAAACUCCUACAACGCGCCGUAAACCUCAACCUCCUCCUCGCGGAACUCCGACAAUUUUGAGGUUGACGGUUACAACGACUCAAUUUGAAAGCGUCCUGUAGACCCAAGUUCGCUUUCUCUUGAUGACCCCGAGUUUAACAUCGCCUAGGCGCGGAUUCUUACGCUUCUUGUGAUUUUCUUUCUCUUCGUUUGCUCCACCGUUCUUUCUGUUCAGUUUCUACUGAACAAAGUUGACAUUAGUCGACCCUGUGAAGCGAGCACUAACGUGACUCGGCUUCUUCCAUGCUGAGAUAAGGCUAAGAGCGAGAAAACAAAGAAGAUUUUGCAAACAACGACUUAGAGAGGGACACACCUAACAUCUGAGUCCUCGUUGUCUGGUGCAUCGCUCCCUAGCCUACCCUAAGCAGCUUAUGGCAGCGCACGGACGACCCGCACGGACGACCCUCGUCUUCUCAUAUGUACCCCUUACUAAGUUCACAGCCACAAUCCGCAACCGUGUAUGUUCAACUAGUACAUUCCACCAGCUUGAAAUAUAGAUGUACUACAUGAAAUACGAGGUCUUUAAGCCGCCUUGAACAAAAGAUAAGAACGAUACGAUGUCAAUCCGAAAAGAAAAGCAAAACUCUCACUACAUCAACUCUAAGUAGAACCUUGAUAAAUAAUACCAUCUCCAAAAUAUAGCUUACCAAAAUACCAAAACCUGUAACUAAUAUUAUAAUUAUUAUCACUAAGAAAAAAGGACGAUAGAAGACAAUUCUUACUAGUGUUACAAAGUUAAUUUACCGUACGUGCAGAACCAGUAUAACCCGUCCUAUCUUACUGAUCUAAUCAAUCUCUGUCCAAUAACUCGAGCGAGUGAUUUCAGCUGGAUGGGUGAACACUUAUAACAAAUCGCCCUUUUCGCUGGGCUUUUGGUAAAUUAUUUCGAAGUUACCGUCUUAAAGGAAAUGUUAAUUAGGUAAGGCUGUAAACACCGGGUUACUCACACUCCCGUUCUGUACCACGAAAAAUGAAGUAGUGUAAAUAUCUACUGGUAUGCGCGAAGCCAGUACAAAUAGACUAGAGGGUAUUCAGACUUCGUAACCUAACAAAAUCUGCAAUAUAAUUACUCCAACUCUUAGUCAAUCUAUACUUUUAAUUUACGAAUUCUUGACUAGCUCCGGCGCUCAUAGAUAGACUUGUUAAAUUCCUUAACACACUACUUUUCCCUUAUUAGUCUGUCGACUGUUAAGGACCGUGAGGCGUCGUUUUACCACAUCGCCUCUCUUCUUUAGCGUGGAACGAACUGUACCAAUCCAGUUACUACCGCGUUCGUUUAAACGGACAGAGGAAAACCCCUCUGCGUAAUAAUUGACGACGGAUAUAAGAAUUAGCACAUGGGAGGUUUUGUCAUGGAAGGUGGGGAAUACUUAAUACCUGUCCGUCCUUUGGUUUAAACCUCGAGGACGCAGGAACCCCAAGCCGUCGAAUACAUGUAUUAUGAAGAGUGUUCCUACCUUUCAACCCAGGAUCUCCCUCUUUCACAUAGAAAUAUUCUAUGAGACUUGUGGGAUUCCCUAUGCACAAGUAGCCUUUCGUCGGACUACCUUCAAACUGACUCUAACUCAGUGCUCUACAACUUAAGGAGCUCCUCCUAAAAGGAAUAUCUUCACUCCAAGCUUUACUUUGACUCAAGGUACUCUACCUACUGAGACUGUAACCGCGAAGAUAAGCGAGUCAACUCCGUCUCCUCCGUUGAGGCUAUGAAGGACCCCUAUCACCCUCGCUGAAUAGAAAUCUACACCUCGGAGUUGAAGCAUCCUCGCGUGCACAUCCGUAAGGGGCAGCAGCAAAACUCUAACUCCCCCUUCGAAAGUAUCAACGACGUGUACUACUACUACUCGGAUUUAGGAAGGUUCUCCGAGAGAGUAAUGGAUGAGUAUUCCUUACCUACCUACAUUACUACCUCCUUUAUCUUAGCUACUUCAGUUUAGUACAGACCCUGAACCAACUGAACGGUGUUCCCGCGUUUUGUUAACCCUUAUUUACCCAAGAGUUCUAAUUCGCGUUCCAUCUGCCAAGAUAGCUAUCCAUGUUCCGAGCGGAUCAUCGUUUCCCAAAAUGGGUUGCUCUUCCGCAACUAAUGCUUCUUUGAAAAAGAGGACAACAUUCCAAACAAAGCUAGGCAGACUAGAACCGGUAACAGCGUAAAAACCUAAACCUUGAAAUGGUUUACCUGCAAUUUUGACGUAAAGAGUUAACCCUUGACCUACUCCUCUAGAUAUACCUAGUCGGACGACCGAAGAGACAUUUCCCACUACUCGUAUUUCAAACAUUCGAGGCUGCUAGGUAAAUACCUAACUUCGUCAGGAGGUCUGUCACCAUAUAAGCUAAAGUAGCUCGGUAGUGACUUCUACCUAAAUGCUACUAACUUCUUCUAGUGACACACAUACAAUUUGCCAGGUUUCCUAAAAAGAUUAGGAAAGAAAUAUACAACUACUAUAGGAUAACCGGCCCUUAUUAUUCCUCUACUAACAGCGGUGAGUCUGCACCGACAGGAGAUUAAAACUUUACUUCCUGUACCCACUUCGCUUAAUACACGAGCCUCAAUUCUAGGAUGCUCUAGUAAGUUUCUUUGAAAAUCCAGACAGAGUUCUCUGAAUGGAUUCUUUUCAAAAUCUUGCUAAAGUAUACGUUUUAACGUUUGGGUAACUGUGAGGAUAACGAUUUCCACUCUCAAACUUGGAAUUUGUCACGGGAUUUUGAAGACUUCUCUUCCUGUUCUACUUAGCCUAAGGUAUACGAUUACGCCAGCCCUCGGACUACAUACGAUACUACACAUGAGCCGGACUAUAUACGAUACGGCACCCGGACCAAUCGGUAAAAGGCAGGUUAGACCCUAACCUGGUGAGCUUCCGUCACCGCGUCUUCUUUUAUUAGGACCUUGUGUAUAGAUGCUCAGCGCACCAACAUCUAAGAGAUUGAUUCGGAUAACAAUCUCUUAAUAAAAACCCGAGUACAAUUUCGAGAACCUGAGGCAUCCUAAACUAACACAUCUGUCAGCUAAUAAAAAAUAUUAAAAAACCAAUAAAUUAAUGUUUAAUAAUAAGACCUUUUCUAUAAACCAUUUUAAUCAUGUGUACGUAACAAUAAUUUGACUAACUAUCAUACAGCGUCCGGCUAACCGGGAGAGUGUGCCCGUUAGUAUGGAAAGCCGCGACAUCUCUCGCUCGCUUUUAACUCCGUAAUUACCUUCGGCGGAACCAACCGUGGUUCUACUCCAGUAAUUACUCUGGCGUAUGCUUUUCAGGGUGCUAAGCAUACCGGACGUAUAACUCUCGGCCUACACUCGAGUGGCAAACUGCGAACUCUAUCGCUCGUUUACCUCUUGAGUCCGAUCUGUGAAGCCCUCACUGACUCGAUUCUAGGCAUACUAUAACUCUUUCUGUAUGCGAAUAACCCUAAGAGACAAUAUCGUACAUAAAGUAUGAUGUACACGACCCGCUGAUUUAUUUCUUCUACUCACUUACCUAGGGACGAAGGAGUAGCACACUCAAGAAUGCCCGUAAAAAAAAACUCUGCUACAGGAUAUAUACUAUCUACGGGAAUCAUUGAAAACUGAUACAGUAAUUCACUUUCUUAACUACAACGAUGAAACCGUACAAUGGAUGCCGAUACUCACUACGCCGAAAUGCCCCGUAACGACCCUUUCGUUAGUCAAGAGUUGAGUCACCGUACUCCCGAGUUCCUUCUGAUCAACUUAAUGUGAUUUGUGAAACUGAGUAACAGCUGUCCAACAUAGCGAAGUCAUAUCGCUUUAUUAAUACUCAUAUCACAGUAUUACACGCGUUAACGCCAAUCGUACCGAGAAACUCCCUAAUCUCUACGACUUGGACUACAUUAAGUUACCAGAUCCCGUAGUGCUCAGAUUAUAAAAAAAAAGAGAAAAACUCCCAACUACAGAGAUACGACCGGCCUACGCCAAAGAUCAUAUCUCGAGGGUUUUACGUCCAACUGAGCCGCCAGCGUGACAAGUAAAGGGACAUACUUAUCUUAAUUAUCACCACACUACAACUCCUUCACCAAUGCUACCGUAGCUAGGGCAGUACACGCUCACCCUCUACAACCGUAAGCCAAUUUAGCUUAGCCCAUGCGAGUAUUCGCCCAAGCUAGGCUGCCUAUAAUAUAGAUUAACCUAAUCCUAAUUAGAGCGAAAGUUUAACCUUUCGAUUAAUCUCUAUUUAGAUUAGUAUAAUCCUAUUGUUUAUUAUUAGCUAAACCGGAAUAGAGAUUGCGAUAAUCCUAAAACCUUAAGGAAUAUUUAUCUGCCCGCUAGGGUGUACUUUGCUACAUGUUUUUUCCUUGCUUUUUUCUCUCUCUUAUUCUUUUAUUAUCUCUCUUUGGUGUAGGAGGUAACUGGAUAAUAAGAUCUCCCUGAACGUGCCACCUAAACGCUAGCGCGAGCAAACAUCAAGCUAGGUGGCGCUCAAGCACCUCGCACUCUUCUGUAAGUUCCUGCNACACCAUAUGUCAAAAUUUUUAAUUAUUUAAUUAAGAUGCACAAAAUAUUAGGGAGUAAAGACGUAUAAUUUACUCUACCAUAAAUUAAAAGACUCCCACUAGAUAAGGCAUGCAUUUAAAAAUAUAAAAUGCCUAAAGAAUUUAUCCAUGCAUCAUAAAAGGCAAUAUAAUACUCAUCAUAAUAAAUGCAAGCAUUAUAUUUCAUAAAAGCAUAUUAAAUCACAAAAGUAUGCAAUAUAUAUCUGAUAUGCAUAUUAAACUUCGAAUUCGUUUAAACAAUUUUAUUAAAAAAAUGUGCAGAAAAAACGAAGCCUGCGCGCUGGUUUGCACGUGGCCCGCGGACUGCGGACCUGCUCCUGGCCCAGCCUGCGCCUGGUUUGCACGUGGCCCGCGGCCUGGCGCUGCCCGCGGCCCGCAGCCCGUGCGGGGUGCUCGCGGCCUGCACACCGCGCGCGGCUCGCGGCCCGCGGCCCGCGUGUGGCCUGCACGCAGCGAGAAGCCCGCAAGGGCCCUGCGGCCCGCGCGGCCCGCGCGCUCGCGAGGCCCGCGCGUGGCCUGCGCGGCCCGCGGCCAGCGCGUGGCCUGCGCGCAGGGCGCGGCCCGCGUGGCCUGCGCGGCCCGCGGCCAGCGCGUGGCCCGCGCGCUCGCGAGGCCCGCGCGUGGCCUGCGCGGCCCGCGCGUGGCCUGCGCGGCCCGCGGCCAGCGUGUGGCCCUCGUGCUGGCGAGGCCCGCGCAUGGCCUGCGCGCAGCGCGCGGCCCGCGUGGCCUCCGCCGCGCGCAAGGAGAGCGCGGCCCGCGUGCCCGCAGCCUGCACCGCGCGCGGCCAGCAAGGGACGGGCAGCCCGCGUGGCCCGCGGCCUGCGCUGCAGAGCGCGGCGCGCGUGGCCCGCGCCGCCCGCAAGGGGUGCGCUGCCCGCGUGGCCCGCGGCCUGCGGCCUGCGCACACGGCCCGCGUGGCGCGUGGCCUGCGGCCUGCGGCCAGCGAGCGCGCCCACGCGGCUUGCGCGCAGCUUCCCUGCUGCCCCAAGCCGUGUUGACGGCACCCAAAAAAAAAAUAUUAAACCUUUUUUUUUUUAUGUUUAAAGAUAGUGAAUCUUUAAAAAAUCAUAUCUUUAGAUUUGGAAAACCGAAUCAUGCAAGAAAUAUUUCAAAAGAAACUUUUAGGUUUGUCUCAAGAGACUUCCCUAAGAAAAGUUUUAGAGCGAUUUCAGAUGCACAAUUACAAAUCCAUUAACACUCCUAUUGCUAAGGGUGAGAGUUUGAACCUUAUACAGUGCCCUAAAACUUCCAAAUAAAGAAGGAUAAGAUGAGUCGGAUCCCAUAUGCUAAUGCGGUCGGAAGCCUGAUGUAUGCUAUGAUGUGUACUCGGCCUGAUAUAUGCUAUGCCGUGGGCUUGGUUAGCCGUUUUCAGUCCAAUCCGGGAUUGGACCACUGGAAGGCUGUUAAAAGGAUACUUCGUUAUCUCAGAGGUACGAUAGAUUAUAUGCUGUGCUAUCAAGGUACGGAUUUACGUCUCAUCGGUUAUAGCGAUGCGGAUUGGGCUGGUGACCUAUAUGAGCGUAAGUCGACCUUAGGAUAUGCGUUCUUACUUGGCAAUGGCGCCAUAACUUGGAGUAGUAAGAAACAGACCUGUAUAGCUCUUUCCACCAUGGAGGCGGAGUUCGUGGCGUGUUCUGCAGCAGCCCAGGAGGCUAUAUGGUUGAGGAGGUUUCUUCGAGAUAUUGGGAUUGUCACUUGUACUUCCGUUCCUGUGACGAUCUAUUGUGACAGUAUGGUAGCGAUUGCAUACACGAAGGACCCGAAAUAUCAUGGCAAGACAAAGCACAUCGACUUAAAGUAUCACUUUGUUCGUGAAGCAGUGGCGCAGAAAGAAAUAAUCCUGGAACACAUCUCUACGAGUCGCAUGGUUGCAGAUCCUCUGACUAAGCCUAUUGUUAGAGAAUUCUUUUUGGCUCAUGUUAGAGCUCUUGGACUUCGUAGGAUUUGAUUGUGUAGACAGUCGAUUAUUUUUUAUAAUUUUUUGGUUAUUUAAUUACAAAUUAUUAUUCUGGAAAAGAUAUUUGGUAAAAUUAGUACACAUGCAUUGUUAUUAAACUGAUUGAUAGUAUGUCNUGUAUGUAAGAGUAAAAAACAUGGUGGCUUGGGGAUUCUGAAUUUAAGAGAGUUUAACUUAGCAUCACUUGCAAGGUGGUGGUGGAGACAUGUACUUUCUGUCUUUAGUUAAAACUAAAUGGAAAGAGCUAGGAAAAGGGAAUUACUUUAAGACGUACAGCAAAGCUUUUCUCAUGCCACAUACCAAGGAGCAGAAAAACUUCUUAGAUCAAGUUCGACAAUUUUAAGAUUGGGAAUGAAAAUAGCACCAACUUUUGGACUGACAGGUGGUUGGGGGUGGCAGCUAUAUAUAGGUUUCUACUUUUUCAAAUCUUUAUAUAGAAAGCAGCGGAAGUUUUCGAUUCGUACCUUUUUCGAAAGCGAUUCGCGCAACAACGCGAUGAGCCCGGAUCGUUUAGAUUGAUUCACGUGUCCUCGGAUCGUCCUUGAAUGUCUUCUCACGCUCCACGAACUCGCGGUGGAUCGAACUACAAACGAGCGCGAUCGCAAAUCCACCGUGCAAGUCCCUCUAGAAUAAUAGGUCAAUGGAGGAUGUGGUUUCUCUCUAUUAUUUUCUUAUUCUCUCUCUUUUUUCGUUCCUUUUUUGUACAUCGUUUCAUGUGGGAUCGCCCGUCUAUUUAUAAGGAAUUCCAAAAUCCUAAUAGCGUUAGAGAUAAGGCCAAAUCGAUUAUUAUUUGUUAUCCUAAUAUGAUUAGAUUUAUCUCUAAUUAGCUUUCCAAUUUGAAAGCGAGAUUAAUCCUAAUCCAAUUAGAUAUAAUAUCCGUCGGAUCGAACCCGCUUAUGAGCGUACCCGAUUCGAUUUAACCGAAUGCCAACAUCUCCCACUCGCACAUGACGGGAUCGAUGCCAUCGUAACCACUUCCUCAACAUCACACCACUAUUAAUUCUAUUCAUACAGGGAAAUGAACAGUGCGACCGCCGAGUCAACCUGCAUUUUGGGAGCUCUAUACUAGAAACCGCAUCCGGCCAGCAUAGAGACAUCAACCCUCAAAAAGAGAAAAAAAAAUAUUAGACUCGUGAUGCCCUAGACCAUUGAAUUACAUCAGGUUCAGCAUCUCUAAUCCCUCAAAGAGCCAUGCUAACCGCAAUUGCGCACAUUAUGACACUAUACUCAUAAUUAUUUCGCUAUACUGAAGCGAUACAACCUGUCGACAAUGAGUCAAAGUGUUUAGUGUAAUUCAACUAGUCUUCCUUGAGCCCUCAUGCCACUGAGUUGAGAACUGAUUGCUUUCCCAGCAAUGCCCCGUAAAGCCGCAUCACUCAUAGCCGUAGGUAACAUGCCAAAGUAGCAACAUCAAUUCUUUCACUUAAUGACAUAGUCAAAAGUUACUAAGGGCAUCUAUCAUAUAUAGGACAUCGUCUCAAAAAAAAAUGCCCGUAAGAACUCACACGAUGAGGAAGCAGGGAUCCAUUCACUCAUCUUCUUUAUUUAGUCGCCCAGCACAUGUAGUAUGAAAUACAUGCUAUAACAGAGAAUCCCAAUAAGCGUAUGUCUUUCUCAAUAUCAUACGGAUCUUAGCUCAGUCACUCCCGAAGUGUCUAGCCUGAGUUCUCCAUUUGCUCGCUAUCUCAAGCGUCAAACGGUGAGCUCACAUCCGGCUCUCAAUAUGCAGGCCAUACGAAUCGUGGGACUUUUCGUAUGCGGUCUCAUUAAUGACCUCAUCUUGGUGCCAACCAAGGCGGCUUCCAUUAAUGCCUCAAUUUUCGCUCGCUCUCUACAGCGCCGAAAGGUAUGAUUGCCCGUGUGAGAGGGCCAAUCGGCCUGCGACAUACUAUCAAUCAGUUUAAUAACAAUGCAUGUGUACUAAUUUUACCAAAUAUCUUUUCCAGAAUAAUAAUUUGUAAUUAAAUAACCAAAAAAUUAUAAAAAAUAAUCGACUGUCUACACAAUCAAAUCCUACGGAGUCCAAGAGCUUUAACAUGAGCCCAAAAAUAAUUCUCUAACAAUAGGCUUAGUUAGAGAAUCUACAACCACGCGACUCGUAGAUAUGUGUUCCAGGAUUAUUUUCUUCUGCGCCACUGCCUUCGAGUGGUCCAAUCCCAGAUUGGACGGAAAAUGGCUAACCAGGCCCACGGCAUAGCAUAUAUCAGGCCGAGUACACAUCAUAGCAUACAUCAGGCUCCCGACCGCAUUAGCAUAUGGAAUCCGAUUCAUCUUGUCCUUCUCUUCAGAAGUUUUAGGGCACUGAUGCAAGAUUCGCAAUAAGAUAUCCAUCACACAUCAAACAAGACACCUCACAAAAUCGAUUUAGGGUUUCGUUUUUCUUAUAAAACACAAAACCAUAUUAAAUCAAGCUUUGUAAAUUUAAUCUUUCAACAUAGGUGUUUUAAGAUGUGUAAAAAUCAUACAAAGAUGUCCACCUUUGAAAAAAGGCCAUUAACGCUCAUAUACAUGCAAAAUAAAAUCCAAAUUUUGAUAGAUUUAAUUUUUAACGCAUGUAAUCUCGUUAGAACAUGAUUUAGGGCACGAAAUCAACCAACAAGGCUCUGAUACCAAUGUAGAAAGCAGCGGAAGUUUUCGAUUCGUACCUUUUUCGGAAGCGAUUCGCGCAACAACGCGAUGAGCCCGGAUCGUUUAGAUUGAUUCACGUGUCCUCGGAUCGUCCUUGAAUGUCUUCUCACGCUCCACGAACUCGCGGUGGAUCGAACUACAAACGAGCGCGAUCGCAAAUCCACCGUGCAAGUCCCUCUAGAAUAAUAGGUCAAUGGAGGAUGUGGUUUCUCUCUAUUAUUUUCUUAUUCUCUCUCUUUUUUCGUUCCUUUUUUGUACAUCGUUUCAUGUGGGAUCGCCCGUCUAUUUAUAAGGAAUUCCAAAAUCCUAAUAGCGUUAGAGAUAAGGCCAAAUCGGUUAUUAUUUGUUAUCCUAAUAUGAUUAGAUUUAUCUCUAAUUAGCUUUCUAAUUUGAAAGCGAGAUUAAUCCUAAUCCAAUUAGAUAUAAUAUCCGUCGGAUCGAACCCGCUUAUGGGCGUACCCGAUUCGAUUUAACCGAAUGCCAACACUUUAUAGACCGUCUUACUUCAAAAAUUAUUCUGUAGCAGCUAUUUUUAAUGGGCUGACUAGAAGGAAAAAAAAAAUCUAAAAUGCACCAGUUAUAUUGCUGACGUGGUAUACCCAACCAAUAAGAUUGUAUCCCUUGGGUCCACCUAUUCCCAUCAUAGUUAAUACUUGAGAGAGAUGUGUUUGGCUCGUUACUGAUAAUGUAGUGCAAGUGUGACACAGUAGACUUUCUCGACGGGAAGAGGGCCCUCUAAAUUAUAAUUAAGCAAAAUUUUUAGGGGCAAGUACAUGUUGAUACUGUAAACUACUACUGGGUUGGUUGGCCAACGUCCCUCUAAAUAGGGAGGACGAUAUAGCUCAAUGGAGAUGCGCUACUAAUGGAAAUUUUUCUGUUAAAAUCCUAUGCAAAGUUCUUAAUAAUGGAGGAAUGAGAUGUCCUAUUGGUCAAAAAACUUUGGUUUCCCUUAUUCCUCUAGAAGUGAAGCUAUUCAUGUGGUUGGCUCUCAAUAAUAGAAGUGAUGAUCAAGAAUUAAAGGUUGGAAGAUCAAUAGGAGAGGAUUUGUUUUCUGCAGCAGUGGAGAAGAAACCACUAAUCAUAUCUUCUUCAUUAGGUGCAAUUUUGUUAAAUCCAUUUAGUUAACGAAGAAGCAUAUAUAGUAAUUAAACUCAAAGGUUUGAUCUUCCGUUUGAAAAUUUUGUGGAUUGAUUGGAGCCCCAGGAAUGUGAAGGAGCAUCUAAGCACUUCGUGGGACUUGGUAGUAUUGGCUAUGUGCUGUUGUCUAUGGAGAGAAAGAAAUGGGAUAUUCAAUGGAAAUUAAUUCCUACUCUGCGGUCUCUUUACUUGCAAAAAUCAAUCAUUUUAUAUCUAUAUGGACUGAUAAUCUUGCUACAGGUAAGAAAAGUAAAGAGCGUAGAUGGAGACUUAAAUAGGAAAAGAGUGCAUCGAUGAUAGCUUUACGUUAUUAACAACUGCAAAGUGAUAGGUGUUUUGAAUGCUGACCGGAAAAGAAUUAAUGGAGAUGUUAUUAGCUUUUCACAAGAUGUUAAUCUCUUUCUAGUUUCAGUUGUAUUGUGAUCUGUCUAAUUUUAUGUUAUAUAUAAUGUGAUGUACGACAGAUUGAGAUAUCUAUGUUUUGGUCUUCUCUUUGCAUUUUUUAACUAUGUAUUCUGCAAUAUGUAAAUAGCUCACAAUAAAAUUGGCGGGGUAAUUUUUUCUCUAGUUUUUACUCACAAAUAUAUAUAUAUAUAUAUAUAUAUAUAUAUAUAUAUAUAUAUAUAUAUAUAUAUAUAUAUAUAUAUAUANNNNNNNNNNNNNNNNNNNNNNNNNGGUGAGAUCGAACUACAAACGAGCGCGAUCGCAAUAUCACCGUGCAAGUCCUCAUGAAUAAUAGGUCAAUGGAGGAUGUGGUUUCUCUCUAUUAUUUUCUUAUUCUCUCUUUUUUCGUUCCUUUUUUGUACAUCGUUUCAUGUGGGAUCGCCGUCUAUUUAUAAGGAAUUCCAAAAUUCUAAUAGCGUUAGAGAUAAGGCCAAAAUCGGUUAUUAUUUGUUAUCUAAUAUGAUUAGAUUUAUCUUUAAUUAGCUUUCAAUUUGAAAGCGAGAUUAAUCCUAAUCCAAUUAGAUAUAAUAUCCGUCGGAUCGAACCCGCUUAUGGGCGUACCCGAUUCGAUUUAACCGAAUGCCAACACUUUAUAGACCGUCUUACUUCAAAAAUUAUUCUGUAGCAGCUAUUUUUAAUGGGCUGACUAGAAGAAAAAAAAAUCUAAAAUGCACCAGUUAUAUUGCUGACGUGGGUAUACCCAACCAAUAAGAUUGUAUCCCUUGGGUCCACCUAUUCCCAUCAUAGUUAAUACUUGAGAAGAUGUGUUUGGCUCGUUACUGAUAAUGUAGUGCAAGUGUGACACAGUAGACUUUCUCGACGGGAAGAGGGCCCUCUAAAUUAUAAUUAAGCAAAUUUUUAGGGGCAAGUACAUGUUGAUACUGUAAACUACUACUGGGUUGGUUGGCCAACGUCCCUCUAAAUAGGGAGGACGAUAUAGCUCAAUGGAGAUGCGCUACUAAUGGAAAUUUUUCUGUUUUAAAUCCUAUGCAAGUUCUUAAUAAUGGAGGAAUGAGAUGUCCUAUUGGUCAAAAAACUUUGGUUUCCCUUAUUCCUCUAGAAGUGAAGCUAUUCAUGUGGUUGGCUCUCAAUAAUAGAAGUGAUGAUCAAGAAUUAAAGGUUGGAAGAUCAAUAGGAGAGGAUUUGUUUUCUGCAGCAGUGGAGAAGAAACCACUAAUCAUAUCUUCUUCAUUAGGUGCAAUUUUGUUAAAUCCAUUUAGUUAACGAAGAAGCAUAUAUAGUAAUUAAACUCAAAAGUUUGAUCUUCCGUUUGAAAAUUUUGUGAUUGAUUGGAGCCCCAGGAAUGUGAAGGAGCAUCUAAGCACUUCGUGGACUUGGUAGUAUUGGCUAUGUGCUGUUGUCUAUGGAGAGAAAGAAUGGGAUAUUCAUGGAAAUUAAUCCUACUCUGCGGUCUCUUUACUUGCAAAAUCAAUCUUUUAUAUCUAUAUGGACUGAUAAUCUUGCUACAGGUAAGAAAAGUAAAGAGCGUAGAUGGAGACUUAAAUAGGAAAAGAGUCAUCGAUGAUAGCUUUACGUUAUUAACAACUGCAAAGUGAUAGGUGUUUUGAAUGCUGACCGGAAAAGAAUUAAUGGAGAUGGUUAUUAGGUUUUCACAAGAUGUUAAUCUCUUUCUAGUUUCAGUUGUAUUGUGAUCUGUCUAAUUUUAUGUUAUAUAUAAUGUGAUGUACGACAGAUUGAGAUAUCUAUUGUUUUGGUCUUCUCUUUGCAUUUUUUAACUAUGUAUCUUGCAAUAUGUAAAUAGCUCACAAAAAAAUUGGCGGCGGGUAAUUUUUUCUCUAGUUUUUACUCACAAUAUAAUAUAUAUAUAUAUAUAUAUAUUAUAUAUAUAUAUAUAUAUAUUAUAUAUAUAUCAUCAUCUAAGUGAGCUCCUCAAAAAAUUCUGUGAAAAAAAGGUUUGACCAGCGGAAAGAUUUUACUCUUUUUUUUUUUUUUUUUUUUUUUUGUUCUCUUCCACAUCGUACUCAAAAUUAUCAUAACUCCAAUUUUUUCUCAUUUAUUCUUUCAGAAACUAGUUAAGUUUUUUUUUUCCUCUUUCAUAUCCUACUCUAACUUAUCCAAACUAUAAUUUUUCAUCAUCUAUUCUUUCAGAAACUAGUUAAGUACUAGAUAUGUGAUACCCAAUAGUCCUAUAUCGUAUAGAAAUAAGAUUGUGAUUAAAAAUAUAAGAGAACAGGGAUCUUAGUAAUAAUAAUUUGGCAUAAGUAUUUUAAACUAGUAGUUUAGUUCCAACAAAUUAGUAUUACUAGUGGGCCGAAUCGUUACAUUGAUAUCAAAGCCGGUUCACCAACGGGAAGUGUGAGGCGGACCUCAUUUCGCUCGAUGAUAUUGGGUUGUGUAUGUGAUUGGACUAACGAGGACGUCAGGGCCAAAAUGGGGAGAGUUUGUAGUAUCCCAAUAGUCCCAUAUCAAAUAGAAUGAAUUGCAUUUGUUAAGGCCAAAACUGGAAGAGUCUAUGACACCCCAAUAGUCCAAUAUCAAAUAGGAAUGGGAUUGUGAUUGGGAAUUUGGGAAUAUAAGAGACCAUUGUCCUAGCCUUAGUGUUGUUGUUCACAAAGCUGUGCAGUGCUCACCUUUCUCCGCAAAAAUGGGCAAGCCUUUAUCCCUGUUGGUAGCCCAGACCUUCGCGUCCUACGAAGUAUGCAAAGGGAAGAAAAGAAAGAUAUUGAGGUUAAACAAAAAAACUGAGUACUCUCAAUUACUUAGAAAAGUGGAUUACAACAUACACAUUCUUUUAUUUUUUGGCUUAGCCACACCCAUUAUUUAUAGGCCUAGAGAUACAAUGAAUCUAGCUACUAUAACUCACCAACUAACUCACUCAUUAACACACAGAAUGAGCCCUCAUAAAAGGUAAGCCCAAGAGUCUCUCCAUGACUAAUGGUAGUUUUUUUUCUAAGAGAUAAUAAGGCAUAAAGGCAACAGUUUUGCAACCUUUACUCUCCCAAAGUGGGUUGGAUUUAGGUUUCAUUAACAAUCCGAUUCGACCCACUUCAGCUUGCAGAGUUGGGCCAGGGACCGGACUGCGCAAAAUUUUUCCAAGUCCCUGACACCAUUGACACCAUGGACCCUAUAAUAAUCCACCUCUCACUUCUAGCUGGUGAUUGAUAAUAUAAGAGACCAUAGACAGUAAUAAUAAUCCACCUCACAUUUCUAGCUAGUGAAUCUGCUCUUAUACUAAAUAUAACGACUCGGCCUACUAGCAAUAAUAACUCGUCGUUCCUAUCCGAUGUAAGACUAUUGGAGUGUCACUAUAUAUAUAUAUAUAUAUAUAUAUAUAGAGAGAGAGAGAGAGAGAGAGAGAGAGAGAGAGAGAGAGAACUAGGCUGGUAUACUAUCGGUAGCACGGCGGCCUCCAUGCUACUAAGUUGUUUUCGAUGAUGCGGCUUUUAAAUCAACGAUCGGCUUCGUUAGACUUGAUCUACACUAUUGAAAUUAUUUGGAAACUAAAUUUUAUAAUUUUUUGAUAUUAUUUGGCUAAUGAUCAAAAAGUCUCAAAAAUGACAAUUUUAAUGGCCCAUGUGAUGCGUUUGUAAAUUUAACGGUGUAAAACAAUCCAAAUAUGAUAAAAUUUUUAUAGAAUGUUUUCUUACUAUUUAGAGUAAGAUCAAUACCUCUGAUUUUAAAUUCAAGUCUUUUGUAAUCAUUUUUUAUGAGAUUUUUAUUUUCAACCGUUUAUUUAUAGACUACUUGUUUGAUACGUAAAUGAUGUCGAAAAAUUAUAAAAUUUAGUUUCUAAAUACUUUCAAUAAUAUAGAUCAAGUCUAACAUAGCCGAUCGUUGAUUUGAAAACUGCAUCAUCAAAAACAACUUGGUAGCACAGAGACCGCUGUGCUACCGAUAGUACACUAGCCAGACUCUCUGCUCGUGCUACCAAUUUUUAUAUAUAGGCUCUUUAUUAAACAUUAUAGUUCAAAUGUAGAGUUGAGCUAGGAUACUUCAAAAAGUAUAGACUAUUCCUUUUUAACACAAAAUACAAAGCAAAAUCUAAGGGUGGCAAGCGAAACUCCUGUCAAGAGAGGGAAGACUCAUACUAGUGAAUGCUGUUCUUACUAAUCUUCCCAUUUACUAUCUAUCAGUGUUCAAGGCACCAAGAUGGGCAAUCAAUAGUAUUGAGGCAUUACGAAGGGACUUCUUUUGGAACGGAGGGCACAACUCACCUGGCAACGGAUGUCUAGUUUCGUGGAAAAACGUUUGCAGGAGGAAGAAACAGGGAGGAUUAGGCAUUCUGGAUAUAGCCAUGAUGAACCAAGCUCUUCUUGUCAAAUGGUGGUGGAAAUUUCAUACCUCGCCCUAGUUGGAGUGGAACAAGUUAAUACACGACUUAUACUAUGUUAGAAGAAGACCAUUAAAGGAGGGCUGGUCCUUUAAACCUCCCUCUUUCUGGUGGAGAGGAAUUCUAAGUCAAAAAGAAAUCUUCAAAUGGGGCGUUGCUUAUAAAUUGGGCAAUGGUUGUAGUAUCGACUUUUGGGCAGAUCGCUGGUGUGGGGACACCACGUUACAAUCGUCAUUCCCGAAGGUGUACCACCUAUCAAAUCGCAAAAAACUAAAUAUCAGUGAGUGCUUUAGAAGCGACGGAUGGGAUUGGCGCAAGAUCUUGGGAUGCGAUACAACUAACGAUAAUCGAUUAAAUUCUUGCAUUACAUCACUGAAGACAGAGAUCUCCAAUUUUAGAAUCGAACAGGGACCAGACAGUGUGCAUUGGAGAUGGAAUUCCGACGGACGCUUUACAGUAAAGUCAACCUAUUCUGGGCUGUGCGAUGGGGGUACGAGGGACGCCCAUGCUAGUCAGAUUUGGAGAAUUCGCAUACCAUUAAAAGCAAAAGUGUUUUGUUGGCUCAUCCUCAGGAAGAGGCACCUUACUGCAGACAACCUACUUAAGAGAGGAUGGAUGGGUAACACAUCCUGUGCUUUGUGUGGGAUAGAGGAGGAAACAGUGGACCACCUAUUCGCUCGGUGCGUGUUUUCUAGAUUUCUUAUGGUCAUAGCAUUGGAAAAUGUACAGACAAGAGACUUGGGUGAUGACGUGACUAUCGUUUGGGAUAGAUGGAUAAGUAGAAAGGACUCGUCAUCCCCUCUUUCGGAACCAACCGGUUUAAUAGCUUGUUGGUGGAUCAUUUUGGAAGCUAGGAACAGUACAAUGGAAGCACUAUCUGUCAUUAAAUUUGCACCACUGUAAUCGCUAGGAUUCUUUCUUUUUUUCUUUUUUUUUUCUUUUUUUUUUUCUUUUUUCAACUCUUUCGAGGCCCGUGUUGCCUCACCUCUGUAGCUUAGUUCACUNCUCUUUCAAUGAAUGAAACAGAUAACGCGCUACCUAUUCCUCAAAAAAAAAAAAAAAAAAAAAAAACAUUUUAGCCCUCAGAUUCAUAAUAGUACUAGCACCCAAAAGUAAACCAUAAAAAGGUUAAAAGUGAAGAGUGCAUAAUUUUAAAACCAAAUAUAUUCCUUUUUAGAUAUUAAUCAUCAAAUAUUGAGUGCAGUGAAUGAGAUUGACAAAAACAUUUUGUUCGAUGACAUGUCAAAGUAAAGCUAUAAUAUUAAGUUAUUGUCACAUCUUAUACUUUCGUGAAAAAUAGAUGGCCAUCAUUACAAGUUAAGACCAUCCCUAGAGAGUCUGGCACUUGAAAAUAAAAUAAUUAUUGAAAAUAAUACUUGCAUGUACACGCCCAAAUUAGAUGCAUAUCUUACACUUCACCCAUCAAGGAGUCGAAACAACUCAUUUAGAUGGUAUUAAUGAGAUAAUAUUGAUCAUUGAAUAGAUGAGGUCUAAAAUUUACACCAACUUUUGGAUACAUAGGCAGGGCUAAUCAUUAUUUAUUAGAUUAUCUCUGGUGUAAUGCAUUAGUUUAAUAUGCUAUAAAUAUAAUAAUGACAUUUUACAUAGCUCGACAAGAAUAACAAAAGUAAAGGCCUAAUGGACUAUUUGAUACAGUAAAUAGAUGCAUUAAUGUUACAACUCUUCGAAAAUUGGAGGGACUUAUCCAAGACCCCACCACCUGCGGACCGAUUCGAUGGUAGCCUCUCUCUUGAAAAUCUAGCUGUAACAUGAAGAAAGAAAACUUUACUCGGAAAAAUCCCUCUUCGAUGAAUCAUCGUCCUACUUCACGAUUCGCGGUAGAUCGGCUGCGGCGACCAUUUAAGAAGUAAGUUCAACUUUCCUGAUUUUGUGCCUUCUAAGGGAAAACUUUCCUCGUACUGUUCCUCCAUUAUAACUCUUGUCAGAGUCAUGAUGCACCUUCCCAUGUAAUCCUGAGAUGAUAAAUGAGAUCUCUUAUAUGAAUGAAUAUUAUAUGAUUCAACAAUCAACACAAAAAAAAACUUCUCUGAUGCAUUUGACAGUUAUAUUGAGUUGAAGAACUGAAACACAGAUGGUUGACUAAGAACAACUGUCGACUAAGUAUGCUUCGUUCACGUUUGACAUUAUUUCUCUCUUCUUCCUCUUUUCCCAUUUCGUAUGUGUAUAAGAAUGACAUGCUUUCCAUAUUCGCAAUAACAUGUUUAGCAUCAACAAUCGCUUUGGCUUGAACACAAAAAUAAAUAUAUGGCAGCAAAAACUCCCCCUUUUAAGAACAGCAGCAACAUUUGAGAAGAAGAGUGAGUAAUAAAAGCAAGAAAAGUGUAAAUGUAUUUUUAACCUAAUUUAUGAGAAGUGUAACCAAACACAAAAAAAUGUCCUUUUUUUUCGUCAAUCUCAUGUCUUCGCAAUGAACAACACCUUAGACGAGAAGUUCAUUAUUGUUUCAUCUAUCUUAUUACUCUAUACUAAAGUCCGUGGGGUAUUCUUCUUUUAUUGAUAUGUGUCCGGCUCAACUAUUCGGUACACCCGGUGCAUCGUAGACCAUUGAUUGUGGACAUAUGUAUGGUCUAUGGGAGAAUUUUGGGCGCAUCUAAUCUACUUCUAUCUAUUCUUUCUUCUACAUUAAAGGAGGGUUUGGGGGAUAACACAUGUCCCCCAAAACCCUCCCCUCCUCUCUCUCCCUACCUAUAUAUAUAUAUAUAUAUAUAUAUAUAUAGGGUUUUAAAAUUUUAUAUUAUAAAAUUCCAAAUUUUGGAUAUUGAAAUUUUAAUUUAUUCCCAAAUUUUCAACGUCAAAAUUUAAAAUUUUAAAUCCUAAACUAUAUAAAAUUUUGAGCUAUUUUUCUAAAUUGGUUUGCUUCAUUACCUACCCAACUACUAAACCAAUUAGAGUACUCCAUUUUGUUUGUCAUUUAUCUAUUGUAAGUCCAAAUUUUAGAACAAAUUGUAUCUAAUUUCUUCACAUUGGUGCUUAAUUUUGCUAAAUUUAGAAUUUCUUACAAAAUUAAAUAUAUGUUCAUAAAUUCUAAAAAAAAUUAUAAAGUUAGUCAAUUAAAAACCUACGAAUCAAGUAACUACUUUUUAUUUUAUCAUAAUAUUUUCAAUUCUCGAUAUUGCUUGCAUGGGUUGACAAAAAUGAUCUGAAUAGAGUUAGAAGAAUAAGAAUUUAAAAAAACACAAAACGAGAAUAUAUAUAUCUUUUGAACAAACUUGCCUAAAAAUAAAAUAUUACAAACUUUUCCUUUUUGCUUCAGAAAAUUUUGAAAGUGUACAGAACCCCAAAUUUUAGGAACUAUCAAAUACCUAGAGACAAAAUCUGUAACAAAAUUUUAUAUUUUAGAAUUAGAUAUGUUGAUACAAAUAUGUGUUUAAUAUAUAUAUAUAUUUAAUAGAAAUAUGUACUAAUAUUUUAUAAAUAUAAUUAAGAACAUACCUAUCGUACCCGCGGCAAAACGCAGGUACAUCGCUAGUUAUUGUUCUAUUCCAAGUGCUUAUACCUCAAAAUUUGCUGGAAAAAAAAAAGCAAAAAUCUUAAACUACACCAAAUUUGCACUAAAUGAUCUGUUUUUUAUUCUAUUCAAUUACUAGGAGGUCUCACGACCAUAAAUGUGCAACAGCUGACAAAGAUGAUAUUUCACCGGCUAAUUUCACAUAAUGAGUAUAGUGCCGACAUAACAAGUAUAAUGCUCUUACCAUUGCCAACUGAUUGAGAACCUACAUUCAAUGGCUCUAUAAUUUCCAACCAUUAAACAUAUAAGUUCAAUAUUUGAAGUAAACUUACCUUUCCGAAUGUAUCAUGAUCCCAGACUUCCAAAAUAAGCAUGUCAUGUAGGCCGUCUUCAACAACAAAGUCAAAAGUCUGAUCCCACAUUGGAUUUAAGCUCUCAUUCACAACCUGGAAUAAGCCACAUUACUCUCACACUUGACAGAAAUACAACUUUUCAAAGCUCAGGGAAUGAGGAAUUACCCUUGUCUUAUACUUCGUUUUUGUUUUCUUCAUUGUAAGCACAACAUAUGGGUCAGACUUUCCAGUCAUAUCCAUCGCGGGCAAAUCUUCUCCUGAUAUUACUGUCACAGAAAGCACUCCCCUCAUGAUAAUUUCCUUUUUCUUGUGCGAAGCUAUCUUCUUGAAAUUGGUUACAAUUGUUCCAUUUUCCGCACUCCUGAUGGUCUUCUCCAAAGAAGUCAUAGUGAACUGCUUCUCGAAAGGAUUAUGGAAUCCAUUCUGCAUGUUAUAGGGACAGUACAAGAGCUCCAGAUGCACCUAAUUAAGUUGGAUAAUGAAACAAUAAGACAUCACAAAUUAGAAAGACAAUGCAUGUGUGUGUAUACAAAGACUUGGACUGGAAUGCUUUCGGAAGCAUGGAGGUCUACGUGCUUCCACUUUGUUUUCGAUGAUUGACAUCCGAAUCGAUGAUCCACUGCUUUGGACAUGAUACACACUUUUCGAAGUAACAAAUUAUGACAUUUCACAAUUUUUCAGCACCAUUUGCCUAGAAAUUUAAGGGUCUCAAAAUCGACUAAUUUAAUGGAAGGUAUGACUUGUUUGCAUGUUUAACAGUAUAAAAAAUCCAAAUCCAACAAAAUUUUGAUAGAAAAAUGUUUUCACAACCUAGAAUAAGUACCUCUGAUCUGAUCUAAAAUUUAAUUCUUGUUUUGUUAUAUUAUAUAAGAUUGUUAUUCUUAGGAAAAUGUCGAAGAAUUAUAAAAUUCGGAUUCUAGAUGCUUCCAAUAAUGUAGAUCAAGGUCUAAUAGAGCUAAUCGUUGAUUUAGACAUCCCAACAUCAAAAACAAUUUGGAAGCAUUGAGGCCUCUAUACUUCCAAAAGUAUUAUAGUUGGACAAUCCCUCCCUCCCUCCCUCCCUCCCUCCCUCCCUAUAUAUAUACUCUCUCUCGCUCUCUCUCUCUCUCUCUCCACACACACACUCCCCCUAUAUAUAUAUACAAGCACACAUAAUAGAAAGCCCCAAAANGCCCUCUCUAUAUAUAUAUAUAUAUAUAUAUAUAUAUAUAUAUAUAUAUAUAUAUGUAUAUAUAGAGAGAAAGAGAGUACUGGAAAUCUAGUACUCGUCUUGAUACCAGAUUUUGAGAAUCCGCAACCCGCUCUGAUACCGACUGAUGUUGAUCCAGUACCAAUUGUUGGGAUUCCGCAACGGAAGCGUCGAUUCGGAUUUUUACCAUAAACCCGUCUCCUCAGCAAAAGCUGAUACAAUCAUAAAAGAGAGAAAACCAAAUAAAAAAUAUGCAAGUAAAAUAAGAUUUACCAAAUAAAAGAAGGUUAUAAAUAACUCCUCUACUGUAACAGAGUAGCUUCAAAUCUGAGCCUUCUUUCUGAAUCUCUCCUACCCAAGGUUUUAAGUGCCCGUCAACACGGACCGUAUCCACCGUGCUGUACCGUACCAACAAGAUACCGGCACAAUACAGACCCCGUGCCGAUGGCCUCAAAACCCUCUAUUCUUUAAAUUAGUAUGUAAUUUCCUCAAUAAAGUUCAAAAGAUGUGAUAAAAAGACAUAAUAAAUAGUAAGAAUAUUUUGUUGUUAAAGAAAAUAAAUAUUCAUGCUAUUAUGUGUCAACAAACAAGAAUUUUUUUUACCGGCACGCAUCGGCACGGCUCAGCACGCACCGUGCCGGCAAGUUUCCGGCACAACCCGUGCCACAGUAUUUAAAUCCUUGCUCCUACCCUUCUCUCGUCUUUUAUAAACCUAAAAGACAACUCUCUUUUUCUCUUUAAUUUUUAUGCACCCGUGCACAAGAUGCACCAAACACUUGGCUAGCUUUUGGUAUGGACUUCCAAGCCUCCAGCCGCACACCCACUAAAGCUUCAGUCGUCCUCUAUCAGGCUUUCAACCCUCUUAAGCAUUAUAAAUAAUGCUCCACUAAAGCGUACCCCAAUUCUAGUAUAAUUAGGGUUUAGGGUUUGAUAUUUAAACCUAUAUUUAGUUUGUCUCCAAUAGAUUUAAGUAUUUAUCAUAUUCUAGUUAGAUUUAUACUCUAAUUAAUAUUUAAAUCUUAAUUUAUCUCUAAUAAAUUUAAAUAUUAAUUAUUAUCCAACUAGAAAAUCAACUACAAAUCUAGCCAAAUCCUAACAUAGAGUCCCCAGCUACAAUGCUAUCAAUAGCACAAAACAUUUAGUGCUACCAAGUUUUCCGCCGAUUGAUCUACCCCUUUGACCAUUUCCACCCCAUAGAUCAUACUAUUUCACCAACCACCCACUAAACCCUAGAGGACCACUAUCAUCCUAACCACACAUCUCUUCAUCCAAGAGCCGAAACUAUUAAGAGUAUUCUAACUUUAUUCUCUCUCUCUCUCUCUCUCUCUCUCUCUCUCUCUCUCAGCUAGGCUGGUAUACUAUCGAUAGCACGGAGACCUCCAUGCUACCAAAUUGUUUUCAAUGAUGUGCCUUCCAAAUCGACAAUCAGCUCCAUUAAACUUGAUCCACUAUUAAAAGUAUUUGGAAACUAAAUAUAAUGAUUUUUUGCCAUCAUUUGGCUAGUGAUCGAAAAAUCUCAAAAUUGACAAUUUUAAUGGUCGAUGUGAUGCAUUUGUAAAUUUAACGGUGUAAAACAAUCCAAAUCUGAUGAAAUUUUUAUAGAAAAGUCUUUUCACUAUUUAGAAUAAGAUCAAUACCUCUGAUCUUAAAUUCAAAUAUUUUAUCAUUAUUUUUUAUGAGAUUCUUAUUUUCAGCCGUUCAUUUUUAGACUACUCGUUUGAUAGGUAAAUGAUAUCGAAAAAUUAUAAAAUUUAGUUUCCAAAUACUUUCAAUAGUGUAUAUCAAGUCUAAUGGAGCCGAUCGUCGAUUUGCAAGGCGCAUCAUUGAAAACAACUUGGUAGCACGGAGGCUUCUGUGCUAUCGAUAGUAUACCAACCUAGCUCUAUAUAUAUAUAUAUAUAUAUAGCAAAAUGUCCUUUUUACUAUCAAGUUUUUAACCCUUGGAUGAGAAAUUGUAGGGUUAGGAUGAUAUGAUGAUAUUACUCCCUUAGGGUUGAGUGGUCCCCCUAGGGUUGAGUGGUCCCCACUAGGUUAUAAUAUUUAAUACAAUGGUUAGAAAUGAUGAAAACAAUUGAUCCAAAGGCUGAAAACUUGAUAGCAAAAAGGGUCUUAUGCUAUAUAUAUAUAUAUAUCUAUCUAUAUAUAUAUAUAUAUAUAGGACUAGGCUAAUAUCCUAUUAAUAGCAUCAAGUCAUUUGUGCUACCAAGUUUUUGGCCAAUGGAUUAAGAGAUGUGCGGUUGAUAUGAUGUGGAAUACCUAGGGUUAAGUGGGUUCAUUUCUGGUUUAAUAGUAUUAUCUAACGGAUUAAAUUGAUCAAAAUGGUCUAGAUCUAACGGCGGAAAUCUUGGUAGCACCAAGCUAGCUUCUUUUUAAGGUUGAAAUUAGGUCAUAGUAUCCGGACUUUGUAUGUGUGUGUGUGUAUAUAUAUAUAUAUAUAUAUAUAUAUAUNCCAAAUCGACGAUCGACUCCAUUAAACUUGAUCUACACUAUUAAAAGUAUUUGGAAACUAAAUUUCAUAAUUUUUCGACAUCAUUUGGCUACUGAUCGAAAGGUCUCAAAAUUGACAAUUUUAAUGGUCGAUGUGAUGCGUUUGUGAAUUUAACAGUGUAAAACAAUCCAAAUCUGAUGAAAUUUUUAUAGAAAAUUCUUUUCACUAUUUAUAGUAAGAUCAGUAUCUUUGAUCUUAAAUUCAAGCAUUUUAUUAUCAUUUUUUAUGAGAUUCUUAUUUUCAGUCGUUCAUUUUUAGACUACUCGUUUGAUAGGUAAAUGAUGCCAAAAAAUUAUAAAAUUUAGUUUCCAAAUACUUUCAAUAGUUAGAUCAAGUCUAACGGAGGCGAUCGUCGAUUUGGAAAGCGCAUCAUUGAAAACAACUUGGUAGCACGGAGGUUUCUAUGCUAUCGAUAGUAUACCAGCCUAGCUAUAUAUAUAUAUAUAUAUAUAUAUAUAGAGAGAGAGAGAGAGAGAGAGAGAGAGAUAGAGAGAGAGAAAGAGAGCUAGGCUGGAAUACUAUUGAUAACAAAAGGUCCUUUUUGCUAUCACGUUUUUAACCCUUGGAUGAGAAAUUGUAGAGUUAGGAUGAUAUGAUGAUAUUACUCUCUUAGGGUUGAGUGGUCCUCCUAGGGUUGAGUGAUCCCCACUGGGAUACAAUGGUUAAAAAUGAUGAAAGCAAUUGAUCCAAAGGCUAAAAACUUGAUAACAAAAAGGGCAUUUUGCUAUCAAUAGUAUUCUAGCCUAACUCGGUAUAUAUAUAUAUAUAUAUAUAUAUAUAUAUAUAUAUAUAUAUAUAGGCUAGGGCUACUAUCCUAUUAAAAGGAUAGUAGCACUUGUCCUAUCAAGUUGUUCUUGAUGAUAGCCGAAUCGAUGAUCGGAGUUGUUGAAGUUGAUCUACAGUAUUUGAAAUAUCUAGAAACUAAAUUUCAUAAAUUUUAAAAAUUAUUUACAUGGUGAUCAAAGUGUCAUAAAAUCGACAAUUUUUUACGGCCUAUAUGAGCCGUUUGCUUGUUUAACAGUGUAGAGCAAUCCAAAUUGCUUGAAUUUUUUAUAGAAAAUUCUUUAUAUUAUUUAGAUAAUGUUUGAUAUCUCUGAUUAUGAAUUGAAAAAGUCUUAACGUCUAUUUUAAGAAGGUUAUUCAUUUAUGACCGUUCAUUUUUCAACUUUUCGAUGAACUUGAUAAUGAUUUUUAAAUAUUACAAAAUUUGGUUUCUAAACAUUUCUAAUUGUGUAGAUCAAUUUCAACGGUGCUGACUAUCAAUUUAAAGUUCCGAUCAUUCAAAACGGCUUGAUAGGACAAUGUCCUCAAUCCUAUUAAUAGGAUAGUAGAUGGACUCUAUAUAUAUGUAUAUAUAUAUACAUAUAUAUAUACAUAUACAUAUAUAUAUAUAUAUAUACAUAUAUAUAUAUAUAUAUAGCAUAAGUAACAUAAUAUAUUAAUAUUACAUUACGUACACCAUUAUAUAUAUAUAUGUAUAUGUAUGUAUAUAUAUAUAUAUAUAUACAUAUAUUUAUAUAUACAUAUAUAUAUAUAUAUGAGCUAGGCUGGUAUACUAUCGAUAGUACCAAGUUGUUUUCAAUGAUGCGGAUUCCAAAUCGACGAUCGACUCCAUUAAACUUGAUCUACACUAUUAAAAGUAUUUGAAAACUAAAUUUCAUAAUUUUUCGACAUCAUUUGGCUAGUGAUCGAAAGGUCUCAAAAUUGACAAUUUUAAUGGUCGAUGUGAUGCGUUUGUGAAUUUAACGGUGUAAAACAAUCCAAAUCUGAUGAAAUUUUUAUAGAAAAUUCUUUUCACUAUUUAGAGUAAGAUCCGUAUCUCUGAUCUUAAAUUCAAGUAUUUUAUCAUCAUUUUUUAUGAGAUUUUUAUUUUCAGCCGUUUAUUUUUAGACUACUCGUUUGAUAGGUAAAUGAUGCCGAAAAAUUAUAAAAUUUAGUUUCCAAAUACUUUCAAUAGUGUAGAUCAAGUCUAAUAGAACUGAUCGUCGAUUUGGAAGCCGCAUCAUUUAAAACAACUUGGUAGCACGGAGGCUUCCGUGCUAUCGAUAGUAUACCAGCCUAGCUCUAUAUAUAUAAUCCAUCUAGAGUUCUUUUGUAAGUCUUCUACUUACAACUUUUUAGCUCUUGGAUCUCUAGGGUUUACUAUUUAAUGGUUGGAAUAGUAUGGAUCUAAGCGCCCAAAGGUUGGAAGUAGCAACUUCCAAAAGUAUACGAGUUUAGAGCUUCUAUAGUCAUAACUGAGUAUUUGUUUUCGAUGAUAGAUCUUCCAAAUGGACAAUCCAUUCCAUUAAAUAUGAUCUAAAGCAUUUGAACUACCUAAAAAUCGAAUUUCGUAAUUUUUUAGAAAUUAAAAGAGUCCAUCAAGUGGUAAGAAAAUAAAUGGUCGAUUGAACGACCUCCUAAAAAUAGAGCACCCUGUUCUUCUAUUCAAGAUCAGAGUUAUUGACCUUGAUCUUGACAGUGAAUAAAAUUUUCUAUCAAAAAUUCAACUAAUACCAUUUCUUCUACACUGUAAACUAAAAACACCCCAUACUAGCCAUCAAAAUUAUCAAUUUGGAGGCCUUUUGAUUGUACAAUAUAUGAUAUUAAAAGAAAAAAAAAAUCAUGAAAUUCGAUUUCUAAAAUGUAUAUAUGCUCUAAAUUAUAUUCAACAAUAUGGAUCAAUUUGGAGGCUCUAUCAUCAAAAAUGACUUACGAGCAUAAAGGCAACCGUACUCAUAAAAAUACUCUCUCUCUCUCUCUCUCUCUCUCUGUAUACAUAUAUAGUAGGAAUUGUGUGCUUUUAGGAGCACAGAGGCCUCUGAUGGAGCUUCCGAAUCGACGAUCGGCUCCGUUAGACUUAAUCUUGCGUAUUUGAAGUAUCUAGAAAAUAAAUUUUAUGAUUUUUCGAUAUCAUUACCUAGCGAUCGAAAGGAUUCAAAAUCAACGGCUGAAAAUAAAAAUCUCAUAAAAAGUGAUGAUAUAGCACUAUAUAUAUAUAUAGUAGGGCUACUAUACUCUUAUGAGUAUAAAGCCCUUUGUACUCAUAAGUUGUUUUUGAUGUUGGGGUUUUCGAAUCGACGAUCCACACCGUUAUACAUGAUCUAGAGUAUUUGAAACUUCUAAAAAAUAAAUUUCAUAAUUUUUCGAAAUCAUUAUAAAGUCCAUCAAGCCGGUAUAAAAUGAACGGUCAAAAUCGAACGACAUCCUAAAAAUGGAUGAUCGGAUCCUUCAACUGAAGAUCAGAGUUAUUGAUCUUUAUGUAGGUAGUGAAUAGAAUUUUCUAUCAAAAAUUCAAUCUAUUCUGAUUCUUUUACACCGUUAAACUAGCAAAUAUCGCAUACUGGCUGUUAAAAAUUGUCAAUUUUGUGAGCUUUUGAUCGUAAGGUAAAUGAUAUCGAAAAAUUAUAAAAUUUAAUUUCUAAAAGUUUUAAAUGCUCUAGAUAAUGUUUAACGGUAUGGAUCGUCGAUUCAGAAGCUCUAUCAUCGAAAACAACUUAUGAGUACGAAGGCGAUUGUACUCACAAGAGUAUAGUAGCCGGACUCUAUAUAUAGCUAUAUAUAUAUAGAGAGAGAGAGAGAGAGAGUUGAGCUGGAAUGCUAUUGGUAGCAAAUGGGCUCCGUUGCCACCCAUUUAUUUUCGAUAAUGGAGCCUUCAAAUCGACGAUCGGUACCGUUGAAUAUAAUCUAUACCACUUGAAGUAUCUAGAAACCAAAUUUCAUCAUUGACCUAAUGACCAAAGGGUUUUAAAUUUUAUAAUUUUAAGGGUAGAUAUGAGACAUUUUCUCGUUUAACGGUAUAAAGCUAUCCAAAUCAAUUGAAUUUUGGUUAGAAAAUUCUUUAAACUAUUUAGAACAAAAUCUAUACUCUUGAUCUUGAUUACAAAAUUCCUAUCAUCACUUUUUUGAGGAUAUUCAUUUUCAACCAUUCAUUUUUACGCCCAUUUGAUGGACAAGAGAACGAUAUCGAAAAGAUUUGAAAUUUGGUUUCUAGAUUCUUCAAGUGGUAUAGAUCAUGUACAACGGUGCCGAUCGUCGAUUUGGAGUCUCCAUCAUCGAAAACAAAUGGGUGGCAACGGAGCCCGUUUGCUACCGAUAGUAUUUCAGCUCAACUCUCUCUCUCUCUCUCUCUCUAUAUAUAUAUAUAUAUAUAUAUAUAUAGAGAGAGAGAGAGAGAGAGAGAGAGAGAGAGAGAGAGAGAGAGAGAGAGAGAGAGAGAGAGAGUAGAGCUAGUAUGCUAUCGGAAGAAUAGAGGAUCUGGUGCUUCCAAUUUUUUGGCCCUUAGAGCAACCCCCUUAAUCAUUUCUAACCUUUGGAUUAAUACUAUUAACCUGUGGGGACCAAUCAACGCUAGGGAUACUACUCAACUUGGGGGGACCGCAAUCAUCCCAACCGUAUAAUUUUUUAUCCAAUGGUCAAAAAGUUGGAAGCAUCAGAUCCUCUAUGCUUCCGAUAGCAUAGUAGCUCUACAAUAUAUAUAUAUAUAUAUAGGUCUUGUGUGCUAUUAGGAGCACGGAGGCCUCCGUUGUCCUAAGCUGUUUUUUAUGAUAAAGCUUUCGAAUCAACGAUCACCUCCGUUAGACUAGAUCUAGCGUUUUUGAAGUAUUUAGAAAAUAAAUUUUGCGAUUUUUCGAUAUUAUUCACCUACCUAUCAAAAGGAUUCAAAAUCAGUAAUUUUUAAUGGUUGAUAUAUAUCAUUUGCAAGUUUAACGGUGCAGAAAUAUUCAAGUCAGAUAAAAUUUUGAUAGAAAAUUCUUUAUACUAUUUACUGUAAGAUCAAUAUCUCCGAUUGAAUAUUUUAGUGCUAUAUCACCACUUUUUGUGAGAUUUUUAUUUUCAGCUGAUUUUGAACCCUUUCGAUCGUUAUGUAAAUUAUAUCGAAAAAUCGUAAAAUUUAUUUUCUAGAUACUUCAAAUACACUAGAUCAAGUCUAACGGAGCCGAUCAUUGAUUCGAAAGCUCUAUCAUCGAAAACGUCUUAGGAGCACGAAGGCCUCCGUGCUCCUAAUAGCACAUAAGACCUACAAUAUAGAGAGAGAAAGAGAGAGAGUUGAGCUAGAAACUCCCAAAAGCACCAAGGGUAGAUGCUUUUGGGUUUGUAGCCCUUGGAUGGAGUGAUGUAAGGGUAGGAUAAUGGUGGCAGGUGGUGAUAGGUGAAAUAGUGUUUGAUCCAUAGGCUAUUAGUAGUCAAAAGGGAGAUCUAAGAGUUAGAGUUGGUGCUUCUAGGUGUAUUCUAGCUCAAUUAUAUAUAUACAUAUAUAUAUAUAGAGCAGGGCUGCUGUUCUCUCAGGAGCACGGAGACCUCCAUGCUCCUGAGUCGUUUUCGAUGAUGGAAUUUUCAAAUUAACGAUCGGCUCCGUUAGACUUGAUCUAGGGUAUUUAAAGUUUCUAGAAAGUAAUUUUUGCGAUUUUUCGAUAUCAUUUACCCAGUGAUCGAAAGGAUUCAAAAUCCAUAAUUUUUAAUGGUUGAUAUCUGUCGUUUUCAAGUUUAACGGUAUAGAAGUAUUCAAAUCAGAUGAAAUUUUGAUACAAAAUUCUUUAUACUGUCUACAACAAGAUCAAUAGUUUUGAUCGAAAAUUUUAGUACUAUAUUGCCACUUUUUAUAGGAUUUUUAUUUUCAGCCGUUAAAAAUGAUUGAUUUUGAAUCCAUUCGAUUGCUAAGUAAAUGAUAUCAAAAAAUCGUAAAAUUUAUUUUCUAGAUACUUCAAAUACGCUAGAUCAAGUCUAACGGAGCCGAUCGUCAAUUCGAAAAUUCUAACAUCGAAAACGGCUUAGGAGCACGGAGGCCUUCGUGCUCCUGAGCCGUUUUCGAUGAUAGAAUUUUCGAAUUGAUGAUCGGCUCCAUUAGACUUGAUCUAGGGUAUUUGAAGUUGCUAGAAAAUAAUUUUUGCGAUUUUUCGAUAUCAUUUACCCAGUGAUCGAAAGGAUUCAAAAUCCAUAAUUUUUAAUGGUUGAUAUCUGUCGUUUUCAAGUUUAACGGUAUAGAAGUAUUCAAAUCAGAUGAAAUUUUGAUACAAAAUUCUUUAUACUGUCUACAACAAGAUCAAUAGUUUUGAUCGAAAAUUUUAGUACUAUAUUGCCACUUUUUAUAGGAUUUUUAUUUUCAGCCGUUAAAAAUGAUUGAUUUUGAAUCCAUUCGAUUGCUAAGUAAAUGAUAUCAAAAAAUCGUAAAAUUUAUUUUCUAGAUACUUCAAAUACGCUAGAUCAAGUCUAACGGAGCCGAUCGUCAAUUCGAAAAUUCUAUCAUCGAAAACGGCUCAAGAGCACGGAGGCCGUGCUCCUGAGCCAUUUUCGAUGAUGGAAUUUUCAAAUUAACGAUCGGCUCCCUUAGGCUUGAUCUAGGGUAUUUAAAGUUUCUAGAAAAUAAUUUUUGCGAUUUUUUAAUAUCAUUUACCUAGUGAUCGAAAGGAUUCAAAAUCCAUAAUUUUUAAUGGUUGAUAUCUGUCGUUUUCAAGUUUAACGGUAUAGAAGUAUUCAAAUCAGAUGAAAUUUUGAUACAAAAUUCUUUAUACUAUCUACAACAAGAUCAAUAUUUCUGAUCGAAAAUUUUAGUAUUAUAUCACCACUUUUUAUAGGAUUUUUAUUUUCAACCAUUAAAAAUUAUUAAUUUUGAUUCCUUUCUAUUGCUAGGUAAAUGAUAUCGAAAAAUCGCAAAAAUUAUUUUCUAGAAACUUCAAAUACGCUAGAUCAAGUCUAACGGAGCCGAUCGUCGAUUCGAAAAUUCUAUAAUCGAAAACAGCUCAGGAGCACGAAGGCCUCCAUGCUCCUNNNNNNNNNNNNNNNNNNNNNNNNNNNNNNNNNNNNNNNNNNNNNNNNNNNNNNNNUAUAUAGAGAGAGAGAGAGAGAGAGAGUCCAGCUAUUAUCCUCUUAAGAGAAUAGAAGCCUUUGUUCUAUCAAAUCAUUUUGGAUGAUCGGGACUUCAAAUUGAUAAUUAGCACCGUUGAAAUUAAUCUACACUAUUAGAAAUAUUAAAAAACAGAAUUUUGUAAUUUUUAAAAAUCAUUAUCAAGUCCAUCGAAGAGUCGAAAAAUGAACGGUCAAAAACAAAUGACCUUCUGAAAACAGAUGUUAGACUUUCCCAAUUUACGAUCGGAGUUAUUAAACAUAAUCUAAAUAGUAUAAAGGAUUUUCUAUCAAAAAUUCAACCGGUUUGGAUUACUCUUCACCGUUAAACAAGCAAAUGGCUCAAAUAUGCCAUCAAAAACUGUCAAUUUUGCAAUCCUUAGAUCACUAUGUAAAUAAAUUUUAAAAUUUAUAAAAUUUAGUUCCUACAUAAUUCAAAUAUACUUUAGAUCAACUUCAACGGUUCCGAUCAUCGACUUGGGAUCUCUAUCAUAAAAAUCGAUUUGAUAGGAUGAGGGUCCCUAUCCUUCUAAAAGGUUAGCAGCUAGAUUCUAUAUAUAUAUAUAUAUAUAGAAUUAGGCUGGAAUACUAUUAGUAGUAAAACACUCUUUUUACUAUCAAGUUUUUAACCCUUGGAUGAAAAAUUGUAGGGUUAGGAUGAUAUUAGUCAGUUAGAGUUGAGUGGUCCCCCUAGGGUUGAGUGGUCCCCACUGGGUUAUAGUAUUUAAUCCAAUGGUUAGAAAUGAUGAAAAGAGUUGAUCCAAUGGCUAAAAAACUGGUAGCAACAAUAGAAUUUUGCUACUAAUAGUAGCCCAGUCCGACUCUAUAUAUAUAUAUAUAUAUAUAUAUAGAGUUGGGCUGGAAUACUAUUGAUAGCAAGGUUUUAAGUGCCCGUCAGCACGGGCCGUAUCCACCGUGCUGUAUCGUGCUAACAAGAUACCAGCACGAUACAGACAUCGUGCCGAUGGCACAGCUCAAAACACUAUUCUUUAAAUUAGUAAGUAAUUUCCUCAAUGAAGUUCAAACGAUGUAAUAAAUAGACAAAAUAAAUAGUUAGAAUAUUUUGUUACUAAAGAAAAUAAAUAUUUCAUACCAUUAUGUGUCGACGCACAAGAAUUUUUUUGAUCGGCACGGCUCGUCACGCACCGCGCCGUACCGUGCCGGCAAGUUUCUGACACGACCCUAUGCCACGGCACUUAAAUCCUUGAUUGAUAGUAUUUGGCCCUUUUGCUAUCAAGUUUUUAACCCUUGGAUAAGAAAUUGUAAGGUUAGAAUGAUAUUAGUUUCUUAGGGUUGAGUGGUCCCCCUAUGGUUGAGUAGUCCCCUUAGGGUUUAGUAGUCCCCACUGGAUUAUAAUAUUUAAUUCAUUGAUUAGAAAUGAUCAAAGGAAUUGAUUCAAAGGCUAAAAGCUUGAUAGCAAAAAGAGGCAAAUAUUAUUAAUAGUAUUCUAGCCCAACUCUCUCUCUCUCUCUAUAUAUAUAUAGUUGAGCUAAAAUGCUAUCGGUAGCAAACGAACUCCAUUGCCACCCAUUUGUUUUCGAUGAUGAAACCUCCUAAUUGACGAUUGGCACUGUUGAACAUGAUCUAUACCUGUUGAAGUAUCUAGAAAUCAAAUCCCAUGUUUUUCUGAUAUUAAGAAGAGAAUUCAAAUUCUUCUUAUUCUUUCAAUAAUGAAUUACAAAGAUAUAUAUACAUAAAUGUUUCUAUAAUAAGAUAUUUAAUAAGGAAAGAUAUCUAAGGAAAAAUGCCUAAAACUACGCUAGCUAAAUAGGAACAUAAUAUAUACAAUUUUGACUUCCCAUAACACUCCCCCUCAAGUUGGAGCAUAAAUAUUAAUCAUGCCCAACUUGUUACAAAUGUAGUCAAUCCGAGCUCCAUUCAAAGCUUUUGUGAAGAUAUCCCCUAACUGGUCUCCAGUCUUGAUAUACCCUGUUGAAAUGAUCUUCUGUUGCAUCUUUUCACGAAUAAAGUGACAAUCAAUCUCAAUAUAUUUAGUUCGCUCAUGAAAUACAAGAUUAGAGGCAAUAUGGAGAGCAGCUUGAUUAUCACACCAUAAUUUAAUGGGUUGUGGAUUCUUAAGACCAACCUCAUCCAAUAAUUGUUGUAUCCACAUUACUUCACACACAGAUUGUGCCAUAGCCCUGUAUUCCGAUUCAGCACUAGAACGGAGACAACACUUUGCUUCUUACUUCUCCACGACACCAAGUUACCUCCAACAAAAACGCAAUAUCCUGUAGUCGAUCUCCUAUCAACCUUUGAACCCGCCCAAUCUACAUAUAAAAAGCAUUCAAUAUUUGAAUGUCCAUGGUUCUUGUACAAGAUACCACGCCCUAGAGCUCCCUUCAGAUAACACAAAAUGUCCCAAAGCUUCCCAAUGAGUAAUAGUCGGAGAAGACAUAAACUGACUUAACACAUUGACGGAGUAAGAAAUAUCUGGCCGAGUCACUAUAAGAUAGUUCAAUUUGCCAACUAAUCUCCUAUACCUUUCUGGAUCUUCAAACAAUUCAUCAUCAUUAGCUGUAAGUUGGAGAUUAGGAGCCAUUGGUGCACUGCAAGGUUUAGCCCCUAAUUUUCCUGUUUCUGCUAAUAAGUCAAGCACAUAUUUUCUUUGAGAUAAGAAGAUGUCUCUUUUGCAUCUUGUAACUUCAAUACCCAAAAAAUACUUCAACAUCCCGAAGUCCUUUGUCUGAAACUAGGUUGAAGAAAAAGCUUAAGAGAUGAGAUUCAUAUGGUAUCAGUCCCAGUGAUGACAAUAUCAUCCACAUACACUACUAAUAGAAUUAUACCAGUCUCAGAAUGUCUAUAAAACAUAGAAUGAUCACACUGACUCUUCUUCAUACCAAACUCCUGAACUACUUCACCGAAUCCGCCAAACCAAGCUCGAGGACUUUGCUUCAAGUCAUAUAAAGAUUUUCGAAGUCUACAAACUCGACCUAACUCUCCCUGAGCAAGAAAACCAAGUGGUUGCUCCAUAUAUACCUCUUCUUGAAGAUCACCAUGGAGAAAAGCAUUUUUAAUGUUCAGCUAGUGUAAAACCCAAUGAGAGGUGCCGCCAACAAAAUAAAUAAGCGAAUAGAAGCAAGUUUAGCCACAGGAAAAAAAGUGUCGGAAUAAUCAACCCCAUAAGUCUGAGCAUAGCCUUUGGCAACAAGGCGGGCUUUUAGGUGAGCUACAAAACCAUCUAGAUUCAUUUUCACAAUAAAUACCCAUUUGCAACCAAUAGCUCGCUUAUUGGCAGGUAAGGGUACCAAUUCCCAAGUACCAUUAGUGUCUAAAGGCAUCAUUUCCUCUUCCAUUGCAACACGCCAGACAGGAUGAGACAAAGCUUCCACAACAGAUUUAGGAAAAGAAACCGACUCCAGAGAGGUAAUAAAACAACAAGAAGAUGAUGACAAACAGUCAUAAGAAACAAACGAUGAAAUAGGGUAAGUACACGUACGUUUGCCUUUGGGAAAAGCAAUGGGAAGAUCGCAAGGUCGGUGAUAGUAGUGACUAGAUCUUCCGACGAAGAAGCUGGUGGAGGAUCUGAGUCAGGAGUCGCCAAUCUCCUAGAAUAGACAUGAACAAUAGGGGGGUCGAACAGUUGCCGAUGGAGCAGGAAUAGGUGUUGCAGGACUAGACACUUGUCUGAUAGUGUAAACAAGGAGAUCAUCUACCUCCCCCUGACUUUCAUAAAUAGAUGAAAGAGGAAAGAAUAGAGUAGAUUCAAAAAAUGUAACAUCUGCAGACACAAUAUAUCGAUCGAGAGUAGGAGAGAAGCACCGAUACCCUUUUUGCAGAUGAGAAUACCCAAGGAAGACGCACUUAAGGGACUUUGGAUCCAAUUUAGUUACCUGUGGUCGAACAUCUCGCACAAAACACGUACUACCAAAAAGACGAGGUUCAAUAGGAAAUAAUGAUUUAGAUGGAAACAAAACAGUAUAAAGAAUAUCACCAUUCAAGACAGAUGAAGGCAUGCGAUUAAUCAGAAAACAAGCUGUGGAAACUGCAUCAGCCCAAAAGUGUUUAGAAACUUUCAUUUGAAAAAGAAGGGCACGAGCUACCUCAAGGAGAUGUCGGUUUUUUCUUUCAGCAACUCCAUUUUGGGAUGGAGUGUCAACACAUGAAGAUUGAUGAAGGAUGCCAUUCUGUGUCAUAUAACUGUGAAAAUUUUCUGAAAAUAUUCUUUGGCAUUGUCACUUCGCAAUAUACGCACAGAAACAUUAAAUUGUGUUUUGAUUUCAAUACAAAAGGCACAAAAAAUUGAGAAUAGUUCUGAAUGAUUUUCAUUAAAUAUAACCAAGUAACACGAGAAUAAUCAUCCACAAAAGUAACGAAAUACUUAAAUCCUGAUUUGGAAACAAUAGGACACGGACCCCAAAUAUCAAAAUGAACUAACUCAAAAGGAGACGAUGCCCGUUUAUUGACUCUAGACACAGAAGGUAAACGAUGAUGCCUAGCAAACUGACAUGACUCACACUCUAGACUGGACAAAGACUGAAACUGCGGAAACAAUUUCUUCAAGGUGGAUAACGAAGGAUGACCCAACCGACAAUGGACCUUAAAAGGAGUUAAAUUACUGGAGCAAGCAAGAGACCUCGGCACCUGGUUGUCAAGGAUAUAGAGACCUCCAGACUCAUGUUCUCUACCAAUAAUCUGCUUCGUCAUAAGAUCCCGAAACAAACAAUGAUCGGGAAAAAAUGAGACAACAAUUUAAAGCUCGGGUGAGUUUACUAACAGAUAGUAAAUUGAAAGAAAACUGGGGUAAACAUAAAACAGAUGACAAAGAAAUUGAUGAUGUUGGGUUUCCAAUGCCAGAACCCAUGACACAAGAGGUAGAUCCAUCAGCUAAAGUAACAGCAGAAGAUGUUAUAUGAGACUGAAAGGCAGAUAAAAGACUAGAGUUACCUGUCAUAUGGUCUGUAGCACCAUAAUCAAUGACCCAUUUGGAAUGGGAAGACACAAGGCAUGAUGUGGAUUUACCUGACUCGGCGAGUGCAGUGACAGGGAAACUGGUGGGCUUUAAGGAUGCCUGAUAUUGGGAGAACUGUGCAAAUUCUUCAGCUGACACCAAAACAGUUUUCUCUGAGGAUGGGGUUUUCUCCCAGGAUGGGGUUGUAUACUCCCCGGUUGCCAUGUUGGCCAUCUGAGAUCGUUGGUUCUUAUUUUGAAGUUUCAAACAUGUGCGCUUUGUAUGACCAGGUUCAUGACAGUAAUAGCAAACAACUCCAAAAUCUCGAUUAGAGGUAGUCUCUCCAUGACGAUGAUUAGCUCUAUUGGCAGUAAUCCCUCUAUUGCCCCCUCUACAAUUAUGCCGUCCAUUAUCAUUGCGACUCACAAGCGCGCUAUUAGUAGAUUGAGAAAAUUGAGGAGUCUCUACUCGGGUGAAAGUAUCAUGCAAAGAGGAAAUCUCGAAGCUAGAAAGAAUCUGAGAUUUAGCUAUUUCAAAUUCUGGGGGUAAACCAGCAAGAAAACUCAUAAUCGCCAUUCGCUCGCGUUGAACCUGCUGCACUUUUACAUCAGGACUAAAGGGUAACAAAACAUUAAGCUCUUCAUAAACACGUUUAAAGUCCAUAAAAUAGGCUGUGAGAGACCUAUCCUGCUUCUCAGAUCGAUAAAAUGCCUUAUAAACAUCAUAUAUGCGGGAGAGGUUCUCUUUGCCAGAGUAUAAAAAAUCUAAUAAUCCAUCAAUUCUUUCACAAACUCACAAUGAUUAAUUAGACUAAUUACCUCACUUUGAAUGGAGUUCCUUAGUUGUAAGAAUAACCGAGCAUCUUCCCUCAACCAAGUGUGCUUUGUAUCAUCGUUCGGUGGAUCGCUAGUUAGGUGAUCAUCCUUAUCAAUGCUUCGUAGAUAAACACGAACCGUCUUGCCCCAUUUGUAGUAUCCCUAGUGUUUGGUUGCCCGUGAGAUUUCAGCAUAUGAGGCUUGUCGACACAUUUGGAAAUUGUCGAGACAAGUCGGAGUCGUUUUGGCGCGAAAUGAAUGCAAAACGGACUCAGUGCGACGCGAAAGCAGAGUUUUGACAUUGAAAUCACAAAGUGCAGGUUUUCAGUGUUGAGUACUGGUACCCUGUGUGUGAGCUUAUGGGCUGAGAGGCUGAGUACCGGUAACCAAAUUGGGUACCGGUACUCCAACUGUAUUUUUUUGAGUUGGUGAAGGUACUACUGUCAAUAUGUUAGUGGAUAGGAUUGCCACCUCACCAUCCCUCAUACCUAUCCACUUAAUUAAUUAGCUGAGAACUUCUCUCUCUCUCUCUCUCUCUCUCGUGGUGGUGGUAGCGACUCGGGCUCGGGUAGAUCGACGUCGACAGUGCGCCGGAGAGCCGCUCUAGCAUGCGGACGUCGCGGUUGCGCCGUUGGAGGCCGGACGAGCGCGUGAUUUCCUCUCCUUUUGAUUUCUCGCCGUAAUUGAACGAGCUUUUCGAGGUGGGUUGAAGUUUACCGAAAUCGUCGGAAUAUCUUCUAAGCUUGAGCAUUUGUCGACAUGUACGGGACACAACCGUCCCGCCUGUCGAAGCUACACUAACUAUCACCACGCUGGAUCGUCAGUGGAGAGCGAGUCCAAACAAGACACAACGACAACAACGCAAAAGCACAAAGCCAGACUCCGGAGUGGCACUCGUGGGCGCCACCCAACCGAAUAUGCAAGCGCGUCUCUGCGAAGCUCAAUCAGGCUCUCACAGGCUAUAGUCAAAGCAAAAGGGUCUAACUGGUCCUACAAUCAAAACUCACGUGCCCUUGGCACAAUCCGAUGCAAAAACAGCAAACCGGGUCCACCGUCAACCGCGACGGCAUCCGACAGUUCGGAACAGUACACACUACUCUAAAAUAAACUCGGCAUCUUAGCACGAGCGUAAAUUCAUUCUACACUAUUCUGGAUAUCCACCGCAUACAAACUGCGGCGAUACAAACAAACUACAGCUCCUAAAGUUAAAUCUGGUAGUUUUCAAAAAAUGACAUUGUAGAAGUAAUAGUUUUCUCCUAAGUCAAAUCCAAGUCCAACAUGUAAAACUAUACUACUAGUUUAACUCCAAAUUCAGAUUUUAAACCUAAUCCAUGAAUUCGAGUACUAUCAAGAAAAUAAACGCAUGAUACAUGUCGACAAAUGCUCAAGCUUAGAAGAUAUUCUGACGAUUUCGGUAAACUUCAACCCACCUCGAAAAGCUCGACCAAUUACGGCGAGAAAUCGAAAUGAGAGAAAAUCACGCGCUCGUCCGGCCUCCAACGGCGCAACUGCGACGUCCACACGCUCGAGCGGCUCUCCGGCGCACCGUCGACGUCGAUCCACCCGAGCUCGAGCCGCUACCACCACCACGAGAGAGAGAGAAAGAGAGAGAGAGAAAGAAGCUCUCAGCUAAUUAAUUAAGUGGAUAGGUAUGAGGGAUGGUGAGGUGGCAAUCCUAUCCACCAACAUAUAUAGUACCCUCACCAACUCAAAAAAAUACAGUUGGAGUACCGGUACCCAAUUUGGUUACCGGUACUCAGCCUCUCAGCCCACAAGCUCACACACAGGGUAUCAGUACUCAACACUGAAAACCUACACUUUGCAGAUUUCAAUGUCAAAACUCUACUCUCGCGUCGCACUGAGUCCGUUUUGUAUCUAUUUCGCGCCAAAACGAUUCCGACUUAUCUCGACAAUCUCCAGAUGUGCCUCAGAUGCUGAAAUCUCACAGGCAACCAAACACCAGAGAUACUACACCAUUCCAGAUAGUUGGAGCCAUUGUGUUUGUGUUCUGUGAUUUUAGUCAUUACCGAGAUUACAUCGGCAAUCACAGAUUUUGGCUCACUCUUCAUAGACACAGUUUCAAACAUAGCGUCUUGGACAACGAGAUCAAGUCACAAAGCAGCUCGCAGGGCUGCACUCUACACCACGCUGUGAGGCAAAUAAAACAACCCUAGGUAUGUCACUUAAGGAUCAAAACAAGAACCAGAUGCACGAACCUUAAACUGCAGCAGCAGUACUGAUACUGUAGUGCCGUACUCUAACAAUACUAUAGCGCCGUACUGUAGCAGUACUGUAGCACCGUGCUGUAGCAGUACUGUAGCACCGUGCUGUAGCAGUACUGUAGCACCAUGCUGUAGCAGUACUGUAGCAGUAUGUAGUGGUAGAGAAAAGAAAAAAACGAGCAACGCCGAUGAGAUCCGGUGAGGGACAACACUGGAUCGCUAUACCCUAGAAUUAGGGUUUAGCUCUGAUACCAUGAAGAAGAGAAUUCAAAUUCUUCUUAUUCUUUCAAUAAUGAAUUACAAAGAUAUAUAUACAUAAAUGUUUCUAUAAUAAGAUAUUUAAUAAGGAAAGAUCUCUAAGAAAAGAUGCAUAAAACUAUGCUAGCUAAAUAGGAACAUAAUAUAUACAAUUUUGACUUCCCAUAACAGUUCUGUUUUCCAUCAAGUAGACACAAAAUGAACAGCUGAAAAUGAAUAUUCUUUAAAAAGUGAUAAUAGAAAUCUUGUAAUCAAGAUCGAGAGUAUAGAUCUUGUUUUAAAUAGUUUAAAGAAUCUUCUAACCAAAAUUCAAUUGAUUUGAAUAUCUUUACACCGUUAAACGAGAAAACGCCUCAUAUCGACCAUUAAAAUUACAAAUUUUGAAACCCUUUAAUCAUUAGAUCAACAAUGUCAAAAAGAUUUAAAAUUUGGUUUCUAGAUACUGCAAGUGGUAUAGAACAUAUUCAACAGUGCCGAUCGUUGAUUUGGAGGCUCCAUCAUAAAAAACAAAUAGGUGACAAUGGAGCCCAUUUGCUACCGAUAGUACUAUAUAUAUAUGUGUGUGUGUGUGUGUGUGUGUGUGUGUGUGUGUGUGUGUGUGUGCAUAUAUUGAGCUCUAUGCAAAAAAGAAAAUCCCCUUUUAUGGUCACAACAAUUAGUUUUCCAAUUCCGAAUACACUGAUAUGUCAAAUAAAUACAAUUCAUCUCAUUGUGCACUUCCUCUUAUCAAAAGUAGUACUUCUAAUAAUACUGUACGAGCCCAAAUUAGCAGCAUAGAUUCCUUCGCUUUUAAGUAGUGAUGAUAGUAAUACUUUGAGGAAAUAAAACUUGAAGAUGACAAGAUAAAUAAAGUUUCCUGAAGAAAAACAAAAUGGUAAAAUCACUGAAUUCAUGAAAUCACAAACUAACCUCGCCCCGAUCUUUCUUGUCUCUUUGCACUUCCAAAUCCUUUACAAGUUUCAACCAGAUAUCCUUCACUUUACCUGGUUGAAGAUCCUUCAAUCUUACUUGAGCACAGCCAAUUAGUUCAGAUGCCUGAACUCCAUCAUCAUCGUAAAUCUUCACUGUCAAAUUCUGCGUAUUUAUAUCUUCAACUAUAAAUUCAAAGUGCUCGUUCCAGAUAGGAUUUAAAUCAUUGUUCUGCAAGAAGUUAAAUUCAAUUAGAAAGAUCAAAAGAAAUAUUUGUUUCUCCAAAAGCUGCAGAAUUAAUAUUUGCAUAUGCAUAUCUCUCCCUGCAAUAUCUCAAUUUUCACAUAUGCUCUUCGAAAGCUUAGGUCCUUACAUAUAUCUUUCCUAAUAUAAAAUCAAUUUGCACUUGAGUUGUAUAACUCCCCAGCUGCAGAUAAGGGUAUUUCUAUAAGAAUAAGAAUCCAGAAUCCACACUUUCAUGGGGUCCAAGUAUAAAUCCAGAUUGUAAAGGGGCAUACAAGUAAAUAGAUGAUUUGCAAGGACAUAUUUAAAAUCCCCACAUUAGAAAACUGAAAAAGGUUCUUUGGAGACUUACGAUAAUUUUACUAGUCUUCAUUCUAUCACGCAAAGGGCGUAUGUACAAAAUUGCAAAUGGAUCAGAUUUUCCUACGAGGUCUUUGUUUGUCAAGUCUCUUGCUUGCACAAGCUUCACUUCCAAUGUCCCAACAGGUUUCAACUCCAGAUCACUAAGAUUAUUACCCACAGAAAGUUAAAGAACUGUUACUAUUAUUCUGGAAACACAAUAACUCCAAAAUGUAUGUUUUAUUGUUGCACAAAGUGUACCUAUAAUCUCCAGGUAAUAUUGGAACAACUUUACGGACAGGCCAUGUCAAAGUGUCUUCAACAGCAUCACGAAUAGUUCUCUGGACAGACAAACACAUUUUAUUGGCAAUUUGACAUUAAUUAAUUCAUAAUUUAAGGUAUGGACAAGGAAAAAGCAGGAAUACUGAACCUCAAUAGCAUCAGAAAUUCCAGGCAAAGAUGAAAUUUCCCCACCGACAACCUUCAACUUGAAAUCCAGCUUUUUCUACAACAACUCUUUAUAUCUUAUAUUUCAAGUGACUGCCAAUGAAAUAAAGAGAAAUAACCGGAUACGCAAGGAUACUGCACCUUCUCUCUCAAAGAAUAACAGACUGCCCCAAAGCAUGGAAACUGAUCCACUAAAGGCCUAAAGAUUAAGCGGAAAACACCCGUGAAGCCAAUGUCCUUUACCUGUAGUACAAAAUAGAUAGGUAAGGAUUUAAAGUAAAAAGCAAUAAUAAUAAUGUUAAGUAGGACAUACAAGAUAGCAGAGACAACCAAUGUUCUCCAAAUACUUAAGCUACCAAACAGUGUUUUUCUAAUAUUAUAAAUUCAACACUCUCUCUCAUGUCUGGGCUCUAGAUAUUUUGAUAAACCCAAAAGGUUGAUGAAUUAAAUGGGAGAAAAUUUAAUGAGAGUAGGGGCUUAGUGGGAAUCGAACUUAGGACCUCCUGCACUAGUACCACGUAAGAUAAUUUGAAACAACCGAUGUCUCCAAUAGCUUAAGCUACCAAAGAACAAUUUUUUUAACAUUAUAAAUUGAACAGGGAAAACAGAUUGGUACUAUUACAAUAAUAAAAAACUUCAAGAGUCUAAACAAAAGGUAUCCCAGGUUUUCAUCAAAUGAACAUAUGAGUCCAAUAAGAAGUUUGUUUUAUUGUUUCUAGUCUUCAAAUUUGGUCCUAACUAGAGCAUUAUCAUUUUCCCUAAGGAACACAUCAAAGUCCUAACCCUACUCAUGGUCAGUGGAGUAUCAAGUGAUAAUCUAGAAAAGAAACAUAUAUGGUUAUUCACCACAAGUAAAAGUGAUAUCUGCUAACAAAGAAUAGCAAUUAUGAACCAAUAUAACAGAGAGUGACAAUUUUUCAAAGUUCUCAAGCUUCAACUGGUCCAACAAAGAAAGAUCUAAUUAUAUGCUUCAACAUCUUUUCCUCAUGUACUAAACUUCGACAUUUGGCUGGUAUGUUAUCACUUUCUGUCAAAGUAUUGCUCAAAUUUUGAUUUCUUCAAAAAGCUAUAUCUUAUGAAGUAAGUCUUCGAGAUUGAUAAUAGAAGAGAUGCUGAGCGAUGAUGCUUAUAUGUUGAUAUAUCUAGCUUGCUCUUGUACAUGAAGAUACUGAUGUAUAUGUGUGAGGUUGAGACUAAUGUCACACAUUCACAUAUUACUGUAGAUUUAGUUCAUUUAGAUUUAUAUUCUUUUAGGUUCAUAUAUGUUUUCAGUUUGAUGUUCCCUCAACUAGUUACUUUUUCUUAUUUACUACUUUGCUUGCAUUGAUUAUCUCACACCCGACAAUGGUACCUGUUACUAUAGCAUAAUAAAAGAUUAUUGCUUGUGGAUAUGUGGCAUCCUGCUUCCCCUUGGUCUAUGGCGUAAAAUUAAUAAUGUGGUCCCAACUUGCAAAAGUGGAAAAUAAGUGGGUUUUCUUGUUGGGGAAAGGCCAUGAAACAAAAUAUGUUUGAAAUUAAUAGUUUGUCAAUCUUCUCAAACUUUCUUUAGGGGACAAAGGUUUCUGAGAUAUGUAUGUGCUUGGAAUCAUAAAUUCCAGUUUUCAAUUCAACAUAGUAACAUAACGCAGCAGGAUUGUUGAUUCCUUGGCAUCUCACAUCCACACGAAAAGUGGGAAUUUAUAAACUAUGCCUCAUCUUAGAAAUCUUGCACUCCCACAGUGAUCGAUGCUUCUUGGGCAAAUAUGCCGUUGGCAAUACUAAAAAAAAGCAAGGAACACCACCUCUGCACUUGUUGCCAAAAACAUCGCCCGCUACCACUGCCACCACCACAACUACUGCUAUCGCCGUGAUCAUUACCGUCACAAUUCCACCACCAUCACCACUAUCGUUGCCACAACAACCCCAAGACCACAACCUUUGACGGCAUUAUAGCUUCAGCCACCAUAACCAUUACCACCAGCUCGUGUAUUAUUGCCAUCACCAUUGAAGCCAUGAUUAACUUUGGCAUCACCAACACUUGUGCCAACAUAAACACCACCAGAGCCAUCACCACUGACAUCUUCACUACCACUAGUUCACUAAUCACUUCUUUACAAUUAUCACCGGCAUCAUCUAAUAUCAAUAUCACUAAACUUUGCCUUUGAACUUGUUAGGAUUUGGUUAGAUUUGUAGAUUAAUUCUAGUUGGAUAAGAAUUAAUAUUUAAAUCUGUUGGAGAAAAAUUAAGAUUUAGAUAUUAAUUAGAGUAUAAAUCUAACUAGAUUAGGAUAAAUAUUUAAAUCUAAUGGAGAUAAACUAAAUAUAGAUUUAAAUAUUUAUUAGAGUAGGAAUCCUAAAUAUACUAGGAUUUGGGUGCGUUAUAUAAGCACCAUGUGCGGUGCUUUUGGAGGGGGAGUACGGCGAAAAAGUUGAAGCUCUUUGGUGGGUUGUACUAGAGAGAGAGAGUUGGCCGAUUGCAUGCACCUAGUGCAUGGGUGCAUGUGAGAGAGAGAGAGAGUUGCCUUUUAGAUUUAUAAAAGACAAGAGAAAGGUAGAAGAGAUUCAGAAAGAGGGCUCGCGUUGUAGCUGCUCUGUUGCAGAAGAGGAGUCAGGUGUAUUAUUCUCUUAUUUAAUAAAUCUUAUUUUACCCGCAUAUUUUCUGUUUUGGUUUUUUCUCUCUUUUGUGAUUGUAUCAACUUUUGCUAAGAAGACGAGUUUAUGGUAAAAACCCGAUUUGACCCUCCCGCUGUGGAAUCCCAACAAUCGGUACCGGAUCCACAGCAGUCGGUAUCGGAGCGGGUUGCGGAUUCACAAGAUCCGGUACCGGGGCGAGUAUCGGAUUUCCAACAAUUGGUAUCAGAGCUGAACGUUACCGAUCUACUGGAGAGAUCGACGGAGAUGGCCACGAAAUUCAAAAUCAAGAAGUUCGACGGCAAGAACAAUUUCGGAUUGUGGCAGAUUAAAGUACGGGCGAUCCUCGUACAACAAGAAUUAGAUGAGACGUUGAACGAGAAAGAGGCGAAGCCGGCGGAGGUCACGGAUGCGGCAUGGCUGAAGAUGGAGCGGAAGGCAUUGAGCACGCUUCAUUUAUCAUUAGCAGAUGAGGUUCUUUACAACGUAGCCAGCGAGACGACAUCGACAAAGUUGUGGAAGAAAUUAGAAGAUCUGUACAUAACCAAAUCCUUGACGAACAGGUUGUAUCUGAAGCAGCGACUGUUUACGCUGCAAAUGCAAGAAACGGCGAGCCUACACGAGCAUCUGAACGAGUUCAACAAGGUGGUAACCCAGUUGACUAGUAUCGGAGUCAAUUUGGAUGACGAAGACAAGGCGCUGAUUUUAUUAUCUUCGGUACCGGCGACAUAUGAGCAUCUGGUGAUCACGUUACUUUAUGGCAAGGAGACCAUAAGUGUGGAGGCGGUCACAGCAGUGCUUCUCUCGAACGAGAUGCGAAAGAUGAUUAAGUAGUCCGGCACGCAGAGCCGUGAUACUGCUCUAGUGGUGAGAGCAAAGAAGGAGGUGAGAAUAUCGGUGACUGGAGAUCGACAGAAAAAGCCGCUAUCCGAGGUGGAGUGCUUUUACUGUCAUAGGAAAGGGCAUAUCAAGCGCAAAUGUCAAAAACUUCAGGAUGAUUUGAAGGAGUUAAAGCGACAGAAGGAGAAAACUAUUGUGAACCAGGAUGAGACGGUAUCAGUGAUGGCGCAGGCGGUAGAGUCGGAGAUGAUCGAUUCUGAUGUGCUGUAUGCGGCGACUGGAGGUGCGAACAUUUCGGAUGAUGCGUGGGUGCUCGAUUCGGCGUGUUCCUUUCACGUAUGCCCGGAGAAAGAGUCUUUUGCCACCUAUAAAGCGAUCAAGGAUGGAAAAGCUCUAACGGGUAACGGGACGGCGUGCAAAGUUUUGGGAGUCGGCACGGUGAAGAUCCGAAUGCACGAUGGGAUCGUGAGGAUGCUAACAGGUGUACGGCACGUUCCUGGAUUGAAGCAAAAUUUGAUCUCGUUAGGCGUGUUGGACUCGAAAGGUUGCGAUAUUUCAGCUUCAGGUGGAACUAUGAGGGUCCGAAAACGAGAUCGGGUCGUGUGUGAGGCGAAUAAGUGUGGGAACUUGUACGUUCUGAACAGGAACACAGUCAGAACGGGAGCAAAGACGGUUUGGGUCCCAAAAGUUCGCGGAGGUGCAGUCGCUCGUGGCGGAGCGACAGAUGUGGCGACAUCGAGCGGAAGAGACAAGCUCAAGAUGGAGCUUGCAUGGUGAGCUCAACGCAGCGAUUGAAGACUACAAAUCCAACAAAGGUGGAGAUUGUUAGGAUUUGGUUAGAUUUGUAGAUUAAUUUUAGUUGGAUAAGAAUUAAUAUUUAAAUCUGUUGGAGAUAAAUUAAGAUUUAGAUAUUAAUUAGAGUAUAAAUCUAACUAGAUUAGGAUAAAUAUUUAAAUCUAUUGGAGAUAAACUAAAUAUAGAUUUAAAUAUUUAUUAGAGUAGGAAUCCUAAAUAUACUAGGAUUUGGGUGCGUUAUAUAAGCACCAUGUGGGGUGCUUUUGGAGGGAGAGUACGGCCAAAAAGUUAAAGCUCUUUGGUGGGUUGUACCAGAGAGAGAGUUGGCUGGUUGCAUGCACCUAGUGCAUGGGUGCAUGUGAGAGAAAAACAGAGUUGUCUUUGAGAUUUAUAAAAGACAAGAGAAGGGUAGAAGAGAUUCAGAAAAAGGGCUCGGGUUGUAGCUACUCUGUUACAGAAGAGGAGUCAGGUGUAAUCUUCUCUUAUUUAAUGAAUUUUAUUUUACCCGCAUAUUUUCUGUUUUGAUUUUUUCUCUUUUUUGUGAUUAUAUCAGCUUUUGCUGAGGAGACGGGUUUAUGGUAAAAACCCGAUUUGAUGCUUCCGUUGCGAAAUCCCAAAAAUCGGUACUGGAUCCACAGCAGUCGGUAUCGGAGCGGGUUGCGGAUUCACAAGAUUCGAUACCGGGGCGAGUACCGGAUUCCCAACAAAACUAACACCAGAUCCACUGCUGUUGUUUAGUCGUACCAAAUGCCACUGCAGCCACGGUUACGACUUGAGUUCUUAUUAUAUUGUGCUACUACAACUUUUUCCACCACCAACACCACCUCUGAUGUCACCAUUCUCAUUGCUGCUGUUAAACUGUGCCUUUUUAGGCACUAAGAGCAUUAAGGUAACUUAUAUAAGCUCAUAGUGUGUGACACCUUCGAUCCUAUAUAUGAGAUAUAAUAGGACUAAACCACUUAACCCAGCUAUAGAAUUUUGGGCAGUGGCUAGGGUCAAGAGGUUAAGAGAGUUAAGAGUGCUAGGAUUAGAGUAGUUCUAGAAUGUGUGACCCCUUGGGAAGAAGUCGCCACAUAGAGUUAAAAGAUUCAUAGAAUGUAACAUAGAGCUACCAAGUCCAUGGAGCUUUUUUAGGGACUUGGUGUUUUGCAACUAGCGGGUUAUUUUUUGAGGUACUUGGUUUCCAAGUCUUUAGUACAAGUGGUUUCCAAGUCUUUAUUACAAGUCAUGUUUGACAUGGAGCAAGUGUGAGGGUUUAAGUGCCCAACAGCACGGGCCGUAUCCACCGUGUCGUAUUGUGUCAACAAGAUACCAGCACGAUACAACCCCAGUGUCAAUGGCACAGCUCAAAAUCCUCUUUUCUUUAAAUUAUAAAAUAAUUUUCUCAAUAAUUUCAAGAGAUUUGAUAAAGAUACAUAAUAAACAAUUAAAAAAUUUUGUUGCUAAAGAAAAUAAAUAUUUCAUCCCAUUAUGUGUCGGCACAUAUGUAUUUUUGUGACCGACACUCAUCGGCACUGCCCAACACCCAUUGUGUCGUACCAUACCGGCAAAUUUUCAACAUGACCCCGUGCCACGACACUUAAAUCCUUGCAAGUAUCAUAGCAUAACCUAUAUAUUGAUGCACUUGGGGAUAAUUAAGUGCAAGCGUGGCUAAUUAAUUAAAGAUCGGUUUCUUGUAUAGGUUUUUCAUACGAUGUUGACCCCAAGGGCGUCGAAGAAAAGUGCGGCCAACUAAGAUGUUCUAGCUCAAAUCUCGAUGCAACAGCAACAUGAGUAUCUGGUUGUGAUAAAUUAUUAUCCUUAAUAAAUUCUCUUCUCUAGUUAACGUAUAGAAAAGUUCUGCCCUGACAUUUUCUUUAAGACUUUACAUAGCACAACAGAAGGGUGGGUUUCCCUAUAAGGCUCAUGAUUUUGGUUUUGAGGAACACAUAAAGUUGAAAGGUAGGGAUGGCAAUAGGGAAGGGGGAACGGGGCCUUUCCCUGAUAACAGGGGAGGGGGGACAGGGCCCUUCCCCAUCCCUAUUCCCCUUUUCCACGAUUUUUUAGAAUCCAUGUCCUUGCCAAAUCCCCGCGAAUAGGAAAAAAAAAUUUCCACCCAUCCCUGUCCCUGUCCCCGUGGGGACCCCACAGAUUUUUUAAAAAUCAAAUAAAUUAUUUUUUAUAAAAUAUAAUUUAAUUUUUAAUUCAAAUUAGCUUAAAUUUUAUCCAAUUAUUAAGUUUAUUUUUUUCAAUGUCAAAUUAUUAAACAUGGCUCAUCAAAUUACUAAAAACGUAUAGCAAUCUAAUAUUAUUUAACUAAUGCAUUAUAUAAAAAAAAUAAAUAUGUUUAACAUAUUUAACUAAAUUUAAAACAUAUUAAAAAUAAUAAAAUUAGCAAAUGAGCUGGAAUGUUACUAGUAGCAAACGAGCUAUAGAGUUGAGCAGGAAUGCUACUAGUAGCAAACGAGCUAUAGAGUUGAGCUGGAAUGCUACUAGUAGCAAACGAGCUUUGUUGCCACCCAUUUGUUUUCGAUGAUAGAGCAUCCAAAUCGACGAUCAACACCGUUGAAAAUGAUCUAUACCACUUGAAGCAUCUAGAAACCAAAUUUCAUGCCUUUCCAAUAUUGUUCUCUUGUCCAUCAAGUGGACACAAAAAUGAACAGAUAAAAAUGAAUAUCCUUUAAAAAGUAAUGAUAGGAGUUUUGUAAUCAAGAUCAAGAUUGGGGAUUUCGCCGUUAAAUGAGAAAACAUCAUCAAUGGCCUUAUGAUCGUCUAACUAAAAUUCAAUUUAUUUGGAUAUAUUUACGCCUUUAAACGAGAAAACAUUCAUAUUGACCAUUAAAAUUAUAAAUUUGAAACCCUUUGAUCAUAAGGCCAAUGAUGUCGAAAAGAUUUGAAAUUUAGUUUCUAGAUAUUUCAAGUGGUAUAGAUCAUGUUUAACGGUGCCGAUCGUCGAUUUGGAGGCUCCAUCAUCAAAAACAAAUGGGUAACAACGAAGCCCGUUUGCUACUUAUAGCAUUCUAGCUCAACUCUAUAAAUAUAUUAAUAACUAUAAAAUACUAUAGUGUAUUAUUUUGUAGGGAUUGGGGAUUUCACAGAGCAGGUAGUAUCCCCGUCCUCACCCUGUUCCCAUGAAUAUGGGGAACUUUUCCCCUAUCCCCGUCCCCGUGGAGUCAAAAUCCUCCACAUCCCCAGGUCCACAGAGAAAAUUGCCAUCCCUAAACAAAUGCGACCACCGCCACCACUAUCAUCAUUUACCACCAUCAAAUUUUUUGUUGUCACGGCUAAUAUCACAAGGACACAUUACCACCUUUAUCUUCGUAGUCACCACCAUUGGGGUUAUGAUUCAUGUGUCUUAUCUUAAGUGUUAUAAUGAUUGAACAAAACACAAAUAAUUUAUUAGAGAACUUCCUAAACUGCAGACCAAAAUACAUAUUCCAAUAAACUAGGAAUCUAAUUCUUCAAACAAUUAUUCCUAGAGAAGUGAUUUCACGUGUGUGACUUUGAUUUCAUAAACCAAGUGGCCCAUGAGAUUAUUUAGAUCUUUCAGCUCAAAAUCAGUUAAUUUUUUUUCGAUUUUAUCAAUACAACAGUUGUACUGUGUUGAUAGGCAUGAUGCUAUGCACCAAGUAACACAAAUAUCAUGGAAAUCUUCGAGUUCUACAUUAUGUUCCUAAUGCUUCACCUAUAAAAUGCAAACAGAGGGUAAAAAAUUCACCUGUAUUGGAAGUGACAAACCAAGUUUUGUUCGAAUAUCAAGUACAAGAUUUGGGUUUGCAUCCCAGUUUAACUCUAAGUCCAUGGUGAUCCCAGAUUCAUCAUCUUCAAUUAUUGAAACCCCUAAAUAUAUAAUACAUGCAGGUGGUUUUAGUGUUGUAAUAAAACUACAAGUUAUGGCAGGAGUGUUCACUAAGUAGUAAUUCACAUAGUAAUAAGUAAUUGAUUAAUGUAAUAUCAUGUAUAAUGUAUAUGUCAUUACACAAUUCUGGUAAGUUCUCACAAGAUUAAAAUGAUAAUAUCGCGGGGAAAAAAGAAAAAGAACACAAGAUAGUGCUUCAUUUGGCAAGUAUAAACUGUAGAUGUCGUUCCAAGUUCAAACCUAUUAGAACCAAUAAGAGUAGGAGAAACCUUAGGUUUCUAAGACAAAAUAUCAUAGAAACAACAAGUGCUUUAAUUUAAGCUUCCUACAGUUUCCAUGAGGCCCAGAGAAAGUAAAAUAUUGUAGAAAUAUUUAUCAUCCUUACGUAAAAAGAAGGUAAACUUCAAUUUGCCCCUUCUAGCUCAACCGAUUUGCGCAUCGCCACCCUAAGGUUUGAAAAGUUACACCUUAGUUUUCUUUUUUGCUUCAUUACAUGCAGAUAAAAACUCUCAAUAGUGAGUGAACUAAAGAGGUCAUCUGAACUUCUCAAAUCAUUAGAAAGUUAAUCAGAAUCCUUUAAUAAAAUAACUUGUAGAAGUAUGAGUUGUACUACGAUCUAUCCUUCUUAUGACUUGAAAAGGAAAGGACUGAAUUGCAUGUGAGCAAAGUCACAGUUCAAGCAUAGCGUGCACACAAUCAGAGGUAAAACUGCACCUAUUACAAAUGGGUAAAAAACUGCAUGCCUACAGUGUAAUUGGAGGGAAAAUCUGCAGGUUGAUGAUUUAGAAUUAUAUGAAGAGUUCAAGGCGUACAAGUAGCUUGUUUAUAGCUUUUUAAGGAACUAGCAUAUUAACGGAAGCAUAAUUCAUGUAAACUUUAUGAUUAAAUAUGAGAUAUCACUCUGCAAACAAUACUUGGGAAUAAAUAUGAGUAAAAUAGAUAUGACUACACAAACCAGGAAAGGUUCAAAACCCACCAGUGAAUUGGGGAGCAACAGUACCAAGAGUUAACUUUGAAAACUUGAGGGAAUCUAAGAUGGCAGAUCUAUAUUGUUCAAGAACUGGCUCAACGGAGCUUCUUAUCAACUCUGAUGCUGCCUGCAGCAACCAUAAAGCAAAUGCAACAAGAUUGUAAUACAUGAAUUACAGUUUGGUAUUUCACCAACUACACUAACACUAACAACACACAGAAACACCUAAGGGAAGUAUACAAAAUGCAGAUGCAACAGACGCUUAAGUGCGUAGAUCCUAAGUUGCAAGAUAGAACAAAGGAGCACCUCAUUCACGUAAGGCCAGAUUUUUAUGAGCUCUUGAUUAAGCCAUUUCAACUGCAAGAUGUAAAAAACCACUAUCAAUGUCUAGACAGGCCUCAGAAAAUGAAACACAAUAACAAGCAGAAGAUAACCAACAUAACUUCUGACGGCUUGAGAAAACAACCCAUGAAGGGCACAAAUCAGCAGGAAGGAUCUUCCUUGAAUCUUCUACAGUCAUCUUUGAAAAUCUUGCCAACGUAGCAGCCUAAAUUAAAAGAUAGGAGACAUGUUUAGUUAUUGCAGCUUAAACAAUAAAACAAAAUUCUCAUGCAAAAUUUUGAUGUCUUAUGGUACAAGAUGCAACAAUCAAAUCCACUACAGUAAUCUGCCUGCCAGAAAUUUACUGGAACACAUUUGUUAACAAGAAGUUUGAAGAACGUCUCUUCAUCAACAAAGGCCUAGUUUCCAAAUGCAUUGUACAAACAUGUCAAUUUUCUGCUUUAGACGCAUACAGGAGUCCUCUCACACCAUGAGCACAAGUCAAGAAGCAAAACUAUUUUUUGUAAUUAUCAAGAAUAUCAACAGAAAACGUGCAGAUGUAUUUUCUAAAGCAAUCGUAAAAAGUCGAUUGAAAUAAUGCUUCGUCACAAGGAGAGCAGCUGAUAUUGGAAUUUGAGAAAUAACAGAUAUCCUUGAAAAAAUGAACUUGAAAAGUGUUGCUAGAAUUCAUGCCCUAAAAUGCUCACUUAAUUCCAAGGAUGCACAUGUUUGCUGUAUAAUUUUUUGUCUUAACUAACAAAUACCAUUAGUUGAUCUUCUAUCUGAUAAGAUAGCUAUUGGCUGCAAAUGGGUUUAUAAGGUAAAGACACGCCCUAAUGGAACAAUUGAGAGAUAUUAGGCUCGACUAGUAGCAAAAGGCUAUUCACAAGAGUAUAGCAUUGACUAGGAAGAAACCUUUGCUCCAGUUGCUCAUUUGCCAUCAGCAGGAGCACUUUUGGCAGUCGCCUCUGCCCAUCAAUGGCGAUUGGCGAAUGCAUCAAAUGGACGUUAAAAAUGCAUUUCUUAAUGGAGAACUUGAGGAAGAAGUGUAUAUGAAACCUCCACCUGGAAUUUCUCAUCAAUCUCAUAAAGUCUGUCGUUUGCGACUUUGCGCCGAGCGCUGUAUGGACUUAAGCAAGCAUCACGAGCUUGGUUUGCCAAAUUUAACUCCACGAUUGCUACACUUGGUUUACACAAAGUGCACAUGACUCUGCACUUUUUCUUCAGUGUACUCCAAGAGGUAUCAUUUUGCUUUUGCUAUAUGUUGAUGAUAUGAUCAUUACUGGAGAUGAUUUUGCUGGCAUGUCAGUCUUAAAUUGUUCUCUUAAUAAAAGCUUUGAUGAAAGAGUUGGGCUCUAUCCGAUAUUUUCUUGGCAUUGAAGUAACUCCUACUUCUUAUGGUUAUAUCCUUCCUCAAGUCAAGGAUGCAUCAGAAUUGAUUUCUCAAGCAGGUAUUUACUGAUGAUAAUACAGUUGCUACUCCUCUUGAGAUUAAUGCAGAGAUUACAUCUACAGAUGGAAAGCCUCUCAAGGAUGCAACACUUCAUCGUAAACUUGUUGGUUCGCCUCUCAAGGAUGCAACACUUCACCGUAAACUUGUUGGUUAGUCUUAUUUAUUUGACAGUAACUCGUCCAAAUAUAGCUCAUGUUGUACAUCUCGUCAGCCAAUUUAUAGCAAAUCCUCAAACCCUUCAUUCUGUAGCAGUCCUUUGCAUUAUUUGUUACCUUAAAGAUCUCUUUUUCAACAGUUACUUCUUUCUAAAAAAUCUUCACCCAAAUUAUGAGCUUUUUCAUAUGCUGAUUGGGCCAGGGAUGUUAAUGAUCGUUGCUCUACAAUUGGAUAUUGUUUGUUUAGAGAUUCGUUAAUCACCGGACAUAGUAAGAAACAACCUAUUGUUGCUUGUUCAAGUACAGAAGCUGAAUAUUGGGCUUUGGCUGAUAAAACUGCAGAAAUCAUUUGGUUGUACUGGCUACUUGCUGAUAUGGGUGUACAUAUUGACAUGCCAGCAUCACUUCAUUGUGACAACAAAAGUGCAAUUCAAAUUGCUUAGAAUGAUGUGUUCCACGAAAGAACAAAGCACAUUGAGAUUGACUAUCAUUUUGUUUGUGAUCAUGUUCAUCGUGGGACAAUUAACUUGCAACAAACGGCAUCAGUACAUCAACUUGCAGAUCUUUUUACCAAGUCUCGAUCAUCUUCUCAUCUUCAUAUUUUGUUAUCCAAACUCAAGAUGAUACCUCGACCACCAUCUUGCGUUUGAGGGGGAGUUGUUAAUGUACAUAUUUAAAUAUAUAGUAAUAUUAAGGCAGUGUUUGGUUCGAGAACAAGGGUGGAAUAAGCCCUUGGUCCCCUUUUUGUUCCCAAACGAGAAUUUUCGUACCCGAGAACUACUCCUAUAAUAAGCUGGUAUAAGGCUGGAACUCCAGUUCCAUCUUUUUCCCUAGAACAACCUUGUUCCCAAGUAGGAACAAGGUUAAUUAAAGCCUAAAUUUAAUUUUAAUUAUGAUAUUAAAUCAUUAAUUAAUUUAAUUAAUAUAUUUAAGUCAUUAUCCAUUGCUUAAAAUAAAGUAAUUAAUUAAUUUAUUACUUAUAAUUAAUUAUCUAAUUAAUUAUUAAUAAUUUAAUAUGUUUAUCUAUAAACUAAUAUUUAUAUUGAUCAAUCAUUAAUAUUUUUAUUAAUCUAAUUAAUUUUUUUACUAGUUAUCUAACUAAAAUAAUUUACUAACUAAUUAAAAAGUUAAAUUACUUUUUAUAUUUAAUUAAUUAAUUAAUAUAUUUUUAUUAUCUUAUACAAUAUUCAUAGUUAAUAAAAAAUAAUUUUAAUUUAAAAGUAUAACUCUUAUUCCCCUUGUUUCAAUCUAACCAUCCAAACACUAUUAACUUAUUUCUAGGAACAACCCAAUUUUCAUCCAAACACAAAAUUAAUCUAGUUCUUGCUUAUACCUGAACUUGUACCUAUUUUUGGAAUAAACAAUUCUUACGUAUACCCAGACCAAACGCAGCCUUAAUGUACCCAAUAUUUACACAUCUAUAAAGGAGUUAGUGUUCUCUUUUCAGUAUUCGUGUUAGAGAGUAGGGAAGUCCAUUCACCGGCGUAUCUAAUUACAUAGAAAUUUGCGUUUGGACAAAAAAAAAAAAAAAAAAAAAAGAAAAAAAUGACUAGGCCUACAGUGUCGAUGAGUUAAUCAAGAAUCAGCAGCAAGUAAAAGUAGUGGAUUAAACAGAUGGGCAUCAGUAGCGGAGAGGAUCUUGAGAUCCAUUACCAGCUCGCGGCGUUGCGCGGAUCGGGAGUUCUGGGAGCGAGCGAAGGCGAUGACGAGCCCGAUUCCGAAGGCGACCCCCAGAACCAAACCAAGGAAGAACGACAUUACUCGCCCCACCACCUCUCUCUCUCUCUCUCUCUCUCGCGGAACAAGGAAGAAGAGGCAGGGAGAAUUAGUAAGAGAAAAAAAAAAAAAAAAAAAAAGAAAAAACCGUCGUACUAAAUAAAUUAAGUAAAGUGGAGAGAAACUGAUGGUGCCUUCCCCGGCCAAUGCCGGCGAGAGUAGGAUUGGAUGAAAAUAGUACGAGUUUUAGUAAUUGUAGGGGGGUUUUUUUUUGGAGUACUUGAAAAGGGCGACGGAAAGCGAGAGACGGUGAGAGAGAGAGAGAGAGAGAGAGAGAGAGACAGGGCGGACUAAACGCCCUUUUGACAAGUGCCAAGUGAGAGAAAGGAUGAAUGGGGAAGUAGAGGGUUUUGCGGGAUCUUGUAAUGGAAGAAAUUAGGGCUUUUUUUGGCUGGCCCCCUUGGAAAACAUGGUAUGGAACGGGCCGUUUGGCCUAGCUUCUGCAAAAAUACUUUCGAAAAGAGUAAAUUUGAUUUGGAGAUAUACUUUCGAUUAAAAAGUGUAGAGUGUUUGGCUAAAUUUAGAUAAAAAUAAUUUUUCAGAAGUUAUUUUGAAAAAACUGUUUGACAAAUUUUUUUUAUGUUUGCAUAAAUUAAUAUUUUUAUUAAAUUUUAUUUUAAAAUAAUUUAAAAUCUAAAUUUAUAUUUGAAUUAAAAUUAAAAUUUUUAAUUUUCAAAAUUGUACAAAAUUUAAAAUUUGAUAUUUUAAUUUAAAAAAUAAUUUAAAUUUUAAAAAUUUAAAUUUAAAUUUUAAAUAUUUAAAAUUUAAAAUAAUUAUGAAAUUUCAAAUAUAAAGUUAAAUUUUACAAAUUUAAUUUUAAAUUUUAAAAUUUUAAAUAUUUGAAAUUUAUAUUUUGUAGAUUAAAUUUGUAAUUUAAAAUUUUAAAAUUUUAAAAUUUUAAAAUCUAAAAUUUCAAUUUUUAAAUUUUAUCUUAAAUUUGAAAUUUAAAAUAUGAAAAUUUAAAAUAUAAAAUCUAAAAUUUGAGAUUUGAAAUUUAAAAUUUAAAGUUUGAAAUCUAUUUUUCAAAUUUUAAUAUUUAAAAGUUAAAAUUUAAAAAUUCAAAAAUGAAUCUGAAAAUUAAAAUUUAAAAUUAAAUUUAAAUUUAAAUAUUGAAUUUAAAAUUAAAAUAAAAAUUUGAAGUUUGAAUCCAAAAUCAGAAUCAGAUUUCAAGAAGCAGUUUUUUUCUGCUUCUAAUUUUGGGCCUUCAAAAUCAGUUUUCUGAUUGUGAGAAGCAGAAUCAGAUUUUAAAAAUGAAGUUGCCAAACGCUCUAUUGAGCUGAAAAUCAGAUUUUAAAAAUGAAGUUGCCAAACGCUCUAUUGAGCUGAAAAUCACUUUUUAACCCAAAAGCGCUUUUUAAAAGUUAGGCCAAAUACCCCUAACGUGUUGGUAGACAUAGUCGAGGGACUAGGAGAAGAAUAUGACAUUAUAUUUUUGUAAAUUUUAAAUUACUCCGAACUUUCUAUAUUAUUGAAAAACUUGCUUUAAUUUUUUAUAUUCUGUUGUGAUGAUCUGGUAUUGAUGCUUUAUUGAUGUUCUGUUGGAUUUGUUGUUGUAUUGUUAAUGUUGAUUUCUUGGAUUAUUGUAUUGAAUUUGUUGUUGCGUUGUGAUGUUGUAUUUUAUAGUUUAUUGCGCUGAAAAAUUUCUACUGAACACGGUGAAUGAUUCACCAUGUCCAUUUAUUGUGUCUAGACACAGUGAAUCGUUUCCCGUGUCUAAUGCAUUACCCCUGCGGCCUCUGCCUAAGUCCAAGUAUAUGGUAUAUACAGAUUGGACACGGUGAAUCACCGUGUCCAACACGGUGAACCGUUAACCGUAUUUAGACACGGUGAACCGUUCACCGUGUUUAGACACGGUGAACCGUUCACCGUGUUUAACUUAACAGACUGGCCCCAGCCGAGCCUGCGUGGCGCUGACGUGGCGCUCGCGUGGCAGGGUCAGGGCCAUUUUUGCAAAUAUAAAUUUGCUGGGGUUAUUUUUCAAAAUAAUUUUUUUAAGGGAGCCAAUUGCAAAAAAAGACCUAAAAAAAUUAUUUUAUGCGCACAGUACACCAUUCUCACCUACUAGGGAUGUCGAUACGCACGCAUAUCCAAAAUAUUAUUGGAACUCAAAUACAAAUGGGAUGGACGUGGUGGAUUUAUUCGGUACUAGAGAGAUAUAAUUUUAAAUAAAAAUAUAAAAAAUAAAAAUUUGAUGGAUAAAUUCAGCUAUGAAUUUUGUACCUAUCAGAUCUAAACCCAAAUCCGAUUUAAACCCGAAUUGAUUUUACAUUAUAUAAUAUAUAUAUGAACGUUUGAUAUUACAUUUAAACUUGUAUUUUAAAAUUUAUACCUUAAUACCGACCGUUCCUAGUGCAACUGCCAGAUGAUUUGAUGGUUGGUAUCCGAGGUCUCAAGUUUGAAUCAUAAUUGAUUCGCAUUUCUAGCUAAGUUUAUUUCUAAAUAAAAUAAACGAAGAGGGUAACAUGCUAUCUAUCUCUAAAAAAAAAAAUUGAUUAUAAUAUUAUAGUGUUCCAGAGGUUUGGAUAGGAUUGGCUAUAGUACUAGUGACUGAUCGACACAUAUGGAGAGUGUCGGACUGAGCCGGAGUCGUUUCUGCACGAAAUGGCUGCAGAAAUGGACUCGGCGCACUCAAAUAGGCAAAACUGGACUUUUGCUAAUUUAGGGCGCCCAGAAAUGGGUUUAGGGCGCCCAAAUCUUGAGUGCUCCAGUUUAGGGUGCCCAGAAAUUGGGUUUAGGGCACCCAGAACUUGAGUGCUGAUUUGAGCAGAACUGGAAGCCAAUUCGGAUCCUAUAUUCCGGGCGCCCAGAUGUGGGUCCGGAAGUUUACUUUGGAAAUAUCGAUUGUGUUGACACGUGGGAUGUGGUAGGUGAGAUCUGCCGGAAUCAGAUAGCGGUGUAACAGACCAACCGAGGUACUGUUUGUGCAGGCUGGAAGUUCUGGGCGCCCAGAACUGGGUUUAGGACGCCGAGAUCUCGGUUCUUCUGCAAUAGUGCAGUUUUGCAGCAUUUGUUCCUGAGAAUUUUUGGACCCUUCCAGCACACUAUAAAUAGAAGGAACUCGACCCCUGUGGCCUCUUUUCUCCCUCUCUUCACAAUGAAGGCUAUUUUUUGCAUCCAAAUCCCUCUAAUUUCUCCAAAAUUGCUCAAGUUCACCAAGUUUUCGUUGAGGAGUGCUGUUCUAGUAGUUUUCCCGCAGCGACCUUCGGCGUUUCGGCUCGUGUGCGACGUAGGAAGCUCUGUUUUCCACAAAACUUAGUUUGUUGGAUUCUAGACUUCAAGAGGAAUCCGUGGAGCCCAAUUUGAUAGAUUUUGGUUAAGGUUAGCUUGGUCAAUUCCUCGUUUUACUUUGCUGCUUGCAGCAUUGAGCUGAAUGUAUGAUUUUUGGAUUUUCUUGAUGCUAGUUUUGGAGGGAAUGGGAUUUUGAACCAGAGAAGCUUCCUCCAACAUUUUUCACUGGAUUUGAGACAUUCCUCACCUGAUUUGAAGGUGAUUAGGUGAGUUUUGACAUUGUAGUUGGUGGAUGUAAGCUUAAGUGCUGAAAUUUGGGCUAUUGAUGCAUUUUUUAUGCUUUUGUGUUCAGAUCCUUGGAGGAAGUUUAGUUUGGACCAGAGGGUGAUAUUCCAUCUUGGUUUACUGGUUUUGGGACUGUGCUACACCUGAUUUGGGAUUUGAAAGGUGAAGUUAGCAUUGUAUUUGAGGAAAAGUUAAGCUUAAGUGCUGAAUUUCGUAAGUUUGAUGGAAUUAUAGUAUUCUCGAUAUGUAGAGCCUUGGAGAAGUAUUGUUACUGUUGCAGCGUGAUCUCGGCUGAACCUCCUAGUGUUUUCGGGACCUUCUUGCUGCCGUGGAAUUGCUUUGGAGGUGGGUUAAUUAUCGGUUUUGCCUCCUAAGCAUACGCAUAGUAGACAUGUAUAGUUUCAGCUUCUGUAUAUUAUGUUUUAGCUCGAAUUCAUUAAUUAGCAUAUUAAAUAAAAUCUGAAUUUGGAGUAUGCUGUAGUAAUUAGAUAAAAUAUACAUGUUGGACUUAGAAAUUUGACUUAGUAGAAAACCGGCGAUUCUAUCCCGUCAUAUGCUUAAACUACUAGAUUUAGCUCUAGGAGCCAUGGUUUGUUGUAUCACCGUAGUUUCAGAGCGGUGGAUACCCAGGGUAGUUUAGAAGGCAUUUACGCUCGUGCGGGAUGCCGAGCUUGGGUAAUAUUCAAUUGUAGGUUCUACACUGUCUUUUCUGUUCGCUCCUUAAGCUUUUGUGUUUCGUAUCCACGCUGUCAGUGCGCAUUUGAUCCUCAGAUAGCUUCUGAAGCUGUUGUGCUUCGUAUCCCAGCUGUUAGUGCGCAUUUAAUACUCAGAUAGCUUCUGAAACUAUCGCGGAUAGUAUCCACACUGUUGGGUGCAUUUGAUACGCUGAAAGCUCAGGAGCUGUAGUUGAUCUGUAUCACCGCAGUUUGUUGGCGGUAGAUAUCCGGGAUAGUGUAGAUUUCAGUUAUGCUCGUGCUAAGAUGCCGAACUUAUUUUUACAGCAGUGAUUAGGCUAUUUUGGUAUGUCGGGUGCCAUUUAGGUUGACGGUGGACCCAGUUUACUGUUGUUGCAUCAGAUUGUGCCGAUGGUACAUGAGUUUGGUUGUUAGACUAGUUGGACCCUGUUUACUUGAUUAUAGUUUGUGAGAGCCUGAUUGAGCUCAGUAGAGAUACGCUUGCAUACUCGGUUAGGUAGCUCCCACGAGUGCCACUCCGGAGUCGGGCGUUGUGCGUUUGUGUUGUUGUAGCGUCCUGGUUGGACUUGCUCUCCACGGACUGAUUAGUGUGGAGGUAGCAUUUAGGAUUCGACAGGCGGGACGGGUGCGUAUACAGUCCCUGGGAUAGGUGUGUUCACAGUCCCUAUGGAUUUGGGUCUGAGAUUGCAUUACUCUACAGAUAGUAGUGCUGGAUCAUGAUAGGAUAGUGGCAUAUAGCUGUAGAUUUGUUCCAGCUUCCUUUUCUAUCACUGAGCAUAGAUCUGUAGACUUAGUGGGUGAGCCGAUAAGUUUGAGGGCGGUACCCACUGAGGACAACUUUUUUUGCAGUAGUUCUCACACCCAAUUGUUACCCAUGUUUUUGUAGAGCCAUUGCCUUCGGCUGCUACUAUUACUGAUUCAGAUCGUGGCGAGGGCGUCGCGAGUUAGAGCUCUUCCAGACGAGCCAGAGCUAGAGGAGUACUAGCUACAGGUAGUUGUAGUUUUUGGUUCUUUACAUACUGAUAUUGUACCUCGCCGGAGCGAGUGUUUUUGUACCAGGAUGAUAUGUAUGUAUCGAACCACUGUUUUAUAUAUGAUUUAGUUUCCUAGCAGCUCUAUACUACUGUUUGUAGUAUUAUUUGAUUACAGAUACUUUUACUGUUUCGCUUCGUAUACAGAGGAAAUUCCUAUGUAUACGGCGAGUCUGUUAGCGUGCCCGGGGGAACGAGUAAUCCGUGGCGUGACAAAUAUAUUUUGUAAUAUUGUAAAAGAAAAUAAUUAUUUUGGUUCGUAUUUUCGAUUUGGGAUAUUUGGUAGUUUGGUCAUAUUGAAUAUGAAUUUUUAAACUUUGUCAGAUUCGGAUUCAAAUUCCAAUUUUGGAUUCGGAUUUCGGAUUUGGAGUUUCG
rnacentral:lncRNA from 1 species